UAUAAGGGGAUUAGUGCGCUUCUUGCAUGAUCGUCCUUCGCAAGUCAUCAUCCUUAGGCAUGCACCAACGAUUUCUAAAUCGAAGUGCGCCAUCGGCUCCAAUGCCAAAAUCUUCGGCAUUGCCAAUUUUAACUUCACUUCGAAUCUUUUGGAGAUAAGGAUCCGAAGCUUGAAGUUCUUUAAUCCUCUCGAACAGGGUCGGUUGCACGAUCAAUGCAGUAAGAAUGGCCGGCACUCCCGGCGCUACUACUUCCAACCCGAGACGUUGCAUUUCCUUGUGCAAUAGCGGUUGAGGCGUAAUUGCCGUCGCUAAAUUAUCCGUCGACUUUCUACUCAACGCAUCGGCUACGACAUUGGCUUUCCCGGGGUGGUAUAGUAUAGUGACAUCGUAGUCCUUCAACAACUCUAACCACCGCCGCUGUCGCAUAUUCAACUCUUUCUGGGUGAACAAGUACUUUAGACUUUUGUGAUCGGUGUAAACCUCACAAUGCUCACCAUACAAGUAAUGCCUCCAAAGCUUCAACGCGAAGAUCACCGCGGCUAACUCAAGGUCGUGAAUCGGGUAGUUUUUCUCAUAACUCUUUAACUGGCGUGAGGCAUAAGCAAUGACUCGCCUAUUCUGCAUUAACACACACCCGAGACCAACAUACGAGGCAUCACUAUACACUACAAAUGUCUCCCCCGGGGUCGGCAAGGCAAGAACCGGGGUCGACAUCAACCUGUUCUUUAACUCCUCGAAGCUCCGAUCGCAAUCGUCGCUCCAAACGUACUUUACUCCUUUACGCGUAAGGCGCGUUAGCGGAGUGGUUACUUUGGCAAACCCUUCCACGAACCGCCGGUAGUAGCUUGCAAGUCUAAGAAAACUGUGGACCUCCGCUACAUUCGUCGGGCGAGGCCAAUCUUUUACUGCCUCUACUUUCUUCGGGUCUACUGACACUCCGUCGCCCAAUAUCACGUGGCCCAAAAAUGUGACUUCCUUUAGCCAAAAGUCACACUUCUUCAAUUUUGCAUAGAGCUUCUCUUGCCUGAGUAUCUGCAACACAGCUCUGAAGUGCUCCUCGUGCUCCUCCUCGCUUUUCGAAUAAACCAACACGUCGUCUAUAAACACCACGACGCAUCGAUCCAACAACGGCCUGAAGACUCGAUUCAUCAAGUCCAUAAAUGCUGCCGGGGCAUUAGUAAGCCCAAACGGCAUUACCGUGAACUCAUAAUGGCCAUACCGCGUAUGGUACGCCGUUAUAGAUGGAUAUCGUGAACAUAGACUUUAAAAAGAACAUAGUGAAAUACAAAAAUAAAUCACCUAAAUGUCAAAAUAGGAAUAGGGAACAACAUCAUAAAUUUGUAAAUAAUACGAGACUAUGAGGAUCUACAGAAAAUAAUAACGAAAAUAAUAGCAACAAAAAUCUACGGAAUAUACAAAAUCUGCAUACCGCCCAGACCCGUGCACGGCCCGCCCGAAGGCGACCCAGGGUCCCGCACUGUUUUAUGAUACACCAGUAUCUAACACUUUCAUUCCAAUAGUGAAAAGCAUUCGGAUUGGUUCUCCUUAAGCACAUGGCCUGCACGUUUCCACGCGCAAAGCGCUACUGAUAUAGCAGUCACUCUCGGUUUUCUUACUAGUUUUCUCCUACUUUUCGGAUAAACCGUUGGUAUCAACUACCGGCACCCCUCGUGGGUCUGGAACCUUCAUAGGCCCAACGCACGCUCAAAGGCCUACACAAAGGCCGUCUCAAUGGUCCUAACGGUGGCCUGACCCUUCAACUCAAGCACUAACUGAAUUAAGAGCCCCGCCGCGGUCAGAGCUUCCGAGGCAUAUCUUACCGUGGCCACCUCAACCACCUCGAUUUUCCUGUUAAUGUUCUGAACGAGCUAUUCCCGAAGCACUUCGGCUCGCACAGAGGCACCCCUCGAGGCCACGACAAACACUUCUUCUUUCUGCCAUGUGAAGUUGAGACGCACCUGAUAGCGCUCAACUUGUUUCAUUGCCAUUUCUUGUUCAUGGGCAACGGCUCCUAACUGCUAAAUAAGCUAGUCAACGUUCCCAGGUUCCAUAUAAGCUUUUAACUAGAGGUUAGCCCCAUAGUAGUUAAUUUCUAAUCCGGCUUCCUACACGUGUUNNNNNNNNNNNNNNNNNNNNNNNNNNNNNNNNNNNNNNNNNNNNNNNNNNNNNNNNNNNNNNNNNNNNNNNNNNNNNNNNNNNNNNNNNNNNNNNNNNNNNNNNNNNNNNNNNNNNNNNNNNNNNNNNNNNNNNNNNNNNNNNNNNNNNNNNNNNNNNNNNNNNNNNNNNNNNNNNNNNNNNNNNNNNNNNNNNNNNNNNNNNNNNNNNNNNNNNNNNNNNNNNNNNNNNNNNNNNNNNNNNNNNNNNNNNNNNNNNNNNNNNNNNNNNNNNNNNNNNNNNNNNNNNNNNNNNNNNNNNNNNNNNNNNNNNNNNNNNNNNNNNNNNNNNNNNNNNNNNNNNNNNNNNNNNNNNNNNNNNNNNNNNNNNNNNNNNNNNNNNNNNNNNNNNNNNNNNNNNNNNNNNNNNNNNNNNNNNNNNNNNNNNNNNNNNNNNNNNNNNNNNNNNNNNNNNNNNNNNNNNNNNNNNNNNNNNNNNNNNNNNNNNNNNNNNNNNNNNNNNNNNNNNNNNNNNNNNNNNNNNNNNNNNNNNNNNNNNNNNNNNNNNNNNNNNNNNNNNNNNNNNNNNNNNNNNNNNNNNNNNNNNNNNNNNNNNNNNNNNNNNNNNNNNNNNNNNNNNNNNNNNNNNNNNNNNNNNNNNNNNNNNNNNNNNNNNNNNNNNNNNNNNNNNNNNNNNNNNNNNNNNNNNNNNNNNNNNNNNNNNNNNNNNNNNNNNNNNNNNNNNNNNNNNNNNNNNNNNNNNNNNNNNNNNNNNNNNNNNNNNNNNNNNNNNNNNNNNNNNNNNNNNNNNNNNNNNNNNNNNNNNNNNNNNNNNNNNNNNNNNNNNNNNNNNNNNNNNNNNNNNNNNNNNNNNNNNNNNNNNNNNNNNNNNNNNNNNNNNNNNNNNNNNNNNNNNNNNNNNNNNNNNNNNNNNNNNNNNNNNNNNNNNNNNNNNNNNNNNNNNNNNNNNNNNNNNNNNNNNNNNNNNNNNNNNNNNNNNNNNNNNNNNNNNNNNNNNNNNNNNNNNNNNNNNNNNNNNNNNNNNNNNNNNNNNNNNNNNNNNNNNNNNNNNNNNNNNNNNNNNNNNNNNNNNNNNNNNNNNNNNNNNNNNNNNNNNNNNNNNNNNNNNNNNNNNNNNNNNNNNNNNNNNNNNNNNNNNNNNNNNNNNNNNNNNNNNNNNNNNNNNNNNNNNNNNNNNNNNNNNNNNNNNNNNNNNNNNNNNNNNNNNNNNNNNNNNNNNNNNNNNNNNNNNNNNNNNNNNNNNNNNNNNNNNNNNNNNNNNNNNNNNNNNNNNNNNNNNNNNNNNNNNNNNNNNNNNNNNNNNNNNNNNNNNNNNNNNNNNNNNNNNNNNNNNNNNNNNNNNNNNNNNNNNNNNNNNNNNNNNNNNNNNNNNNNNNNNNNNNNNNNNNNNNNNNNNNNNNNNNNNNNNNNNNNNNNNNNNNNNNNNNNNNNNNNNNNNNNNNNNNNNNNNNNNNNNNNNNNNNNNNNNNNNNNNNNNNNNNNNNNNNNNNNNNNNNNNNNNNNNNNNNNNNNNNNNNNNNNNNNNNNNNNNNNNNNNNNNNNNNNNNNNNNNNNNNNNNNNNNNNNNNNNNNNNNNNNNNNNNNNNNNNNNNNNNNNNNNNNNNNNNNNNNNNNNNNNNNNNNNNNNNNNNNNNNNNNNNNNNNNNNNNNNNNNNNNNNNNNNNNNNNNNNNNNNNNNNNNNNNNNNNNNNNNNNNNNNNNNNNNNNNNNNNNNNNNNNNNNNNNNNNNNNNNNNNNNNNNNNNNNNNNNNNNNNNNNNNNNNNNNNNNNNNNNNNNNNNNNNNNNNNNNNNNNNNNNNNNNNNNNNNNNNNNNNNNNNNNNNNNNNNNNNNNNNNNNNNNNNNNNNNNNNNNNNNNNNNNNNNNNNNNNNNNNNNNNNNNNNNNNNNNNNNNNNNNNNNNNNNNNNNNNNNNNNNNNNNNNNNNNNNNNNNNNNNNNNNNNNNNNNNNNNNNNNNNNNNNNNNNNNNNNNNNNNNNNNNNNNNNNNNNNNNNNNNNNNNNNNNNNNNNNNNNNNNNNNNNNNNNNNNNNNNNNNNNNNNNNNNNNNNNNNNNNNNNNNNNNNNNNNNNNNNNNNNNNNNNNNNNNNNNNNNNNNNNNNNNNNNNNNNNNNNNNNNNNNNNNNNNNNNNNNNNNNNNNNNNNNNNNNNNNNNNNNNNNNNNNNNNNNNNNNNNNNNNNNNNNNNNNNNNNNNNNNNNNNNNNNNNNNNNNNNNNNNNNNNNNNNNNNNNNNNNNNNNNNNNNNNNNNNNNNNNNNNNNNNNNNNNNNNNNNNNNNNNNNNNNNNNNNNNNNNNNNNNNNNNNNNNNNNNNNNNNNNNNNNNNNNNNNNNNNNNNNNNNNNNNNNNNNNNNNNNNNNNNNNNNNNNNNNNNNNNNNNNNNNNNNNNNNNNNNNNNNNNNNNNNNNNNNNNNNNNNNNNNNNNNNNNNNNNNNNNNNNNNNNNNNNNNNNNNNNNNNNNNNNNNNNNNNNNNNNNNNNNNNNNNNNNNNNNNNNNNNNNNNNNNNNNNNNNNNNNNNNNNNNNNNNNNNNNNNNNNNNNNNNNNNNNNNNNNNNNNNNNNNNNNNNNNNNNNNNNNNNNNNNNNNNNNNNNNNNNNNNNNNNNNNNNNNNNNNNNNNNNNNNNNNNNNNNNNNNNNNNNNNNNNNNNNNNNNNNNNNNNNNNNNNNGUCUGAAUAGUGCGCUCCGACUGUCCAUCACUCUGCGGGUGAAAUGCUGUACUGAAAUCCAAUCGGGUGCCUAAGGCGUCCUGUAGACUCCUCCAAAAGUGAGACACGAAGCGCGUGUCGCGAUCAGAUACAAUCGAUGUAGGCACUCCAUGAAGUCGCACAAUCUCAUCAAGGUACACUUGUGCGAGCUUCUCUCCGGUCCAAGUCGUAUGAAUAGGUAUGAAGUGCGCCGACUUCGUCAACCUAUCCACGAUCACCCAAAUAGCGUCAUGCCCCGCCUGUGAGCGUGGCAAUCCUGUCACAAAGUCCAUGGUGAUCUUCUCCCAUUUCCACACGGGAAUAGGCAAACUCCGAAGUUUUCCCGCGGAAACUCGGUGCUCAGCCUUUACUUGUUGACAAGUUAGACAACGAGCUACAAACUCGCCAACGUCCUUUUUUAUCCCGGGCCACCAAUAAAACAACUUUAGAUCCUCGUACAUCUUGGUGCCUCCCGGAUGUAUAGCAUACGGCGCUCGGUGCGCUUCUUGAAGAAUGUCUUCUUUAAUUUCUGAAUUUGCCGGAACACAUAGUCGUCCUUGAAAGCGCAUCAACCCUCGGUCGUCCACAAGGAAAUAGCCGGUGCAACCAUAAACCAUUUUUCCUCUAAUCUUUUGCAAUUCCACAUCGGAAACUUGCUUCUCUUUGAUUCUGUCCAACAAGGUAGGUUGCACUACUAAUGUCAUCAACCUCAAGGGUGUGUGUAAUACACUGGACUUUCGCAAAUUGCAGAGUUCGAGUGUGUGGAAGGAAGUGUGGAACUAUCCUACAUGUUCUAAAUGACUUGGACAAGUUUUUGAACAAGUUAGAGAGUGAUUGGAAUGCUAAAAGUGAGAAAGUGCAUUGAACUGGUGAAAAUCAGCAUUUUCUGCUUGCUGUACCGGUACAGCCAUCACCUUGUACCGGUACAAGCUGGCAGAUUCGUGGCAGCAAGGCUAGUUUGGUAAUNNNNNNNNNNNNNNNNNNNNNNNNNNNNNNNNNNNNNNNNNNNNNNNNNNNNNNNNNNNNNNNNNNNNNNNNNNNNNNNNNNNNNNNNNNNNNNNNNNNNGAUUUCGCUUCACCUCGAUCAACCACGGAUUCACGACACAAUCCAAUCUUCUUUCCAACAUAAGAAAAUAACACCUAAAUACAUAUAAAACAUGUAUUUUUGGAUUUUGUCGAAAUCCGUGCGUCAAAAUCAAAAUCCGACAGCGCCAAUGGUUCCAGAAUAGCUGAACCGGUCGAAACGAGCUAUUGGAUCGCUAUGAACGGAGUCUGAUACGCGUAGAAAGCCAACUCUACUCCGUGGCUUCACCGAAAAAUCGGAGUUACUAUUCACUUAAGUGAAAACUAAUAAUCGCGUAACUUCUCCAUUUUAGCUCAUUUUCUCCUGAAACUUGACGAGUGCUUAUGUAAUUAAAUUACACACAUAAACAUCAUCAACAGAGAGUUUAGUUGCACUGCAAAAAUCUCAGUCCUUACAGCCUUCUGCAGCAGCAGCUGUGUUGGCGCUAGAUAGUUGCGCUUCCAGCUUUGCAUUUUUUUUCCUUUAACAUUGCCUUCUCCUUUUCCAAAAUCUUAUUCCGAUCUUUUAAUUUUUUUACAGCUCGCUCUAAUUUAUUCAAUAAGGAGCUGAUAUUAUUGCUAUUUUCACCGGCACCAGCUGUUGUCACGGGGGCCGCUGCCUGUACCACAUUUGAGUGAAAUGUACGAAAGGACAAUAUCACAAUUUGACAAAUAAACUCUAACCAAAUAAUAUUUUCUACUAACUCAAUUCAGCAAUACCUGCUCCGGCAGGCUGCCAUGUAACGUAGGCUUCAAUAUUGACAUAUCAUCAAGGCGGUAGGUAAAUGUAGAUACAACCUGCCAUAAAGAUAAAUCUAUUUAAUAAGUAUUAUAAGAAAAUUUUAUAAAACUACAUUCAUUACAUAAAUGAUUACCUCUGCAGGAGUAUAGCUCUACAGCUUUUUUAGUAGCUUCUCGUAACUCCGAUAGGCUCUUGAACCCUUCCAUUUUCUCAUCCGAGGAACAACCUUGUCUCCGUCGGAAUUACCCAACCUCUUUAUAUGCUCGUAAGCCCAACUCUGCAAGUUUAUCAAGAUUUAACAUUGUUAUUAUCAUAAAAAAAAUGUGCAAAAGAAAUUCUAUUGACAUACUAAUUUAUGAUAUUACUUACCAGAAAUGCUAUUGUACAGCAGUCGAUAUAGCCGCCAACUCUUUCUUGGCCGCUAUUUCGACGCUUCACACGUGGGGAGGCUCUGGAGAUCGAACUUAUAAGAUAAUUACAUACAGCAUGACCCCAGACAUAUUCCCCUAUUCUAUGUACAUCAUCUAUAUAUCUAUAUAGUGCCUUCGGCACAUUGUAGUGGCUGGUAGGAAAGAGGACGGUCGCAAAUACGUAUAAUAUAAAUAUAUGCACAAAAUCAGCUGCCAUCUCCUCUCCAUUCUGACCAGUAAUACUGUACAAAAUAUGUCGUAAUUUCGACCUAUCGGCAUGCCGAUAGUCACCAUUGAAGUAUUUAUCAAGAGUGCUCGACUUUACACUCUUGUUCUGCCAUUCUAUUGGUUCCCCUUGUGCUGGCAGCCCUAUCAAAAUGGAGAUUUUCUCUGGAAUAAAGGGGAGAAAGGUUUCUCCAAAUCUAAUACCUCUUCUCUCUUCGUCCCAAAAAUUGAGGAGGGAAUCGACUAACACAAGAUCUUGCUUAAUUAGAGGCAAGUCGAGAUAAGAAGAGAAUGGAGUGGUCUUCAGAAGUGCCAUUUGUUCAUCGGACAUAACAUCACGUAACGCUGGGCCAGCUGUCUGGAUUCUGCCCACAGUCUUCGGCAACUCUGAAACACACAUUAUAGUGUGCAGAUGAACUGGGUAACAUCUGCCCACAACAAGCUCGAUGGUCGGCCUUUUAGCUUUGGAUGGCCUCUCUGUUCUUUUCUCUGCAGAAUGCGAAGAUGUGCAUUGACCACUUGUAGUGGCCUUCUUGCCAGACCGGGUUGACGACUUCGCUCUGGUGGAAACCAUAUUCUCUGCUGCAUUUUAUUCACCACAAGUCAGCACAUAACUUCAUUAUGAAAGUAACUAGAAAAUAAAUUAAUUAUGUUCAUCCUAUGAAUGCAGAAUAUGUACAGUUUGACACUAUUAUGACAUAAUAGAACAUUCUUAUCAUAUUUUAAUUUUUGUUUCGUUGACUGCGAACAUAUAAAUGCUAUGCAUAAUAGAACAUCUAUUAAUUGCAAAAAUAAUAUAUACAACUGUUAAGAGUGUUUCCAAUCAUAAACCUAUUAAGAGUGUUCUAUUAACCUUUACAACUGUUCUAUUAUGGCAUAAAAGUGUUCUAAAUUCUAAAACUGAUAGGAGUGUUCUAUUAAGCUUUAAGAAUGUUCUAUUAAGUCAUAAGAGGGUAAGAUUGCAAUGCAUACAUGUUCGCAACUUUAAACCUGAAAAAGGUAUUCUAUUAAGCUCUAAGAGUGUUCUUCUAUGACAAAAGAGUAUUCUAAACCCUAAAACUGAUAGGAGUGUUAUAUUAAGCUUUAAGAAUAUUGUAUUAAGUCAUAAGAGGGUAGAGAUGUCAACAGGUCGGAUUUGGGGAGGAUUUUCAAAAACCGAACCCGAAUCCGACUCCAAACCCGACACCCGACACUCGAACCCAAANNNNNNNNNNNNNNNNNNNNNNNNNNNNNNNNNNNNNNNNNNNNNNNNNNNNNNNNNNNNNNNNNNNNNNNNNNNNNNNNNNNNNNNNNNNNNNNNNNNNNNNNNNNNNNNNNNNNNNNNNNNNNNNNNNNNNNNNNNNNNNNNNNNNNNNNNNNNNNNNNNNNNNNNNNNNNNNNNNNNNNNNNNNNNNNNNNNNNNNNNNNNNNNNNNNNNNNNNNNNNNNNNNNNNNNNNNNNNNNNNNNNNNNNNNNNNNNNNNNNNNNNNNNNNNNNNNNNNNNNNNNNNNNNNNNNNNNNNNNNNNNNNNNNNNNNNNNNNNNNNNNNNNNNNNNNNNNNNNNNNNNNNNNNNNNNNNNNNNNNUAAAUUUUUAAAAUACAAAUUCAAAUAUAACAUCAAAUUUAUAUAUAUAUAUAUUAUAUAUAAUACAAAAUAAAUUCGAGUUCGAGUCGGGUUCGGGUUCGGGUUCGGGUCGAGUACAGUCAAAAUCCAUAUCCGAAUCCAUAUCCAUCGGGUUUCUAUUUUUGAUAUCCAUAUAUGAAUCCAUAUUCAUUUAGCAUCGGAUAUAUCCGUUUCUUUCGGGUUCGAGUUCGGAUAAAAUUUGGGGUAUCCAUACCCAUUGACAUCCCUAUAAGAGGGUAAGAUUGCAAUGCAUAUAUGUUCGCAACUGUAAACCUGAAAAAAGUGUUCUAUUAAGCUCUAAGAGUGUUCUUCUAUGACAAAAGAGUGUUAUNAUGUUCGCAACUGUAAACCUGAAAAAAGUGUUCUAUUAAGCUCUAAGAGUGUUCUUCUAUGACAAAAGAGUGUUCUAAACCCUAAAACUGAUAGGAGUGUUAUAUUAAGCUUUAAGAAUAUUUUAUUAAGUUAUAAGAGGGUAAGAUUGCAAUGCAUAUAUAUUUGCAACUGUAAACCUGAUAAAAGUGUUCUGUUAAUGUCACGUCCCGCUAUCGCCAAUUUGGUCGAUCCGGGCCCGUACACAGACGCCGAACGAACAGCACCUCCUCUGUUCGCCCAAGGCUCAACAACAACGGAUACAUGUAUAAAGAAAUUAAAUAAUUCCCAGGAUCAUAUUUCAAUAUACAUGGCUUGCACGAAGGCAAGCAACAAACACAAGUGAUAGUAAGUCUAACUAAACAUGAAAUCCACUGUAAUUUAAAACUUUACAUAACUAAAACAUUUAGUUAUAUACAUGCUUUAUAUACAUUCAUUUACAUGUCUCUGUACAUCAAAAUGGAUGAUACAUGAACCCAAAUGGUAUACCACUAGUACUCGGGUGUCCACUAGCUAGGCUGCGGGCUCUUGCCUCGAUCCUCGGCCACAAUACUCGCACUGGAACCUGUAUGGUUAGUGGUGUGAGAACUACAAGAAAGUUCCCAGUGGGUUCGGCCGCCGACCUCGCCGACUCACCCACUAGGUCUACUCAGGCAUAUGUAGACAAGAAAAGUAAACAGAUAGUAACCAACUAUAACAUGUAACUACUACAAUGCCUGNNNNNNNNNNNNNNNNNNNNNNNNNAAACACUUCCAAAAUACACCAAGGGACCUUCCCAAGCUACCAAUUUAAUUUGGAAGCAAUUCCUUUUCAUUUUGACAUUAUUUGAGCCGAAUUAGAAAUAGAAUCGGCUCCAAUUCCAUUACACGGCAGAAAUUUCUCCUUUUUGCACUACCACUUCGCACUGAACACUUCAAAACCCUUAGAAAACACACCCUUGGCUUUUCCGAAACUUCACAAUUGAUUCGGAGAUUCCACAAUUUAUCCUUACGCCUUACUUUAAUUCUUUUAAUCAACGUUAGCGUCGGAAUUUCGAAAUUCUCUUUUUACAUUUCGUUUCGCGCCCAAUUGCGCCGAAACACUUAUUUCUCUUUGGAACUCAUUCCAACGCAUCACAAACCCCUCAGGGAUGAUGUCCAACUAGCUCAAUCCUCACUUUGACCCUCUAGGUCAAAGUUGACAUCGCAACUCCAAGUUUCCAUAUGUUACAGUUAAGCUUUAAGAGUGUUCUGCUAUGACAAAAGAGUGUUCACAACCAUAAUACUAUUAAGAGUGUUCUAUUAACAGUUACAACUGUUCUAUUAUGACAUGAAAGCGUUAUAAACCCUAAACUGAUAGAAGUGUUUUAUUAAGCUUUAAGAAUGUUCUAUUAAGUCAUAAAAGGGUAAGAUUGCAAUGCAUAUAUGUUCGCAACUGUAAACCUGAAAAAAGUGUUCUAUUAAGCUCUAAGAGUGUUCUUCUAUGACAAAAGAGUGUUAUNGUAAGAUUGCAAUGCAUAUAUGUUCGCAACUGUAAACCUGAAAAAAGUGUUCUAUUAAGCUCUAAGAGUGUUCUUCUAUGACAAAAGAGUGUUAUAAACCCUAAAACUAUAUUAAGCUUUAAGAAUGUUCUAUUACGCCAUAAGAGGGUAAGAUUGCAAUGCAUACAUAUUCGCAACUAUAAACUUUAUAAAAGUAUUCUAUUAAGCUCUAAGAGUGUUUUACUAUGACAAAAGAGUGUUCACAACUAUAAUCCUAUUAAGAGUGUUCUAUUAUCCUUUACAACUGUUCUAUUAUGGCAUGAAAGUAUUCUAAACCCUAAAAUUGAUAGAAGUGUUUUAUUAAGUUUUAAGAAUAUUUUAUUAAGUCAUAAGAGGAUAAGAUUGCAAUGCAUACAUGUUCGCAACUGUAAACCUGAAAAAAGUGUUCUAUUAAGCUCUAAGAGUGUUCUUUUAUGACAAAAGAGUGUUCUAAAUCCUAAAACUGAUAGGAGUGUUAUAUUAAGCUUUAAGAAUGUUCUAUUAAGUCAUAAGAGGGUAAGAUUGCAAUGCAUACAUGUUCACAACUGUAAACCUGAUAAAAGUGUUCUAUUAAAUUCUAAGAGUGUUCUAUUAUGAAAAAAGAGUGUCCAUAACCAUAAUCCUAUUAAGAGUGUUCUAUUAACUUUUACAACUGUUCUAUUAUGGCAUGAAAGUGUUCUAAACCCUAAAACUGAUAGAAGUGUUCUACUAAGUCAUAAGAGGGUAAGAUUGCAAUGCAUAUAUGUUUGCAACUAUAAACCUGAUAAAAGUGUCCUAUUAAGCUCCAAGAGUGUUCUACUAUGACGAAAGAGUAUUCACAACCAUAAAUCUAUUAAGAGUGUUCUAUUACCUUUACAACUGUUCUAUUAUGGCAUAAAACUGUUCACAAUCCUAAAGCUGAUAGGAUUGUUCUAAUACGCCCUAAAAAUAUUCUAUUAUGCCAUAAGAGGGUAAUAUUGCAACUCAUAUAUGUUCGGAAGUAUAAAAAUAAUAAGAGAGUAAGAUUGCAACUCAUACAUGUUCGCAAGCACAAAUUUUAUAAGAGUGUUCUACUAAGCGUGUUCUUUUAUCGCAUAAGAAUUUAAGAUUGCAACACAUAUAUAUUCGAAAGCACAAAAGUGAUAAAAAUGUUCUUAUAAGCUCUAAGAGUAAACCCUUUAUGACAUAAGAGUGACAGAUUGCAACACAUACAUGUUCACAGCCAACUAUACAUAUACGAAUACAAACAAAUUAAUUAUUAAUACAAAUAUACAAGUAUAUUAUUUCGUUUCAAGCAGUGUAGCAAACUAACUCCUAAAACCAUAUAGCACCGUUCUACCAAUGCAUAAGAGAAUAUACUAGUUGUAAGGAAGUGAAUUCUCGAAAUCCGAGGAUUGUACUUCGCCCAGGAUCGACUAACUGUCGAGAGUGUAUCCUUUGUGGGAGUUAAGAAUGUCCGAAACACAAAAAGUGCUUUGGAGUUGAGUCCGCGAGAGCAAAUGGUGCAAACCGCAUUUUUGGGCUGAUGUUGCUCUCGGGGACCGGUCUCUGGAGGUGAGAGACCGGUUCCCUCGGCUAGGUGUAGCGGGGUUGCUUGGUGCAAUCGGUCCCUCGCAGGAGGGACCGGUUCCCGAACGUGGUCCCAGUGAGAAAUGCCAAAAUUCGCUAAGUCCUAAAAAUCGAGCUCUCGGGGACCGGUCUCUCAGGUGAGGACCGGUCUCCCGAGGACCGGUCUCCCGGGGAGAGACCGGUUCCCGAACGCGUGCGCCCGAGGGAAGCUCUCGGGGACCGGUCCCAAGUCGGGGAGACCGGUCCCUUCGCGCGAAAACUGCCCAGUAAGGACUGUGCAAUAAAUGGAAAAGUGAGGGGUUUUUAUGCAAAAUGGCCUUUAUUAGAGUGGGCUGAGCCCUCUCUCUCCCUCACACCCUCUCAUUUUCUCUCUUUCUCACACUCUCUCUUGCUCCCUCUCUUUCUCUCUAGAAAAGAAAGAACAAAAGAGAAGGAGAAGAAGAAAAAGAAGAAGAAGAAGGAGGAGAAAAAGAUAGAGAAGGCUUGGAGCAUCUUCCUCUCUUUCUCUCUUCUCCAUUGGUGUAGCUCAAGAGGUAAGCUGCAAACCCUAGCUUGUAAAACUUAGGGUUUUGGGUUUUUAUGCUUUGGAAUGGGUCAAAUGAACCCUAAGCUAGCUUCUAAAUGGAUCAAUCCCAAGAAUCUAGGGAUUUAUUGGGUGGUUUGCUAUAGGUGCAAACCUAGGGCUCCAAAAUGGGGUUUUCGUGAAAAUAUGAGAUUGAUCUCAUUUGAAGCCUUGGAAACCCUAUUGGUAGGUCACAAAGCGUGGGGGCGAAGUCGGUUUUAGCCUUCGGCGAGCCGGCGUGAAGUUCUCGGCAAGAUAGGGCCGGGAUAGCUUGGAUUUGGGCAAGGAAGGCUAAAGCCUUUUCGUAAAGUUCGCCAAGAAGGAUUUCCCAAGCCUCUACAUCGAUUAAAGGUGGGGGGUGCCAUCCCGAAGCUUUCGAACUCCUUUCUAUGUCUUAGAUUGCAUUUAAUCUCAUCUCUUCAUGUUGCAUUGUAGGAUUGCAUAGUAGCUCCAUUCCUUAUGCUUUCUAAUUGAUAACCUAGUGUACUUGGAACGCUUGGUAACUUAGAUAGGUGAGGAUUGGGUCGGAACGUGGAUCCUAUGAUGCGAAAGAAAAGAGAUGAACCCGAUGGGGGUGUUGAUGACAUAGAAAGUAGUGUUAAUGUUAAAGAACAAACGAGUGGCAUCCAAACAUUGAAUGAUGACGAGUGGCAUUAAUGUAGUGUAAAUGACACUAGAGGUCGAUGGACCUAGGGAUAGGUGGAUCCCUUAGAAAAUGCCUUGUGAACAAUGAAUUUAGAAAACUAAAUAGCAUUGCAUGAAUGUCGGGAACCGAUGAUUCCGCGAUAGUCGUUGACCCUAGUGUAGGGCGUCCUCACUUGGAGAGGAUUCGAUUGGGUUAUUGACUCUAGUUGUAGAGCCUCCUCACUUGGAGAGGAUUGGAUUGGGUGUUGACCCUAGUUACAGUGUAUCCUCACAUGGAGAGGAUAGAUCUAGCUCACAGUCUGCGUUUAGGAUGGUAUAGCCAUCCAAUCCCCACAUGGAGGGGAUUGUCGUCGAGUACUCCGGAGUGUCGCGCGACUAGGACCACUUGGAGGUCCGGACCACAUGGAGGUCCGCAGACGGUCCCGGGCUUGGGUGCACUUGGAGCUCCCUCCCCACUUUGGGAUUGAAAGGUGAGUCAUGGGCGAGCCCUAGGGCCUCGCAACAGAUUGGGUAAAUGAAAGGCUAAAGGUUAUAAAUGUUAUUGAAUAUUACUAUUCGAACAUGGAUCGAAUUUGUUAGCAUGGUAGCAAAUCUUUAUCAUAUGAUGCAUGCAUUCAUAUUCAUGAUUAUGGGCAUAGUAGCAUAGUUUUCCUACUAUCGCAUUUACAGCUUUCAGAUACAUAUCGAUCAAUCUAUCUAUCUGUUGUUGCUUGUGCCCACUUGGACCUAGUGGGGAGAUCGGCAGAGUCGGCGGCCGAGCCCACUGGGAACUAUGGAAGAUAGUUCUCACCCCACUCUAUUUUCAGUGGUAGGUUCAGGACUGCAGAAAGAGGACCGCGGCAAGGGCAUCGUGCCCGACCAGUGAGACCGUGGUAGUAUAGUAGCUUUCCUUUUUGCAUUAGCACACCUAUGUAUUGAGAGAGAUCAUUGUAGGUGAGGAUUUGGAGAGCUAUGUAUUUUGGAUGAAAAAUGUACUCAUUCAGAGAAAAUGAUGAAACUAUUGUAAUAGUUAGUAAAGUACUCUCUUUGUUUCACUUGUUUUAUCUUGUGGAUUGUUUGCUCUUUGUAUUGUUGGCACUGUUUGUGCCCUUGUAAAUGUGUAUACUUAGAAUUUAAUUUUCUGGGUAAAUUCUUGUACACAUUCUUGUUGUUGAGCCUUGGGCGGACCGGGAAGGUGCUGUCCGUUCGGCGGCCCGCUGCCGCUGCCGAACCGUGCCAAAUUGGUAGUGGUUUCGGGGCGGGGCGUGACACUAGUAACCCUAAACUUGUUUUCUGUACCUUUUUUUCUAUUCAAACGAAAUCAAACUUUACCCUAAACACUAAUUUGUAUAUUUGAAAUGAAUACAGUUUUCUAUCAUAAACCAAGCAAAAUUUUAUGAAAUGCAUGAAAUAUAUGUGUGUUACUGUGGAAGCAUCUUCUAAACACUAAACCCUAUCCUAAUCAUAAAUGCUUUAUUUUUUAAAAUGCAACAAAAAAUAUAAUAUACCGACAGUGUCCUAAAAAUAAAAUGAAUCAGCUAGUUGGUGACGAAAUCCGGAGCUUGCAAAGACAAACCCAAGUUACAACCCUGAACCCUCAAAAUAUAAAUUUUAUAUUAAAUUUAAAAUUUAAAAAAAAAAAUUAUAGAAAUUCAAAAAAUUUCCUGUUUGAGUUGAAUCCUCUGUUUCGAUUGUGAAAUUAGCUCCGAAAUCAUUCCCAAUUUCGAACGCCCACGAGUGAAGGAAUGCCUGACAGGUACUAGGAUGAACAAGGGAGCAGUUGAGAGGCGACCUCGUACCAAUGGAGAGAGGCGAGGGCGAGAGACACCCUCGAGACGGCUUGGGGACAUGAGCUUCUACCGAGGAAGACAAUGUGUGGAAUGAGCGCUGCCGAACUUCUGCCCGAUGGAGUGCCCUACGAGCGAGAGAGAGAGAGGAGAGCGCAAGAUCAAGAGAGAGGCGAAAGAGCGAGAGAGAGGCGAGGGAGCGAGAGAGAGCGAGAAACAGAGAUAGCGAAAGGGAGCUGUGCGGGAGAGAGAAGUGUUGUAGCGUUUGGUUUGGGUUAGCUUUAGCAAAAAGUAAAAAGGGGAUGAGCUUAGAAGCUACUGUGCUAGUGGAUUAAUAUAAGCUGUUGGAUCCCAAGGGUGUAGGAUGUACACCUUCUACCGGGAGUCCAGCUAGACUUUUCCAUAUCUAAAGUGUUUGGGAGAAGAUAUGGUAAGUACAUAUGGACACAUGUUAUGUUGGUUAAUUUGGCGCACCCGGUGCAUCAUAAACCAUACAAAGUGGGUGGAGAAGAUGAGGAGGAGACACAUGUUGUGUUGGUUAAUUCGGUGCACCCGGUGCACCAUAAAUCAUACUCAAAUAUCUUAAAUUUUAAUCAAUUAAUAAUCUAAAAAUUUAUAAUAUUUAAUAUGUAGAUAUUUUGAAUACCAUAAAAUACAUUUAACAAAGUCACAUUUAAUAUACUACAAAAUAAAUUUAAUUAAUUAAAUUUUAUUUUAAAAUUUUAUUUUUUAUAUUUUUAUCAUACAAAUUUACUGAUGGAUGUCAUUACAAAUAUGCGUUCAAUACAUAUAUUUAGUAGUAAUAUAUACUAUAUGUUACAAAUAUAACUAAGAACAUAUUUAUCGAACCCACAGUAAAGUGCGGGUACAUUGCUAGUACUUAUUUAUAUACGAUAUAAGAACAAAUGAAAGAUACCAAUUAUGCUAUCUAUACAAAUUUGCAUAAACGUACUUACUCAAUGGUAUAUAUUAGAGGUAUUAUUUUUUUCAUUUUUGGCACAAUUUGAUGGUAAAAUUACUCUUUACACUUUUAUGCUUUCUUUUUUUUUUUUUUAAGGAAAAUAACUAUUAUAAAUAAAAAUUGAUAGUAAUAACUAUUAAGAAAAUUGUUAGAACGACAAAGUGCUUAGUGGUUGGUACUCGAGGUUUCAAGUUUGAAUUCUAGUUGAUUGACAUUUUCAGCUAAGUUUAUUUCUAAAGAAAUAAAUGAAGCGAAGCGCGGGUUCUUAAUUAGGUUAGAUUGGACAACACCUCAGGAAAGAAUUUGUUUUCUAAAUAAAAUUUUGAUGAGGCAAAAUUCUAAAUUUUUAUUUGUGGAGGGUUAAAUAGGAGAGAAGUCCGGGCGGUCCACUGUGAACCGGGUUCGGGCAAAAAAUCCACGAGUACCCAAUCGCCCCUCCGUGAAUUCGUCCCGUAUACUACGGUCUUGUUUACUGGGUUCGUUCCUCCCCUCCGAAGCGAUUCCGAAUUCCAUAUCUCUCCGAUCUUAUCGAUCUUACCAAAAUCCUACAAACCAAAGGCGCCUUCGUCCAUGGAGAGCGGCUGCGGCGACUUGGGCUCGUCCACCGCCCCCCUCACCUGGCACGACUUCUUGGAGCGCAUGCGCCAACCCUCCGCGGCCGAUUUUGUCAAAUCCAUUAAAAGGUCUUUUUUUGGCUUACACACUUUUUCCUACAUCUUUUGCAUCUUUACUCAAAGUGAUCACGGUGGAUCGUAAUUGGUUCUGGAUGCUGCAUUGUGCUCGAAUCCCGGUUGAUUAACGCAGAAUCUUGUGAGAUUUUUGUGUUUGUUGGAGUUGAGCAGAAUAUCUUUCCUAUCCUUGGCUGUUGAUGGUUCAAAGAAAGCGCUUUUUAUUCGGUAACUUGUUUCUAGUAGCGGAAAUGGAUUACAUUGGGAGGCAGAUCAAGGUUAUGCUUUGGGAUGGAAUCUAGUCUAGGUACACAACUAUAUCUUGAUAGAAAUUAACGAUGAUGAAUCAAGGCAUAUUUAUGUAGGAAUGAAGUCCCUUAAAGCCUCUAAACAUGAAAAAACUCGGAAUGAUUAAGCAUGAUGGAAAUAGCCUUCUCCGUGCUACUGUGUCCUGUCAUAAUGGGAACUGCAAGAAGGUAAUGUUGAAGGAACGCUGACUGGCCUCGUAUUGAUAAGUCUAAUGCUACGGUUUCCUCUGAACUCCACCCAUUUUAAAUGGUGCAAGUUCAUAUAGAUAGAAGCUUGUUCCUCAUCUCUUUUCGCUUGAAAUGCUAGUCAAGAACUAUAAACUUGUUCUCCGAGCCCCUCAGCGUUUAUAUUCGUGAUGUAAACUGCAUGGACAGUGUGAGAAGGUACAAAUAAUGGAUCCAUCUCAUAACUUCCAAAAGAAAUCACCUCAUAAUUUUAAUGGACUUUAAGUACCACUUCAUAACUUCCAAGGGAAAUCAAAUGGAGAUCUUUCUUAAACACAAGCUAAAUAGAAACAGGCAGCUAAGAGUAUUUACCAAUUUGUUCUUUUAGUCCCUAUGUCACACCCCGGGGUUCUUUUGUAUAAUCCUGUUUAUGGAAAUUAGUGAAAAAUGUAUACAUUUUUUUUUUUUCAAACAACCACCAAAGAACACGCCGAAACAUAUAUAGACCCGGCACAUAGACAGAAGCUCCUCUAUACAAACAGACAGAGUCUCCCUUAUACAAUCAUGGCAUAGAACCUAGAGUACAACGUCAACCACACAACCGAACAUGAUAACAACAACACCAACGAAUAGGUAGAGGAUAAAUACAACUAAACAUGAUCCAACAGAUAGGUAAUCAAGAAUGAAACUAACCAUCCAACCAAUAGAUAAAUAAAUAUACCUAAAUCCACAAUUAUACCACAAUAAUGACCUAAAUGCAGGUAAACGUAAACUCACAAUUAUUAACACCAUUAUUAAUCAUGGUUAAUGAGAUAACCAAUUAAACUAAAAGUAAUCUAAAAUGAAUGCAAGAAUGUAAUAAACUAGCAAUCAACGAAUCAAAUUCGGGACACAUCUAUCUAGUAGUGUCCUCACGCACCGUCCCGACCCUCACCUCUCGUGUCAUCGGUAGAAAUAGGGGGUGAGAAACAUGUAAACAUGUUUUCGAGUAGGUACUGCAAGUCGAUGAAGGGAAGCUGUACUUACUGGCAAAUAAGAGUGAUAAUAAUCAACUAAUAUGAACAGAUAUCAAGUACAGUAGCAAUAACGAACUGAAAGGAAAUUAUAAAGUAUCAAUAAAUAUACAACUAACCGCUACUGUAAUAUGAAAUAGAAUGCAAGUAUGUGUCUACCCAAUGAACGGUCCAAAUAAACUGAAUCAAAUCGCCAUGUUGGUCUAAUGACCUCAGACAAUGCCACAACUUGCUCAUCCACCGGUAUAUAACGCUAGCAAAUAAACCUCAUAGGGUUUACGAGUCGAAAAUACGACCAUUUUUCAAAAAAGAAUGCCACUGCGAUGGCCAAACUGCUGGUUUACGUGAAAUGCUCAAUGAGCAAUGGUGCUCAAUGCUAUAUGCUCAAUAGCUAUCUGUCGGCAGGUAGCUGAGAAAGAUCUAUAAGAAUUCACUGACCAAUUAGGUCAACCAUAUCUCAAAGAUAGAACUGUCAUGCCCCAGGUUCUAGCACUUCUUGGGCUCGCCAACAGAUCCACUGCAUACACAGGAAGCCCUGUGUACACGAAGCGAUAGAAGCACCUGUAACCUGCACAAGAACCACUAUUAGAGAGUAAUAGAGACACUAAAAACAGAAGUAACUACUCAUCUGUACAUACAUAUAAUCCAAUGUUUAUACAGUAUCCAAUACAAUAUCAACAUAUUUCAACUCUGAGCAGAUGAAAGAAAAUACAACUGUAUGUACAUGACUAAACAAAAGUAAAUUAUCUCCAUAAAUAGGUACUCCUCUAGCACGAUUACCAGGGUAGAUAGGGAUCUAGUUCAUGACUCCCUUACCUCAAUCAGAAGCAGCAGUGGCAACCAACGACUCUGCAAGAAAAAAGUGGCAAUAAUAAAUGUGAGAACUACUGUAAAUAAGGUAGUCUUCAGUUGGUACUGUCACCGAGCCCAACAGCCUACCCACUAAAUCUACGAGACUAACAGUAUAGCUAAUAGGUAGAAGAACAAUAUGGUAAGCUGGAAGAAACUCUACAGCUAGCCAUUACACUACGACUACUCAUGCCAUGCUCUCUGUGUAGAUAUGCAUCACUAGCUAAGAAAUAGUCACAACUGAUUCAAUCCAAGGGGACUGCGAACCGGCUAGUCCAGUCUGUGCUUAAGCUACUUUGCGCACCACCCGCGGGGGGAUGGCCGAUCUAAGUAGAAUGACCAAAAGGGUUGCUGCGACAAAAAUGCGAAAAGGCCUCACUUCGGAGUGGCACUUGGGGGAGCUACCUAGCCGAGCAAAAGAGCGUACUUUGUCGAGCUCAAUCAGGCUCACGCAGGCUGUAGUCAAUGCAAAUGCUCAAACGGUUCCAAGAACCAAAGCUCACGUGUUCUCAGUACAAUCUGAUGCAAAAAGUAAAGAUCCGGGUCUACCGUCAGUCUGGACGGCAUCAGACAACACGACACUAAUAGUGACGCACUAAUAGUGAUAAUACAAUGGUAAAAUCAGCUCCUGAAGCUAAAUCUGAGCAAAUAAAUGGCAAGUUCAGUGUGUAGGUUUUCUUCUAAGUUAAUUCCCAAUUCAGCAUGUAGUAAUCAUCUAAAAUAUCUAAAUCAUGCUUCAAAUUCAGAUUUCAUAUAUUAACAUGCAAAUCUAUAAUUUGAGCUACUAAAUGUGAUGAAUCAUACAUGAUAAGACAUGCUAAAAUUCUAUAAAACUUAGGAGGAAUUCCAUAGAAUUCGGUAGAUUAAUACCCACAUCAAACACUAAUCCAACGAUGGCAGGAACUCGGCUUCAAAUACACCACACUUCAACCCAAUCCAGCAAGAAUUAGUUGAGGGGAUUCCAGAAAUUCAGCAAGGAAGGGAGUGAAUAUAGUCCAAUCACUGCUGGAUUUUCAUUUAUGUCUGAAAUUUACUAAACUUUAGCUUAUACUACCUUACUACUAUCCAAAGAGGAUGUCCUCCAAGCUUCCUGUCACGCCCCGAGCCCCGCCUAUUUGGUCUGGUUCGGGCACGCCGACAGACUGCCGAACGGACAGAGUUUCCUCUGUACGUCCUAAGCGUCGCAAUCAAUACAAUACAAAGGUUCCAACCAGGAACAAUAUUCAACAUACAGUUGCAUAAGGAAGUAUCAAAAACAUAAACAACUAGCUAUUACAAGCAUUCACCUUAGAUGCAUUCUACAUCACAAUUACAUUUUUCUUCCAACAUACAAUCUGAGUUAUUACAAUAUUUACUUAUUACAAUUUGAUGCAUUUGAUCUUUUCAUCUCUAUACCCCUAGGAUAUGUCGACUCAGGGUACUGCUAUCUUUAGUCUCUGGGGUAGGGCGCUAUCUACGGAGCUACGCCCUUGCCUCGCGUCGCUCACGUGCGAACCUGUAACACCCCAAAGCAACGUGGGAUGAGAAACAACUCUAUAGUUUCCAAUGGGUACGGCCACCCAAGGAAAAAGUUUGACCAAUAGGUCCAAGGGAGGCAACAACAGGUUAGUUCAAUAAGCAGAUAGAUAUAUAUCUUAAUUAUGCAACUAACAAUACCAUGCUUUGCCUCACGAAUGCAAUAAUGCUAUGCUAUAUGCAAUCAUGCAAGAAUACAAUGCAACAUCUCAAGUAGAUCACUCGAUUCUACUUCUAUCUUGCUAUCUCUCUCAGAUCCAACUAACCUCUAAGGUUUCUAUUACCUUAGAUCCACUACAUUACCACUAGCCCCUAAGGUUCCAUCUACCUUAUUCAAGCUAGCCACCCGACUCGGCCGCUCUGUUUGGCUCGAGGUGAAGGAACACUCGUAUGCACCUCACCUUUCAAUCCACAAUUCAAGUCGCCGACGGGUCACCCAGAGCUGCGUACACCCGUGGUCAGGGACGGUAGGAGGGGGAACAUGCCACACUCGACCCGCGGUCCAAGACCCUCGAUAGGGAGGGGAACAUGCCACACACCCUAGCGAAGCACGAUUCUGCCGGUGGGAGGGGAACCUGCCACACUCAACCCGCGGCUUUGAAUCAAUCAACAGCUCAUCCUCGAAGUUCGUCUAGUGGGAGGGAGAACCUGCCACACUCGACCCACUGCUCUAGAAUUAUCGAGUUCACAAUCCUAGAAUUCCGGAAUCUACUUUCCAAGUAUCUAGGGUAGUCUCAACCCUAUAAUAUCGACCUAUCUAGGUCCAAUACACUUUCCACCCUAGGUCUAGCUGACUCUAGGUUUAAUGCUCUUAUCACAUAACCUAGGCUCAUUCAAUUCUAGGUUCAAUCCACAACCUAUGUUCUUUAUUAAACUAGGUUUAAUGCUUCUCUACCUAGAUCUUAUUAACUCUAGGUUCAACAACACUAGCUUCGAUGUCAACCUAUGUUUAACAACACUAGGUUCGAUAUCAAUCUACCUAGAUCUUGAUUCUAGGUUCAUUCUGUUCAACCUAUGUUCACGACACUAGGUUAAUGCCAUUCGAUCUACCCUAGAUUCACGACACUAGGUUCAACGUCAUUCUUAUUCAUCCUCGGUUCACGACUCUAGGUUCAAUACAACCUAUGUUAUAUAACACUAGGUACAAUGCCACUCGAUCUAUUCGAUACCUAAGUGUCCACAUCGAGUUCCAUAGCCAUGCCUGUUCACUGUGCUAACAUGCAUCUCAUCCAACAUAACACUAUAUGUUAAUAUGCAUGCUCUUUAUCAUGAUCUCAUGAUGCUAACAUGCACCUAGCAUAUAAUCCACAAUGCAUAUAUUCUACGAGAGGUUACCAUGCAUUUCACUUUGCUUUUCUACAUUAUGUCCCAAUGCAUUUAUCAUCUUAGCAUAUUCUAUUUACAUACUUUAACACAUUCAUGAUGCCAUCAUGCACCUAUUCCAAUCAGGCUAACAUGCAUACAUUCUAUUUAUUUGCUCUAGCAUGCUCUACAAUGCCAUCAUACCCAUACAUAUGCGUCAACAAGAACUCAUAGUCCACUUUGACAUGCAGACGACCUAGUCUCUUCGGUAAGCACAACCCACCUGUUAUCGCGUUUCGAUUUCUUAUAGUCACUUGCAAUCGACCGCCCGAGGCACCCGCUAUCCGACUCGGCCCGAACUCGCAAUUGCGCACCAACCGUGCGCCGCUUCGCAGCCCCGGAAAUUAUAGAUCUUCGGUUAUGUGCUACGGUGCUUGGAAUCCAAUUUCAUAAUUUUCGGACGUCGCCUCGGCCCUCCAGGCGGAAACGAAGCUCUAAUAGUCCGUUUUCCCCAUAACUUCGCGUAGGCUCGACGAACCGCCGAACCGACUUUGCCAACGCGUUCGCGUACCUAGCAAUUAGGUUCACGUAGGGUUAAUUUAGAUCAAACCCCUAUACUUUACAAAACCCCAUUUUAACCCUAGAUUUCAUCUAUUGCAAGAAUACACUAUAUAAACCUUGGAUUCAAGCAAUAAACAUCUCAUUAGCAUGAUAGGGUUCCGAGGAAACCAAAUCUAGAGCUUAAAAUCAACACCCUAGAGAUCUACCAUUGUUAAGCAUCAAAGCUUACCUCAAUCAACUCCUCCAAUGGUGAGGAAGAAGAUGAGAGGAAGAAGCUUCCUCUUCCUAGCCUCCUUCUCCUUCUUUCCCUCCUCCAAGAUCCAUCCUCUUUGAGAGAGAGAGAGAGUUUAGAGAGAGAGAGGGAGUGCUUUAGGGCUAAGACAUGAGAAAUAAGGGAGAGAGAGGAAGCCCUUGCUUCUAUACCCUCUCAUAAGUGCAAAAUUGUUGAAAACACCCUCAACAAUGCCUCUUUUGCAACAGCCCAAACUGGGCAUUUUCGGGCUACGGGGACCGGUCCUUGCAUGAGGGACCGGACCCUCAAGGACCGGUCCUUGGUUGAGGGACCCGUCCCCGUAGGUCCAAAAUUCCAGACUUAGCCAAAUUUCAGCCUUUUUCGUUUCUCCUCCGUUUUCGCUCGUUUUUGCUCGUUUGGUCUCCGAUUCAUUUCAUAUCGAACCGAGACUCCCAAAACAUAUUUUCGAGCAUAUUUACAUCAUCUUUUUCAUCCACGCUAAUGCCGGAUUUAGUUCACGGCCCAACAUAGCCUUUCGGGUUUCGUUUUCGCGCCUACGCGCACUGAAACGCCCGAAUACUCCCGAACCUCACCGAACUUCACCGGAACUAUUCAAAUGGCUUUCCAACCAAAUGUAGGGGGUGUUUGGCCUAGCUUUUAAAAAGCACUUUGAAGCUGAAAAGUGAUUUUCGGCUCAAUAAAGCGUUUGGCAACUCGAUUUUAAAAUCUGAUUCUGCUUUUUAGAAUCAGAAAACUGAUUUUGAAGGCUCCAGAAUUAGAAGCAGAAAAAAAGCUGCUUCUUGAAAUCUGAUUUUGAUUUUGGAUUUAAACUUCAAAUUUUUAUUUUUAUUUUUAAUUUCAAUAUUUCAAUCUAAAUUUAAUUUUAAUUUUUAAUUUUCAGAUUCAUUUUUGAAUUUUUAAAUUUUAACUUUUAAAUUUUAAAUUUUAAAUUUUGAAAAAUAGAUUUCAAACAUUAAUUUUUAAAUUUUAAUUUUAAAUUUCAAAUCUCAAAUUUUUGAAUUUCAAAUUUCAAAUUUUGGAAAUCAAAUUUCAAAUUUCAAAUUCAAAUUUUAAAUUUCUUUUAGAUUCUAAAAUUUAAAAUUUUUAAAUUUUAAAUUUAAUAAUAUUUAAAUUUCAUAAUUAUUUUAAAUUUUAAAUUUUUAAAAUUUUAAAUUAUUUUUUGAAUUAAAAUACCAAAUUUUAAAUUUUGUAAAAUUUUGAAAUUUAAAUAUUUUAAUUUUAAUUCAAAUUUAAAUUAAGAUUUUAAAUUAUUUUAAAAUAAAAAUUAAUAAAAAUAUUAAUUUAUGCAAACAUUAAAAAAAAUUUGCCAAACAGCUUUUCAAAAUCACUUCAGAAAAAUCACUUUUAUCUAAACUCCGCCAAACACUCUACAGCUUUUAACCAAAAUCACUUCUCCAAAUCAAAAUCACUUUUUCAGAAAUCACUUUUUCCGAAGCUAGGCCAAACAGGCCCGUACACCGUAACUUCAUAAUUUUAGAAGUCCGGUACCUUACACUUCCUAGCUUUAGUGCAAGAAGAAAAGGACAAGGGAAAAGUUCCUCUAACCAGGGAUUUGCUGAAAUAAAGCUUGGAGUCGAGAAAACUGAACAAAUGUAAUUAUGGCUUGAAAAUCCAAUUAACUCAAAAUUAAAGCAACGUACCUCUCAAUUCAGUUGGAAGCACCUUCAAAUCACUUGGAAUUGAAGGAAAAUCCAUCAAACAUCCUCCAAUUUCACAGCUAGAAGAAAUGGAAAUAAGAAUUUAACAAAAUCCAUCCAUCACCAUAAUUUUAUCACUAAAGAGAAAAAUUUGGCAAGUUAACUCUUACUAACCUGCAAUUAGGUUUGAGGAAUAAGAUUACGAGGUCCUUUCCUUCACUAGUACCCCACCAAAAGCUCAUUUUUGCAGCUAGAAUCUGGAUUUAAGACUCGGAUCAAAAGAAUUAACGAUAUUCCAACAAGAGUUAAAAAAUCAGCCCAAUUCUCAAUUCUAGUUCAAAUUCAGGUUUAUUAACCUGGAAUUCCAGCUUAUAGAAUAUGCAAUCUGACCACCAACACUCCCUUUUCCUGUAAUUAACCCUCAAUUAUGAAGUAGAACUUUCUAUACCCUCCAAUUAUUUCCCCUCCUCGGAAUCAGCCCUGCUGCCAGCAAACUGCUGCUGCUGGCAGCCCACUGCAGUUGUGCUGAAAAUGCAGCUUGAUGCUACAAUUCUCUUGAUCCACAAGAAGAUCUAGGGCAGGGAGAGGACAAGGUGCAAUCCAGUGGUGAUCCCAAGUUCCUAAACUACAGGAAAAGUCCACAAUUCACCACAAAAAAUUCAUUAUAAAUAAGAAAUAAAGGUGGAGAAUUCAGCUUCUACAUAAAAACUGUUUUUCGAUUUUCGAUCUUAAUGAAAAUUGAAAUUCUCAUUCAUUUUACCUCCAAAUUGGUCCAAACAAGAUUCUAAUCAUGAGAGGAUGAAGUCAAGAUCACUCCCAAACCUUCAAAAGCUCAGCUUCUAGAAAAAAUUCACAUGGAUUUUAUCAAAAUCUGAAAUUGGUUCAUUUCAGUCCAGAAAAUCAGCAUGUGUACAAUCUAUGACCAACUUUAAAAUUAGAGCUACUAACCUACAAUUCAAGCUCAAGGAAGGUACAAACUGGUUCCCAACUUCCCCCCACACCACUACAUGUCUUCAAUUUCGAAUUUGGACCUUCGAAACUCCUCCAAUUAACUCCGAAACUCCAGCUGAUCCUGCUGCCAGCUGAGCUACUGCUGCUGGCAGCCUUGCUGCAGCUGUUGAUGCAACCUGCAGCUAGUUGUUGCUGGCAGCUCUCCCCAGCUGCAGCUAAAGAGGGUGUAGGAAAGGAAGAAAAUAAGGGAAAGAUAAGUUAGAGCUAGAUGCCAACUACUUCAACUCUUAUCUUGCUGCAGCUACCACAAACUGCACCACCUUCUGCUCCUCCGUUGCUGGCUGCAGCUCAAUUGCUGGCAGCAGCAGCAAUUCCACAACAUGUAUGGGAAUGCAGGGCAGGGGAGAGGGAGGAGAAGGAAAGGAAGUAGAAGAAGAAGAAAGACAGAAUUGCCACCUACUAACCUCUACAACCUCAGCUACCAACUAGCUGCUGCUGCUGCUGAGGAGGGCCUCCAAGCUGCACUUGUGCAGGACCAGCAGAGAGAGAAGGACCAGUGCAGAAUAUAAAAUAUUAACAACAAUCGGUCUGUGAAAGCUUAAGAUAAAGAUAUUAGGGCUUGUUUGGUUCAUCCAUUUUGGGUAUGGAAUGGGAAUCAGUUUGAUCAAAUCCGGUUAAUUUUGUUUGGUUCGCAUGAAUCGGUUUGGGAUUCCUAUUCCGGACUGGAAUGGGAAUGACCCAUUAGCCUUCAACUUGAUUCCGGUCUUCUAGCCUGGAUUGAGAUUUCAUUCUGGAAGCCCACUAAGUUCUCGAAGCCCAUGUGACCAUCUCACCCUCCUUCUCUUCACCCCUUUCUCAUCAAAAAAAAAAAAAAAUCUAUCCUCUCUCAAAACCCUAUCCCUAACCCACAUCAAUAAAAAAUUUUAAAAAUAAAUUUGAUAUUUUUUUUGGAAAACUUACUAGAGAAUAGUAUUAUAUUUUUCAUAAAUUUUAAAUAAUAUAAAUUUAUAUUUGAGAGUAAAAUUAGUAUUAUAGUAUCCUAUAAUUUUUUUAGUUUAUACGAACCAAACAAUGAAAUGUGAAUAACUCAUUCCAAUUCCCAAUCCACAAAUAAACCAAACGUCUUGGGGGAGUGGGCCAUUCCAAUUACCAUUCCAAUUCAUUCCCAUUCCAUUAUCCAUUCCAAUUCCACCCUUGAACCAAACAAGCCCUUAGAAUAAUCUAUUGUUUUCAUAUGGUAUCAGAGCAGAAGGUUUUUAGAAUAAGUAGUUGUUUUCAUCGAUCGCAUUUAAUUUCUUCCUAUUUAAAUUCAAGUUCAUAUGUUGGGAUGAUGCAGCCAAAAAAGGAUUAGCUAGGAUUUUAAAUUUAUUUUUUAUUUUUCGGAAUUAUUAUUUUUAUUAAUUUAUUUUAGAGAAUUUUUUUUUAGAAUUUAUUAUGUGAAAUGAAUUUCUAAAAAUUAGGGAUAUGGUUUAGAAUUUUUUUAGAUAUAUUUGGAUUAGAAAAAUAUCCCUAGAACUAUGGGGUUUGUUUUAGAUUAGAAUUAGAAUUAGGAUUUGAAUUAGAAAAAUAUCCCUAGAGGGAGGUGCCUCUACGCUUCUAAGUUCUUUUCGAUGAUGGGACUUUCGAGUCGACGACGGCUUCGUUAGACUUGAGUAAGAAUAUUCGAAGUAUCUGAAAAUUUACAUAGAGAUUGAAUUGUUUCUAGAAAACAAUUCGAUAUUAUUUACAUAGAGAUUGAAAGGACUAAAUUUUCAUGAAAAUUUAAUAAAAAUCUAUGCCAAUGUGCUAAAGGAAUGCCACUAGCAAUGGGGGGCCGUGCCGACGUUGGUAUGCCCCGUGCCGCUGUGCUGUGCUAUUGGCAUAAUGCCAUGACCCGUGCUAGUAACACGGUAAUCCUUAGUUCAUAGGUCUUUGUGAUUGUCACGGCCCGAGAUCCGCCACUUUGGUCGGAUUCGGCGCGCCAACAGACCGUCGAAUGGACAGAGUUUUUCCUGUACGUCCAAAGCGUCACUGUCAUGCCCCAAACCCGAGGCGUAACAGACGCCGCAUACCUGCUAAACUAGCAAAUAUGCAAGGCUACAGAAUCAGACAGAAACUAGCAAAAAGAUGAUUACCAAUUUUUCCACUAAAUCCAAAGAAUCAUAAGAUAGACUAAGAAAUUGAAUUUCAGCUAAAAUCAAACGGAAUUCUCUCAUCUAUAAAACUAAAGCUUACUACGAAUCACAAGAGAGAUUCGGUCUACAAAAUACCAUAUAAGUAAUAAAAGUGGGUACGAAGAAAUAACGAAAUAAAAUAGAUAAUAAACGAUCAUAGAUAAUCCGAAAAUACUAGAUGUAAAAACAAAAGGGACUAAAAUCAAAACUAGCUAUGUUAAACGUUUACUCGGUCUCAGCCCCGCCCGGCAAAUCAGUCUCGGUACCUGGGUAAGCAACCAUACACCACAUUAGUCGGAUUAAGCAUACAAUACAAAUAAAUAAAUGAAUACAAAAUUUAAUUCAAGCGACUGGUCUUUAAUUUGCAAAAUUUAGAAAACAAGAAUUUAUCAAACUUAAAAUUCAGAUCAAAUUGGAACUAUAAUUUUAUAAAGCAUUUCUCUUUAAGCAAAUAACGAAAUAAAUAUUAAGUCUUUGGCAACUAACUAUAUCAUAUAAUCCGUUGGCGAGAUCCAGAGGCACCCGAAGGCGCAAACAGAACAGAAGCACCCGAAGGUGCAAACAGAACAGAGGCAUCCGAAAGUGCAUGUACAAAACAGAGACAUCCGAAGGCGCAAACAAAACAGAGGCGCGGAUAGGCGCAGGCACCCGAAGGCGUAAUACAAAGAAGAAACUCGCUUCUAUAACAAAAUACAUGUCGACAUGGCCAACGUUAGCAUAGUAGAAUACCAAGAGACAUUAUAAUUUAAAAUUAUCCAGUCACUAACUUACAGAACAGAUUAUCAAAUUUCAAAAUUUUCUAUUAAAAGAAUCUUUCAAUCAUAGUUGAAACUCAAUUUGCAAAAAUAUUUAAUAUACGCUUAACCCUUAAUUUUUAAAAUCUACAAAAUAAAGAUUUUCACACAAUCAAAGUAUUUCCUAAAUUAUUUUACGAAAAACUAACGGGUGUCCGGUCGCUUACCUCAAGAGCGGCUUCUAAGCUAAGAAGCUAUCCAGUCAAAAAUCGCAUGAAAAUCAAUCGUCGGAACCUAAAAUAGAGAUAUACGAUUGUCUAUAAGCUACUCAAAAAUAAUUUACAAAAAUAAUAUAUAUACAUUUAGAAGGCAAGCUUAUACAAAAAUCUGAAUUCGGAUAGGUUCACAUAGGUCAACAAUGUCGGCUACAAAUGCAUGCAAAAAGGUCAAGACGGAGCACGAAAGAGAUUUAGAAUAAUAAAUUCGACGAAACUCAAUUAACAAUCAAGAGGAUGAUGAGUUCGAAAUAUUAAAGUUUUCAAAGAAGCAAGAUAACAUGAAUGAAGUUUUAGAUAAUAAACGAAGGAUCUAAUGCUCGAAAAGAGGGUUUUCAAAUGUUGAAACAUUGAUGGACAAUUUACAAUUAGAUGGGAUCGAAAUUAGAAACAAAAAUAAGGUUCGCUCUUAGGCAUUUUAUCGAACAUGCAAGGAGCAUUACAAGAAGUAUGUAGAAUAUGGAGAAUUUGUAUAACUAAAUAAGAUAGGGAUACAAGAUAAAAUGAUAGUUGAAAUAACGCAUAUUUAGAUCCCAUCUAAUUGUANUGGAGAAUUUGUAUAACUAAAUAAGAUAGGGAUACAAGAUAAAAUGAUAGUUGAAAUAACGCAUAUUUAGAUCAAAGCAAAUCAGAUUUUGAUAGUUUUAAUUCCAAUUAUCAAGAGAUAAGUAUUCAAGAUCAAUCAUAUAAUAAUGAACAAGAAGGUUGGAUGAUCUCAAGAUUUAGUGAAAGAGAAAAGAGAUUAAAAAAAGAACCUCUUCAAAGACGGAGACAACGAUGACGAGAUAUCGUCAACGACGAACCAAAAAUGCCGAUAGAGAUCAAACAAAAGGGUUGCGGCAGCAGCGACCACGGAUAACGGCGACGACGGUAGGGAUCGGAUAGCGUCGCGCGUGCACGUGCGGAGCGGCAGAGAUGUACGGACGCGGUGAAGGAGGAGAGAGAGAAAGAAUCGUGCGGGAGAGGAAAGAGAGAUCGGGUGAGGGUUGGUUGGGAAGAGUUAAUUAAGUUAGGUACUAAUUAGGUAACAAAAUGCCGCCGAGUCCCUCGAAGAUUGAAAAUUACGAAAAGCUCCAAACUUAAUAAGAUAGGUGUAAGGUACCGGACUUCUAAAAUCAUGAAGUUAUGGUGUAAAUUUGGUUGGAGAACCAUUUGAAUGGUUCCGGUGAAGUUCGGUGAAGUUCGGGAGCAAUCGGGCGUUUCGGUGCGCGUAGGCGCGAAAAUGGAACCCGAAAGGCUAUAUUGGACCAUGAGCUAAAUCCGGCAUUAGCGUGGAUGGAAAGAUGAUGAAAACAUACUUAAAAACAUGUAUGGAGAGUCUUGGUUCGAUUUGAAGUGAAUCGGAGGUCAAAUGAGCGAAAACGAGCGAAAACGGACGAAAAUGCUGAAAAUUUGGCUAAGUCCUUAAGGCUGGCUGGAAUGCAUACGGGGACGGGUCCCUCAGCUAGGGACCGGCCUCUCAGGGACCGGUCCCUCAUCCAAGGACCGGUCCCCGUAGCCCGAAAAUGCCCAGUUCGGGCUGUUGCAAAAAGAGACUUGUUGGGGGGUUUUUAUGCAAUUGUUGCAUAGGUUAAGUGUAUAGAGAGGGUUAGAACACCUCUCUCUCUCUUUCCCUCACCGUUUCAACCCCAACACCAUCCCUCUCUCUCUCUAAACGAAAAAGAAAAGAAGAAGAGAAAGAAGAGAAAGAAGAGAAGAAGAAGAAGAUGGAGAAGAUGGAGAUGGAGGCUAGGAGAAAGAGCUUCCUUCCUAUCAUCUUCUUCCUCACCUUGGAGCAAACCUAGAGCGGUAAGCUUCUAAGGCUUUAAUGGUAACUUCUUAGGGUUUGGUUUAUACCCUCUAAGGAUGGUUUAGAUGGAAUCCUAGCAUGCUAAAUAAGUGGGAAAUACCCAAUUCUUGAUUCGAUUUGGAGUAUUUUGACGUAGUUGCAAACUAGGGCUCGAAAGAGGGUUUUUGUAAAUAGAUGGGUUUGAUCUCAUUUAGACCUCUGUAAACCUAAUUGCUAGGUAAACGAACGCGUUGGCGAAGUCGGUUCGGCGAUUCGUCAAGCCGUUAUAAAGAUAUUGAAGAAACAAGCGAUUUAGCUUCGUUUCCGCCUUGAGGGCCGAGGCGACGUCGUAAAAUCGUGGAAAUGGAUUUGGAGCACCGUUGCACAUAACCGAAGACUUAUAAUUUUUGAGGCUGUGAAGCGGAGCACGGUUGAGGCGCAGUUGUAAUAUCAGGCCGUGCUAGAUACGGGUGCCGCGGGAGGCCGAUUGCAAGUGUCGACAAGCAAUUGGAACGCGAGUUAAGGUGGGUUGUGCUUACCGAAGCGACUAGGUCGCCUUUAUGUCUAAGAAAGUUAAAAUGCUAAGUUGAUGCAUGUAGCUAAUGCUAGAUAAUGCAUGUGGAUAAUGUAAUGCAAAUGCUAAGUAGAUGCAUAUAAAAUGAUAUGUGAGAUUAUAAAUGCAUGAUUAGCAUUGUGAGAUUAUAAAGGGUAUGAUUAGCAUUGAGAAAUUAUAUAUGCAUGUGAACUUGGUUGAUAACUCUAGAUUGAGUAGAGAACAUGACAUUGGAAAUAGGAACGUGAAAACUAUAGAAUACUCGAUGGGACAACUAGGGUGUCGAAUAGAUCGAGUGGCAUCUAACCUAGUGUUAGUAAACAUAGGUUAAACAGGAAUGACAUCGAACCUAGUGUUGAUAAACAUAGGUCGGACAUAGUGAUGUUGAACCUAGUGUCAAUGAACAUAGGUUGAACUAGUAAGCUAGAGUUUUGUAACCUAGAGUGGCUUUGAACCUAGGUUGUUGAGUAUAGUGGUAGCAGCCACUAGGAUGUUCUAGGUCGACAGCAUAGGGUUGGUUAUGGACCCUCGACCUGUGGAAGUGGAUUCCGGAAUCCUAGGAUUUGUGAUGAUGACCUUGGUAUCAAGGCUAGGACGUGUGCGGCGACUUCGUCGCCGAGAUUGAUACCAAGGAUGGAUUGGGGGUGAAUGUGCAGAGAUCACCGCCCGCGGCUUGAACCAUUGUCGUGGCGUGUGCGACGAUUUCGCCGCCUGAUGGUUAAGCCAGUUUGUGGAUUAUGCUGCCAGAUCGACUUGAGCCAUUGUUGGGUGAGGUGCGAUUCGUUCGCCGCCAGAUGGCCAAGUCAAGGGACUUGAACCAGUGUUCGGCGUGUGCGAGGACUUCGUCGCCAGCUGGUUAAGUCUUAGAGGGCGACCAGUGCGUGGACUAUCCGCGGAUGAUUGACUCGAGGCCGAGUCGGGUGGUUAGCUUGAUUAGGUUAAUGGAAACCUUAUAAGCUAGUGAUAAAGGUAAGAGCUAAGGUAAUAGAGACCUUAGAAGCAAGUCGAGCUUGAGUGUGGUGAACUAAGGUAGUAGAAAUCUUAGAGUCAAAUAACAUGAGCUAAAACUAGCUGAGUUGAAUGUAGAAUCAAUAGAUCUACUGAAUCAAUAGAUCUACUGAAUGGUUGCUUAAUUGCAUAGAACUGCAUAAUAUUCAUAUUGCAUAUUGUGAGGCAUGUUAUCUGUUAGUUGCAUAGUAACACUAUGAUAUAUAUCUAUAGAUGUUUUUUGGACUAACAUGAUUGCAGUGCCUCCAUGGACCUUUUGGUCGAGCUUUUCCCUUGGGUGGCCGUACCCACUGGAAACCAUGGAGUUGGUUUUCACCCCACGCUGUUUUGGAGUGUUACAGGUUCACACGUGAGCGGUGCGGCGGCGCGAGGAAAGGGCAUACCUAGAUAGCGCCCUACCCAGAGACCAGAGCUAGCAGUACCCCGUCGACAUAGCUUAGAGGUAUGGGGAAUGAAAAGAACACAAUGUAUCAAAUUGUAAUAAGUAAACGAUGUAAUAACUUAGAUUGUAUUUGGAGGAAUCAAAUGAAAACUGUGAUGUAAAAAUGUAUGAAUGUGAAUGCAUGUAAUAANCAAUGAGAACUGUGAUGUAAAAAUGUAUGAAUGUGAAUGCAUGUAAUAACAUAGGAUGUGUUAUGUUGUUGAUACCUUCCUUAUGCAAUCUGUUUGUUGAGUACUGUUCCUGGUUGGAACCUUUGUAUUGUAUUGAUUGCGAUGUCUUGAAUGUACAGGGGAGACUCUAUCCGUAGUACAGGGAAAACCCUGUCCAUUCAGCGCUGUUGGCGCUGCGACCUCGGCUAAAUAGGCGGGUGGUCGCGGGUCGCGACAAUAGGAGUCAAAACAAGAGGUUUAAAAGUAUGGGGUGUUACAGUCACAAUCAUUCAGCUCAAGAGGUUCCAAACAGAAACAGAAUGCAUAUAUAGAUUGUAUAAGGAAGGCAUUAGAAACAUAAAUACUAUGCUAUUACAAGCAUUCAGUUUACAUUUACUGUAACGAAGUGAAUCCUCGAAACUCGAGGAUUAGACUUCGUUUAGAAUCGACUAAUGGUCGAGUGCGUAAGCUUCGGAAAGUCCGAAGGUGAUCUUAAUGCAUAAAGUGCAUUAAAGAGAGGUCCGCGAGAGCACCAGUGCAAAACUUGCACUGGAGCAGAAAUGCUCUCGGGGACCGGUCCCUGGCAGGAAGGGACCGGUCCCAUCAAGCUGGGUUGCGGAGGUCUCUAAUGAGACCGGUCUCUAGUGGGCAGGGACCGGUUCCCGAACGUUGGCCCGGCGAGACUUAGCCAAAUUUGGCUAAGUCCCGAGAAUGCAGCUCUCGGGAACCGGUCUCUCGGACAAGGACCGGUCUCCCGGGGACCGGUCUCUNUGAAUAAGAUCGAUGAACAGGUACAUAGCUUUACCUUUGACAUGACGACAGGUUAGUUGCUUACCAAUUCAUUGGACAUGCAUUCAUAUAUCUAUGAUUGGGCAUAGUAGUGUAGCUUUACUUUCCCGUCCUUACAGUUUUGCCUAUUAUCUAUAUAUAUCGGUAUAUCUACUUGUGCCCGCUUGGACCUAGUGGGGAGAUCGGCGGAGUCGGCGGCCGAACCCACUGGGAACUAAGGAAGUUAGUUCUCACCCCCCCAUUUUACCACAGGUUCUAUUUCGGGCGUCCCUGGCGAGCGUGAGGAUCGCGGUAAGGGCCCGGCGCUCUAGUCACAUUAGCUACCUCCCUUUUUUUAUUAGCUGUCACCGUUUUAUAUUUGAGAGUAGAUGAUGUAUAGGGUGAGGUUCGAGUGAUUGUACUUAUACUUUUGAAAGAAUGUAAAAGAUGGAAUUACAUGCAUAUAUAUUAUGUCGAAUGAAUGUAAUAGAUAGCCUCUUCUCUCUUUAUGUACUUGUAUAUGUUUCUAUACUUGUAUCUUGCUCUUGUUUGUCGCACUGGUGGUGCUUCUUGAUCGUGUAUUUAUGAAUUGAAUUCCUGGGUAAAUUCUUAUACAUGAUCUGUUGGUUGCCUUGGGCGGACAGGGGAGGUCCUGUCCGUUCGGCGUCUGUUCGACGCGCCCGGGCCGGACCAAAUUGGUAGCGGUCUCGGGGCGUGACAUUACAUUCUCCCAAAUACAAUCAAACUUUAACACAAUUUUGUCUUAAUUCUUUUCUUCUCUACCCCACUAAGCUAUGCUGACUCGGGGUACAUCUAUCUCUGCUCUCAAGUGGUAGGACGCUAUCUACCGAGCUACGCCCUUGCCUCGCGCCGCACGUGUGGACCUAAAAAACAUGAGGGUGAGAACUAUAAACAUAGUUUUCAAUGGGUACGACAACCUAAGGGAAAAGCUCGACCCACCAGGUCCAAAGGAGGCAAUAUAAGCAAGUUAGUCCAAUAUAUAUAAAUAUAUCACUGUAAGCAACUAACAAAUAUCAUGGUUAUGCCUCAACUAAAUGCAAUAUGAAAUUUAUGCAAGUAGAUCUACCAUUUCUAUUUUCUAUUUGACAAUUCAUUUCUAAGGUUCUUUACCUUAUCCAAGCUGUAAUAUACCGAAUUUUUAAUAUAAAAGUGUAAAUAAAAAUAGUGUAAGAUACUAUUUUUAUUGGACUUAGAGCAGUAAAAUAUAAGUCGGAAAUGACUUAUGCUGAAAUUGGAAUGGAAACAGAAGAUUUAGAAUUUUCUGUAAGAAACGGGACUGAUAUUUUAGCAGAAAAUUCAGUGUCAGAAAAUUAUGAAAAUUGGAGAAUAUGUUGGAAUUAUUUUUAUGAGGCUAGAUUUAAAGUUUCAUGUCAUUUUGACACUCGGAAAGUGAAAAAUAAAAUCUAACUGCUAUCUGCUAGAGAUUCUAGUUGGUAGAGCUUUCGGUGACCAAAAAAUGGUCCAAACUGAAAAGUUAAGAUAUUUUUCUCCUUAUUAAUUUUAAUCGAGCCUGACUGUCAAAUUUGAGAGCAAACGGACAUUCAGAAGGACUUCGGCGAAAAGUAUCAGAUUCUGAACUGGGAACAGAUUUAAUUAAGGAUAUUGUGAGGGGUUUAUAUGCAAUUGUUUAAUCUUAUCCUUUAAAUCCAGCCCUCCACCAGCCUUCCCUGUGUACAGGGUGGUCUUUUCCUCCUCAUUGUCUCUUUCACUCUCUCUCUCUCUCUAGAACCUAUGGUAGGUGGGUUUAAUGGAGAACUUGAUGAAGUAGUGUUGCGGGCUGCGAGGAAGCCUUUUGAGCAGUGAAACCAGCUAGGGAGCUUCCGAAUUGAGGUAAGGUGGCUGUAAUCUUUGGUUUGGGUUAGGUUAUUGGCUCUAAAAAGGAUCUAAGCUAUAUAUCCUUAGAGUUAAGGAUCGAUCAUACUUGCAAUGAGUUCCGUGCUCGAGGGCGGUAGCUCCACCUCGAGCGAUGCGCUCCGGAGUUUUGCAUCACGAGUUGGAGUCAACCCGAGAACGGUCUUAACGGGAGGCAGCUGAGGGCCCGCGAUGAUGGACUUAAUGUGGGCAAGUUAAUGUGGCGAAACCCCCGGGUUAGCCGUGAGAUUAAAGAACAAAGAACAAAGAUUAAAGAAUAAAGAGUAAAGAACAAAAAACAAAGAUUAAAGAAUAAAGAGUAAGGAACAAAGAACUUGCAUACUUGCAUGAUUUACGUUAAGCAUAUUCCUUGCUUUAUUGUUCAGGCAUAUUAGCAUCAUGAUUAUAGUUGGUUACUAUUCUGCUUGUCCUUUCUAUUAUGCCUGAGUUAGUCCUAGUGGGAAAGUCGGUGAGAUUGGGGCCGAACUCACUGGAAACUUUGUUGUAGUUCUCACCCCACCAUUUCCACAGAGCCGGGACCGAGUGAGCCGGCGAGCGACCGUUGUAAAGGUAUCGCACCAUAGUCAGAGGCCACCAGAGUUUGGUUAUUUCACAUUUUGUUAGUAGCUACCCUAUUGUCAUCUUUUGUACUUGAAGAUGUUUAAAGUAAAGAAAAAGAAUGUAAAGUUUUAUUUUGAGGCAAUGUGAUGUAAAAAGAAAUGAUGCAAGUGAUGUAAUGAAAUGUAAAGAAUCAUGAAUAUGAAGGUUAAAUGCAAUGUAUGUGAUCAAAAGUUGAAUCAUAGUACUGGUGAAGAUGUUUAGUUUCCUUUCUUUUACUCAUGGCUAUUGCUUACCCUCGUGUAAGCCAUAUUUGUAUAUUUCCGCUAGUGCUUUUCUCUACUUGAAAAUGUACAGGUGAUGAGCCUUGGGCGGACAGGGGAAACUCUGUCCGUUCGGCGUCUGUUUGACGUGCCGGGCCGGCCCAAAUUGGUAUCGGUUUCGGGGCGUGACACAUACUCACUAGUCUGUUUUCGCUUGUCGGUGGUCGCUCUACCGAAGCACGAGUCUCCAGAGUACUUCACUAGGGGCAGACGUAGUUGUCCCGCAGACGGUCUCGGUGUGCGAGUGUAGCUUCUCCCCACCUAUGAGAUUGAGAGUGAAUCGAGGGUUUAACCUACGGGUUAGCCAAGUAGAUUGGGUAAUAAACAUGAAUGGCAUAGUAGAAUUGCAUUAUUAUCUCGAGUAGACAGUGUAUGUUGUAGAUUGCAUUGCUAUGUACUUCUAUAUACUCAUGACCUGAUACUAGCAUGAUAGUAGUUGUUGCAUGCAUCGUUAUCAUUGGUGGCAUGAUAGAGUAGUUGCAUUUCAUUUCUCUAUAUAUCUAUCUAUCUCUCUAUCUGUGCCAGCUUAGACUAGUGGGUAAAUCGGCGGAGUCGGCGGCCGAACCCACUGGGAACUAUAUUUAUAUAGUUCUCACCCCGUGUGUUUUUGGGGGACAGGUACACACAGGGGCGAGCCGCGCGAGGAUCGCGACAAGGGCAUAGCGCCCUAAGUGAGUAGUUAGUAGCUUUCCUUUUUGCAUAUAGAAUACCCUCGUGUACUAGAAGAUGUAUAUUUUGGAUAGGCAGUGGAGAGCUAUGAUGUAUUUUGGGAAAAACAUGUAUUUACAUUUUGAAAGAUGAAAAUGUAAUGUAACCAAAUGAUGUAACUAUUGAAUGGUUGUAAUAGCUAGAUAUUUCUCUCUUUAUACACUUGUACAUUUACUCGUGGUUCUUGCUCUUAGUUGUAGAGCACUUGUGUGCAUCGUAUUGAUCAUGUAUAUUAUUUAAGCAUUUCCUGGGCGCUUAAUUGUACUUGAUCUAGUUGUUUAGCCUUGGGCGGACAGGGGAGGUCCUGUCUGUUCAGCGUUCGUCCGCCGCGCCCGGACCGGACCAAAUUGCUUGUAGACACUUUGAUAUGGAAGCGACCUAGUCACUUCGGUGAAGCACAACCUACCUCACAAAACUUUCUAAAUUGCUUGUAGACACUUGCAAUUAGGCCAACCUCUUGGAUCUCCAAGCUUGCUCCCAAGCUUUUCUUGCCCUAUGGCCUAUACAAGAGAUCCAUUCGUUACCACUUUCGAACCAUUAAAUAAUUUUUUUUCUUGAAAUCAAGUGGCCACACAUGAUUUCCUAAACCUCAAUUAGGGUUUUAAAGGGUUAAAAUAUUUUUAGAACUCUCCACAAGCAAACUCCUCUUUCAACCUAGGGUUUUUCCAAAACUAGAGGAGAAACCCAAAUCUCAAGUUAAAUCCUACUAUUUAUGGUCUAGAUUUAACUAGGAUUUACCAAAAUCCUAAAUCCAAGGAUUAACUCAAAACCCUAACCUUACAUUCCAAAACUCACCUCGAGUCGGAAGCGCUCCGAGCCACCAAGCGCCUAAGAGCUCGAUUCACUGCUCCUCCGAGCUUCCCGAGUUCGAUCUCCACCAAGAUCUCCAAAUCGGAGAGGAGGAAGAAGAGAGAGAGAGAUGAGCUCCUCUCUUUCUCUCAAUACGCAUGUGUGUGUGUGUGUGUGUGUGUGUGUGUGUGUGUUCUGGAGAGAAGGGGAUGGGGACCCCUUUAUAUAAGCCCCCAAUUAAAUUACCAAAUUACCUUUCAAAAUCAGUAUUUUGCAGGGCAGAGUACCGGUACUCGGGUUGGCGUACCAGUACUCAGGCAUCCAGUACCAGUACUCGAUUUUCGGUACCUCAAAACCCGAACGUUAGAUUUCCAAUUUUUCUACUGUGUAUCGGUAUUCAAUUUCCAGUACCGGUACCCAAUACAAAUCCAGUAUCGGUACUCAGGUUUGAUUCCUCAAAACCCGAGAGUUCGAAUUCCUCAUUUUGUAUUGCGUACCGGUACUCAGAUUCCAGUAAUAGUACUCAAUACAAAUUCUACAACUUACGCAGAUUUCAGCUUUUGGAUCGUUUUCGUGCCCGAUUUGCGCCUAAAAUACUCAAAUGCUCCCCAAUCUUCACCAGAACUACUUAAUUAAUAGCUUUUUAAGCUAGUUUACACCAAAACUUCAUAAUUGUACAAGUUCGGUAUGUUACAGUGAUAUUGCACUUUCAAUGGUUUACAUUUUGAAUUUACAGCCUUUAUGCUUCAAAUUUUAAAUGCUCGUCGUUUGUGGAUCCCCAUUGUGUAUCUGUACUGCUAUACGAUGCAUUCAUUGUGUGAAACUAUGUAUACAUCAUGAUGUAACAUCAAAUGUCAUUCGCUUUAGACUUUUCAUAAGUUUCCUGGAUAAAUUAAUACUCUCUGAUUUGCUUGACUGUUGUUCUACAAUUUUUCGAUUUAUUUUAGUUGGAAAGCUAGUUCACAUUUUUAACCUGAUUAUAACCUAAUCAUACUCAGUCUGCUCUAUUCUACCUGUCAAUUACUGUAAUAGCUGGGUGUCUUCUUACCCUUAUGAGUCAUGAGGCUGAGUAGCUGAGUGUGAAUAGCAAGUCUGAGUUUUUGAGUUCUCUGCUAGUAAGUCUAUGCUUGUUUUGAGGGUUUUCAUUGUUUAUUGUGCAGGAAUGCUCUGUUCUUGUAUUCAUGCUCUACUUCUAAUAUAUGCCGAUAUCAUUUAAGUUGGAUUUAUUUGACUUGACAGCUUCAUUGUGACCUUCUCAAAUAAAGCUCCUGACCUAGAGAAAGAUAGCGACGCUGUGCAAGAGUUUCUUGCUGACAUGGAAGAUGCUUUUCGGGCCCAUAAGCUUUGGGCCGGUAGUUCAGAAGAAGAGUUGGAAAGUGCUGGUGAGGUACGAUAGAUAUUCCAUUUUGAUUACUUGAAGUAUGAUAGUAAUUGUAAAUGCUGGCAAUACAAGAGAGAAAGAAUGACAUACUAGACAGUCUAAAGCUAGAAGGCUAAGAAUUUUGGUGUCAUAUAUAUGAAAUGGGGGGACAUUUUCUAAAGUUGAUUUAUCCUAUCAAAGAAUUUUCUGUUCUUCCUACACCUUUUUUAUAAAAAAGGCCUUCGAUUGUUGGGAAGCUUGUUCUAUUGCGUCCCAAGCGUCAUGAUCAGAUUGGCAGAAACAACUUCUUUCUGGGGUUAAGUACAUAUGGUUCUUCUCAGACCCCUGGUGGGGGUACCUUAUGCACCAGCUUCCGCUCUAACAACUAACUGAAUUCUUGUUGUUGGGAAAAGCAUGAUGGUUCAUGGACAUAAGAAUUUACCAUUAUAUCUUCUUGCAAGUAACAGAAUAGGAAGAAAAAAAUUAAACCCAGUAAGUGUAGUCUUAGUAUGGCUUCUAUUCUAGAAAAAUCUUUAUAUCCUACUUAUCUUUUCUGUAGCAAAUGGUACCAAAGAAGUUCUAUCAUUUAUAUAAAUUGCAUCAGCAUAUUGGCUUCCUAUUAGUUGCUGUAGGUCUUUAAUCUUCCCAUUUUUAACAGCACAUGAUGAUCUAGCUCACUAGCUGUAAAUGUCCAUAAAUGCAUAAAGCAAGAAUGGAUUCAUUGAUUGAUUAGUUUUCUAAUAUAACAUUUGCAAUCAGAGAAGUUUUAUUCAGUUGUAUGAACUAUAUCAAUUUCUGGUUUUUCUACUUGAUUCUCUGGCUUUUUUUCUUAUUUUUUAUUAUUUUUUUUAAGAACUAUUAGUUGAUCAGCUAUAGUGCCAUACAUCCAAUGGCACUUGAAUACACAUAGCAGAAGAUCCAUUGCUGGAUUGUUGUUUAUAGUAUGAGUCAAUCACUUAUUUAUUUCUUAGCAUGGUUAUGUUAAUAAUUGAAGACAACUGUGAAAAAACAAAGGAUACUUGUCAUUAUUAGCUAGCUUGCAAUGAAACCUUAACUAGAUGUUAAAAGACAUCUUUUUUUAAAAAAAAAAAACCCUAAAGGAAGUUACUAUGAAGUUUUUGUUUUUCAUGGCCAAACAAAACCUGACAGAUGAAUAGACUGCAAGCACUCCACCAUCCACCCAUACACUGCAUUAUAUAGAAUUUGUGUUUGUCAAAGAAGAAACGCAACAAUGUUAAACAAGGCCUAAGUUAAGUGACACGGAUCAAAUCUCCCUUUACAACUGUCUUCUAUUACUCUUGUUAAAAAUUCAGCAAAUAUUUGAAUCUCAAUACUGCAUUUUAAGUUUCGCAAGGCACAAACAUAUCUGGUUGUACUAUGAAGGACGACAACCUGUCUCUGUGUAUACUAUAAUUCAGAUGCUUUAUGUAUCUAUUGAAAUGUUUAUGGGUGAUUGCCAUCUCGCACUAAGCACUUCUUACCUACAAGUAUAAAUAUGUUGUCCCUGGUAUCACUUUUACCAUUUUAAACAAGUUUAGUGUGGCUUAGAGGUUGAAAGUCAUUUUGCUUGUUGGUUAUAAAAUUACCUUGCAAGCAUGAGCUCACAUAAAUUCUGUUGGACGUUAGUUAUUGUUUUGAGCUAGUUACCUUGCAAGCAUGAGCUCACAUAAAUUCUGUUGGACGUUAGUUAUUGUUUUGAGCGAGUGGCGAUACUUUAACUAUGAUGACCUCCUCUGUCAAGCCUAUUGAAGAGUGACAAAAUCCAUUGUCAUUCGUUUGUAUUGGAGGUUAUCAUACUUCAGUCUGCUUUCAGUAGCGCCAUAGUUGUAAGUCUCUAUACUUCUAUUCUAACACUCCUCAUUCCUUUGUUUUUAUCCGUAGGGACAAUUUGUGUGGUGGCAAUUACAUGAUUUAUCGUUGAAAGUCCCAAGGUUUUAAGUGUCCGUCGGCACGGGCCGUAUCCACCUUGCCGUACCAUGCCAAUAAGAUACCGGCACGAUACAGACCCCGUGUCGAUGGCACAGCUCAAAACCCUCUAUUCUAUAAAUUAGUAAGUAAUUUUCUCAAUAAAGUUCAAAAGAUAUGAUAAAAAGACAUAAUAAAUAGUUAGAAUAUUUUGUUGCUAAAGAAAAUAAAUAUUUCAUGCUAUUAUGUGUCGGCACACAAGAAAAUUUUUUUGACCGGCAUGCAUCGGCACGACUUGGCACGCACCGUGCCAUACCGUGCCGGUAAGUUUCCGGCAUGACCCCAUGCCACGGCACUUAAAUCCUUGAUUGAAACAAAUGCGCUUUCUAUAGUGUAUUUUUAGAGUGUCAACCUAUUUGUAUACCAUAUAUUUGGAUUUCCUUGUUCUAAUAACUGUGGCAGUUGCAUCUCUGUGUUGCAUGUGAGCAUAGCAUAUGCACAGUGUUGUAUUUAUCCUGAAUCAAAGGAACUCUAAGCUUCUAACAGUAGAGCAAGUGUUUUCAUUGAAUAUUUUUUAUAACUAAUCCUAUCAAUUUUUAUAAUUAUAAAAUAGUUUUCUUAAAAAAAUAAUUAUAAAAAUGGACCUUUAAAUGCGGUGAAUCAUUCACCGCAUUCAUAACUUUUAUUUAGCAGUAGAAAAAUAAUAAAAGCGGUGAACCAUUCACCGCUUUUACCAUCGUAGAAUUAUAAUAAAAAGGAAGAAAAAGAAAGAAAGCGGUGAAUGGUUCACCGCUUUUAAAAGCGGUGAAUCAUUCACCGCUUUUAUAAGACUAUAUCUACAAAUAAAAUUUUAACAGAUUUAUUUUUAAAAUAAAAUUUUAGAAGAGGACUAUUGAACUAAAAACCCCGUUUUCAGUCCUAGCAUCUUUUUACAAAGCUCCUACCACCUAAAAAGAGGAAGAUAUUGGCAAGGAUUGUUGUUCUUGUAAAAUUUAUCAACUCAAGAUAUGCUAAUCUUUACACGUUAUUUCUAUCAUUACCUCCAUGAUGAGUAUCCCUGCUUUUAUGCUGUCUUGCUCUGUGUUCAUCUCUGUAUGCUUCCCUGUUGUAAUGUGAAGACUGUUUCUGCUUACAGGGUCUUGAGAAAUAUGUCAUGACGAAACUAUUUAAUCGGGUCUUUGCGUCAGUUCCAGAAGAUGUGAACAGCGAUGAACAACUUUUUGAGAAAAUGGCUUUACUCCAACAAUUUGUGCGACCAGAAAAUUUGGAGAUCAAACCAGCGUUUCAUAAUGAAACAUCUUGGUUGGUGAGUACAAUAGGAGACUUGCUAAUAUUUGACAUGUCAAUGAUAACAUUAGAGUUAUAUGAUCAUAUGAUCCGAUGGUCCUCUUUUCUUUAGAUAAGACAAUGAAGUAUUUGACCUUUUGACAUGAAUUACCUGAAGUACCCACUGUUCUAUUACCAAAUUUUAAGUUUAAAAGAAUGAAUUAAUUUUUUUUCCCUCCAGUACAGCAUAGUAGCUUUUCUUCCUCAAUCUCUCAUUGGAGUAACUCGCGGAGAAGUUCAUUAAUAUGGUCUGCAAAAGGGAUUUAUCUUUUUAUUAAAUAUAUAUUAAAUAUAUAUGCACUUCUUCCUUUGUUAGCUAGUGUCUAUCUAGAGGUAAGUCAAAUGGAAAUAACUCUGGCAAUCAUGACUUUUUGAGGUAUUGUUGGUCUUGUGCACUUCUCACAUGACAAUCAAAUUAUUACCCUAGUUUUUGAAAGCAUAACUAGCCUUUGCUUUGGACAGUUUGUGUGUCAUGCCCCCACCCACAACCGAAGCCUACCUCAAGCACGUGCACAGACUCGCCGUGUGUACAAGAUUGCCGCCCGCACACACGUAGGUCAACAACCAACCAAAUUUUGUCACUAUUAUACAUCACAAUAUAGUAGAUGAAAUACAAGUUGAUGGGUGCCAACAACAUAAACAACUAACAACUAAACUUAAACAUCAUACAUUUAACAUCUAUACAUCAACCUCAAAAUGGAUACAUCUCUAGUACAUGUUCAUCUUUCAAGUUAAAUAUAUAAACUUGGCUAAGAUUAAAUAAAUCAUCAUCUGACAACAUAAAUCUCCAAAACAUAUGAAGAGGGACAACCUCUACUUGUUCCAACAUAGGUAGGACGACACUAGCUAUCAGAUGACUCCCUUUCCAUGGUCCUGGGCUUCCCUACCUGACAAAGGCUCUAAAAUAGAAAAACAAGAAAGACAGGUAGUGAAAACUAUGAAAUAUAGUUUCCAAUAGGUAUCGCCGCUGAGAGGGGCAGACUAUACUACUAGGUUAGUUGAGGCAUGAGUAGUAAUAGUAGUGAUUGGAAUAGUGGCAACUAUGCUAAAGGAAGCAUGAUAAAAGUAAUACUACUAUUGUAAGGAAGUGAAUUCUCGAAAUCCGAAGAUGGUACUUCAUCCAGGAUCGACUAACUGUCGAGAAAAUACCCUUUGUGGGAGUUGAAAAUGUCCAAAACACAAAAAGUGCUUUGGAGUUGAGUCCGCGAGAGCAAAUAGGCAGAUUUUUGCUCUCGGGGACCGGUCCCUGGAAGGGAGGACCGGUCCCCGUAGUUGAUGGUCGCGGGGGAGGUCGAUGCGACCGGUCCCUGGCUGAGGGGACCGGUCCCCGUGUGCGACACCCGCGAGAGGAAGCCAAAAUUUGGCUAAGUCCUGAAAGUUCCCCGUUCGGGAACCAGUCUCUCAGGAAAGACCUGUCUCCCACGGACCGGUCCUUCGGGUGAGGACCAGUUCCCGUGUGCGAAAAGUCCCCAGCCUGCAGGGAGGGCUCUCGGGGACUGGUCUCCCCGACCAGGGACCGGUCCCUCUGGGCGAAAACAGCCCAAUGACAGCUGUGUGAGAGAUAAAAAGUUGAGGGGUCUAAAUGCAAAAUGGCCUUUAUUAGAGAGGGCUGAGCCCCCUCUCUCCCUCACACUCUCAUAUCCCCUCUCCAUCUCUCUCUCAUUUCUCUCUUGCUCUCUCUCUCUCUAGAAAAGAAAGGAGAAGAAGAAGAACAAGAAGGAGAGGAAGGAAAAGAAGGAGAAGAACAAGGAGGAGAAAAAGGAGAUCAAGAGGAAGGCCUUGGACACCUUCAUCUCCCUCUACUCUUCUCUUUGGUGUAGCACAAGAGGUAAGCUCUUGAACCCUAGCUUCUAGAAUUUGGGGUUUUGGGUUUUUAUGCUUUGGAAUGGGUCAAAUGGACCCUAAGCAUGCUUCUAAAUAGAUCAAUCCUAAGAAUCUAGGGAUUUAUUGGAUGGUUUGCUAUGGGUGCAAACCUAGGGCUCCAAAAUGGGGUUUUUGUGAAAGUAUGAGAUUGAUCUCAUUUGAAGCCUUGGAAACUCUAUUGUUAGGUCACAAAACGUGGGGGCGAAGUCGAUUUUGGCAUUCGGCGAGCCGGCGUGAAGUUCUCGGCAAAAUAGGGCCGGGUUAGCAUUGAUUUGGGCAAGGAAGGCUAAUGCCUUUUCGUAAAGUUUGCCGAGAAGGAUCUCCAAAGCCUCUACAUCGAUUAAAGGUGGGGGGUGCCAUCCCGAAGCUUUCGAACUCCUUUCUAUGUCUUAGAUUGCAUUUAAUCUCAUCUCUUACAUGUUGCAUUGUAGGAUUGCAUAGUAGCUCCCUUCCUUAUGCUUUCUAAAUGAUAACCUAGUGUACUUGGAACGCUUGGUGACUUAGAUAGGUGAAGAUUGGGUCGGAACAUGGAUCCUAUGAUGCGAGAGAAAAGAGAUGAACCCGAUGGGGGUGUUGAUGACAUAGAAAGUAGUGUUAAUGUCAAAGAACAAAUGAGUGGCAUCCAAAUGUUAAAUGAUGACAAGUGGCAUUAAUGUAGUGUAAAUAACACUAGAGGUUUGAGAACCUAGGAAUAGGUGGAUCCCUUAGAAAAUGCCUUGUGGACAAGAACUUAGUAAACCUAAGUAACCUCACAUGGAGAGGUCGUCGGUGAGUCGAUUGAGACAUUGACCCUAGUUGAGACGUCGUAAAAUCCUGAAAACGGAUUUGAAGCACCGUAACAGCAAAACGAAGACCCUUUUUCCAUGGGGCUGCGAAGCGAUGCGCGGUUGGUGCGCAACUACAAGUUCCGACGGAACCAGGCGCUUGAUGCCGCGGGAGGCCGAUUGCAAGUGUCGACAAGCAAUCGGAACGCGUGUUAAGGUGGGUUGUGCUUACCGAAGCAUAGGUCGCCUUUAUUGUCUAGCAGUUAAGAAGUUUUGUGUUGAUGCAUAUAGUGUUGAUAAGGCGUGAUAAUGGAUUGUAAUGCAGUGAUAAUUAUGCAUUGUUAAUGUAAAUGCUAAUAGAAAUCCAUAGUGAGCAAUUUACAUUAAUACUAGUAAGCAUAUAAUAAAUGUAAGCAUGAUAAUAAUGAUAUGUAAAUGCUAAAGUAGAUGCCAUAUAAAAGGUUAUUAUGCAUGUAAACUCGAAGAAAGCAUGUAAGCAUAAUGCAGUCACGAAUGAAAUGAAUGUUGAUAGACAUAAGUAAAAAGCUAAUAGAUGAAAUAAAUGAUUGUGAGAUUUAUUGCGAUGAAUAGCUUGUGAGAUUAUAUAUGCAUGUGAACUUGUGAUACUCAAAUUGCCGUCAGAGAACAUGACAUUGGAAUAGAAACGUGAAAACCAUAGAAUACCGAUGGAAAUAGGUCUGUCAAAUAGAUCGAGUGGCAUCUAACCUAGUGUUGAGUAAACAUAGGUUAAACAGGAAUCAUAUCGCAACUAGUGUUAAUAAACAUAGGUGGACAUAGUGAUGUUGAACCUAUUGUUAGUGAACAUAGGUUGAACUAGUAAACCUAGAGUUUUAUAACCUAGUUGUGGUAUAGUAAACUAGAGUGGCAAUUUGAAUCUAGGUUUUUGAGUAUAGUGGUAGCAACCACUAGGAUUUCUAGUCGACAACAUAGGGUUGGUAUGCAUCGACCUGUGGAAGUGGAUUCGCAGAAUCCCAGAACUUGUGCUAUGCUAACCUUGGUAUCAAGGCUAGGGCGUGUGCGGACGAUUUCGCCACCGAGGUUGAUACCAAGGAUGGAUUGGGUGAGGUGCAGAGAUCACGCCGGGGCUUGACCAUUGUCGUGGCGUGUGCGACGAUUUCGCCGCCGAUGGUUAAGCCAUUUGUGGAUUAUGCCGCCAGAUCGACUUGGCUAUUGUGUGGGUGAGGUGCGAUUCGUUCGCCGCCAGAUGGCCAAGUCAAGGGACUUGAACUAGUGUUCGGGUGUGCGACGAUUUCGCCGCCAGCUGUUAAGUCACCGAGGGCGGCCAGUGGCGGGACUAUCGCGGAUGUUGACUCGAGGCCGAGCGGGUGGUUAGCUUGAUUAGUAAUAGAAACCUAAAGGUAAAGGCUGAGGUAAUAGAAACCUUAGAGUAAUGUGAAUUUGAGUUGUGAACUGAGGUAAUAGAAACCUUAGAUAAAGAAAUAUGAGCUAAGUACCUAAGUAAAAGGUAGAAUCAAAUGAUCUUAGAUGGUCAUAGAGUUGCAUGACUUGCAUAUUGCAUAUGUUAGGCCUAACAUGUAUUUCAAUUGAAUAUUUUGCAUUGUAUAUUGUUGAAAUAACAUGUUGCAUGGGCUACUUAAACCUUUUGGUCGAGCUUUUCCUUGGGUGGCCGUACCCACUGGAACAUGGAGUUGGUUCUCACCCACGUUGUUUUGGGGUGUUUACAGGUUGUACGAGUGCGGGCCGGGCGGCGCGAGCGAGGCAGUAGUCGUAGAUAGGCCUACCCAGAGACCAGAGCUAGCAGUACCCCGUCGACAUAGCUUAGGGGUUAAGGAAUGAAAGGAACAUAAUGUAUCAAAUUUGUAAUGAGUAAUUUGUAAUAACUAGAUUGCAUUUGGAUGAAAAGGAAUGUAAAAAGAAUUGUAAUGUAAAAAUAUGUGAAUGUGAAUGUAUGUAAUAAUAUAGGAUGUGUUAUGUUGUUGAUACCUUCCUUAUGCAAUCUGUUUGUUGAAUACUGUUCCUGGUUGGAACCUUCGUAUUGUAUUGAUUGCGUUGCCUUGAAUGUACAGGGGAGACUCUGUCCGCAGUACAGGGGAAACCCUGUCCAUUCGGCGCUGUCGGCGGCGCCGCGAACCUGACCAAAGAGGCGGGGGUCGCGGGUCGUGACAACUUCGGUCAAUUUGACUGAAGUUCAGUAUAACGCACUGGGAAUUCAGUACACUAUAUUAACGGAGGGAGUCUGUCACACCCCAAUAAUCUCACAUCGGAUAGGAAUGAGGAUGUGAUUAGGUAUAUAUGAGACUUAGACACUAAUAAUAAUAACUAGGCUUAAACAUUUUGGGCUGGUGUUUGGGCCUAACGAGUUAUUGUUGCUAGUGGGCUGGGUCAUUACAUCUCUUCGAUCUUUGAACCAAGGGUUUGGGCUUAGUCUCCAACCCUAAGGAGAAUUUUCCAAGUCAUCAAAAUCUUCAAAAAUCCUUAUAUUAAAGUUCUCUAAAAAUCAUAUGAAAAUAGGGAGAAAUUACCUAAAUUGGUAAUUUCUUCUUGUAACCUCAAUUAGAGUUGUUGGGGCUUCUAAUCCAACCUACAUGAAGGUUUCUAACCUAUUAAUUUCAGCUAAAAGCCCUCAAAUUGGAGAACCCCAAUUUAAACCCUAAUUUGUCAUGUACUAUCAAAUCCCUAAAAUACCCAAAAAUCUUCAAAUUAGCGGCUCAAAUCAAGUGAACUAACCUCUAAAACAAGAUUAAUCCACAUUCAAGAUGAAGAGGUUGUUGAUUGGAAGCUCCAAAGCCAUACCUCUUCAUAAUUCCUAGCUCCAACUCCAAGCUUGUGGGAGGUUGAAGCACCUUGAGGAAGGAAAUAGAGAAGAAGAAAACUAGAUGAAGAGGUUGAUGAAUGGAAGCUCCAAGCCAUACCUCUUCUCAAUUCCUAGCUCCAACUCCAAGCUUGUGGGAGGCUCAAGCUCCUUGAGGAAGGAAAUAGAGAAGGAGAAAAAAGAUUAAUGGAGAAAGAGUGAAGAAGAGAGGUAGAAGAUUGAAAAAGAUGGAGAAGAGGAAGAAAAACUUAGCCAAUUCUCUUGACAAGAAGAGAAAUGAGGGCGAAAGAGAGUUUGGAGGGUAUUUAUAGAUGUAACAAUAUCCAACUAGGUCCCCCGAACUUGAGAAAUUGCCAUGAGCAACUUCAGCCUUUAUGCUAGGUUUCGGGUUGCCGAAAAUCCCAGGUGACCCCUCCUAGGCUUUUUGGGUUGAGCGUCCGAAUGUUGAUCUGCGCAUUCGCCGAACUGUUCGGACAUCCGCAGGGCAAUUUGGGUACCUGAAUAAUUAACCAUCUGAGUUAUCUUCCUGUUGGGUAGAGCGUCCGCUAGGAAGCUGGCGCUGACCGGACGAUCUGCAUGUUUCGGGCACCCGAAUCAUUUUUCUAUGCGUUCGGAAGUUCGGGGAAAAAACUAAUUUUCACUUCUCCCAAAACUCCGAUUCGAUUCGAAUCAACUCCAAAUCAAUUCUAACUCAGCCUAAACUUCCCCAAAUCCAUUCUUGUCAUGUCUAGCACGACUUUUAUCCUUAUUUUGCCAAUUUGCCAACGUUUGAUACAUUACAGUGAAUUUCAGUACACUAAAUUGUGACUUGUUUAGUUUUGAUCUUAAAUUACUAAAUUGGAAAAGUCAUCAGCUUUUUAUCUCUCAAUUAUUAUCAUAACAUAAAAGGCUAUCUUUUGUAAAUUUUCUUGUGCAUUAGACUCUCUAUUGUCUUCUCAACUGUUACAAGUGAAAAAUGCUUUGCUAGAUCUUGGUAGAAAUGUACAGAAUUUUUUUGAACUAUGGACCAUUUUGAAUUGGCUACCCAAUCCUUCAAAAUUUUGAUUUUACUACCCAACCUUUUAAUUUUUUUGAUUUACAUCAGUCAAUGAUAGUUUAACUUCAAAAUCUGAAAGUGUCGAUUAUCUUUACUGGUUUAUUUAGUAUACUUAAUGCAAUUCUCACAGCUAUAAAUUUAUUAAAAUAAGUAACUAGAUUAAUUGAAGCUAAACUAUCGUUGAUUGAGGUAAAUCAAACAAAUUAAAAGGUUGGGUAGUAAAAUUAAAAUUUUGAAAUGUUGGGUAGCCAAUUCGAAAUUGUCACGCCCUGCAACCAACCGCCAAUUUGGACCAGGUCGCGGCGCUGGCGACAGACCGCCGAACGGACCGGGGUUUCCCCUGUACGCGGACAGAGUCUCCCCUGUACGUUCUAGGCGUCGCAAUCCAAACAAUCAACGAAUGUCCCAACAAGGAACGGAUACCAAUCCAGAUUGCAAAGGAAGUAUCAAAUACAUAAAAACUAACUGCUAUUACAAGCAUUCAUUUUCAUUCACUUAGUACAUUUCAAUUCAGUUUAUAUUUUACUUUCACUUACAAUCAUUUGCUUCACAAGUUUAAUACAUCUUGCCUUCUAGUCCCCUAAGCUGGACUGCCUCAGGGUACUGCUACCUCGGUCUCUGUGGUAGGGCGCUAUCUACUGAGCUACGCCCUCGCCUUGCGCCACCGCGCUGCACACGUACAACCUGAAAACCCUGAAACAACGUGGGGUGAGAACCAACUCCAUGGUUCCCAGUGGGUACGGCCACCCAAGGGAAAAGCUCGACCGAUAGGUCCGAGGAGGCACUGCAACAUGUUAGUUCAACAAUAUACAAGAGAUAUAUAUUCAAUUGAAAUACAUGCCAUGCCUCACGAUAUGCGAUAUGGAAAUCAUGCAACUCUAUGCAAUAAUUAGUAGAUCAUCUGAUCCUACUCAUUACUUAGCUACUCUUAGCUAUAUCUUUACUCUAAGGUUUCUAUUACCUCAUGAUCUCAACUCAGUCCACUAGCCUCUAAGGUCUCUGUAAGAUAUCGAAAUUCGACGAUAUUGGCUAACUUUGGCCAAAUGGACCAAAGUGAGCGAUUAAACGAAUUGGACGAGUUCCAUUCGGUGUUUCAAUAUGUUUGGAAGAGCAAAAAUGAGUUCCAAAAGUGUUGGAAUAGUUUUAGCGUUAUUGGACGCGAAAAGAAAUCAAAACAGAUUGAAAAUCAGCAAUCUGGAGCUGUUGUACCGGUACAAGGGUGAUGGCUGUACCGGUACAACCAUCGCAGCCAGGCUGCGUAAUCUCGGGUUCGAAGGCUUCAGGCGCUGUACCGGUACAAGGCUGGCUUGUACCGGUACAAGCUCUGCGAAACAGGCAAACCCGAGGCUCGGUUUGCGCUCGGUUUAAGGGCCUGUACCGGUACAAGGUCCCGUGUACCGGUACAAGGGCGCGGCAGCAGUGGGUUAAGUUGCAAAAUCUGUUAAAAGGAGGGCUUUUUAGCAUUUUGUUACAAUAGAGGUUAUAUCCCUCUUACUCUCAGCCCUCUUCCCUCUCACUCUCACAGCCCCUCUCUCUCUCUAGCUCUCUCUCUCUCUAACCGGUUGAAGGAGAAGAAGGAGAAAAGGAAAAAGAGAGGAAAAAGAAGGAAAAAGAGAGGAAGAAAAGGAAGGAGAAGAAGGAGAAGAAGGUUUUGGAGCUCUUCUUCACCUCAUUCUUGGCUUAGGGCUUGCUUUGGAGCAAACCCUAGAGGUAAGCCUUAACCCUAGUUUUGGAUUUCUAGGGUUUGGAUGGCUUUUGUUGCUUUUAAUGGUUCAAAUGGAACCUAAUGAGUUUAGAGAUGAUGGAUCUAGCUCACAUUGAGGCUAGCAUCCAUGGUUUUCCUCAUAGAUGCUAAACCUAGGUUUUAGAAAGGGUUAUGUUGCUUAAGAAUGGUUUAAAUGGAAACCAUUGAAGCUUAAGAGAAGGUUCAAUCCCAAAUUUGGAGCUUGAAACCAUGAUUUCUCUAUUGUUGCUAAACCUAGGGUUAGAUUUGGGGUUUUUGGAAAUAUAAGGGUUUGAUCUCUUUUGAGGGGUUAGAAACCUAAUUGCUAUGCUUAUAAACGCGUAGGCGAAGACGGUUCGUCGAUCCGACAAGUGGGUGCGAAGAUAUCGCCAUUUGUUGUGCUAAGGGGUUAGAGCUAACCCAACAAAAAUUAAGCGGCGACAAGACUAGCACGAGAACGCGUCUCGGAGUGUUUUCGGCAUCACCCAAGGUGGGGGAGUGCCAUACCGAAGUCAUCGGGCAACCUUCUAUGUCCAAGUUUAAUGUUGAUCUAAUUGCAUCUUGUUAUAUCCAUAUAGGGUUAGGAAAUGAUUAUUGUUGCUUAUACUUGCAUGCUAGUAAUUCAAUAAAUAUGUUUUGCUUGGUUGGUUAUGAUCUAGUAUGCAUGAUGAUUGUUGAUGAAAACUACAUGUUGAGAAUCUAGACCCUAUAUGAGAUGAUUAAUGUUUAUGUUGCUAAAGAACUAGUAUGAUGAAACUAGUGUUAAUAAUGAGUCAAAAUUGAUGAGUGGCAUCUAGUUUAGAAAACUAUGACAAGUGGCAUCUAGUUAGAAAAACUAUGAUGAUUGACAUUGAUGAUGUUUCCUUGAGAUGAUCACAUUAGUGUAGUUGAGACACUAUGAGAUUGGGUACAAGUAUACCUUGAUUCCAUGAUGAUAUUACCCUCAAAGGGGUUGUUGCUGUUGCUCGUGAGAUGAUCUUGCUCACAUUGCCUGUCUGCGCUUGGUGGGGUCGCUCCCCUCAAGUUGUGCGCUCCGGAGUUUGGUCACUAGAGAGGCAGCCCUGCUCGCUGCUCGGAUAGCCGCUUGUUAUCCGCAGGCGUACUCGGGGAUCGUCCAGCUUGGCAUCCCUAGGAGAUUGAUAUGUGAGCAUUGCUUGUGAACCUUGCGUUCACUUGAGGAUUGGGUUACCCAUUGAGUCUUACCCAUGAUUGAUGUUCAUAGUAGCUAUUCAUUGUUCAUAUCAGCUUACUUGCUUACCUAGUAGCAUGUUUUAUAGUUACUAUGAUAGCUGUUGUAGAUGUUGAUAGUUGCUUACUUACCCAGCUUUGUUUAUUGUUCAUGCAUUCAUGAUUCCAGAUUGAGGCAUAGCUUGAUAUAGUUGUUUACAUACCCGCUUUCCGUUCAGCUUAGUUUUAUAUAUAUAUUGCAUAUAUAUCUCUCUAUGCCUACUUGAGACCUAGUGGGUAGAUCGGCGGAGUCGGCGGCCGAACCCACUGGGAACUAUUCGUAGUUCUCACCCCCGUGUGGCUUUGGGGGUACAGGUACACAGGACAGCGGGCCUUCGUCGAUGGAUCGCGGCAAGGGCAUAGCGCCCUAGCAGUUGGUUGAUAGCUUUACCUUCCCUACUUGCAUUAGCUCUACCCUGUACUUUUGGUUAUACAUUUUGAGAGUAGAUGUUGUAUAGGGUGAGGUUUUGGAGAGCUUAUGAUGUAUAUUCAUUUUGGAUAAAGAACGCAAGUUGUAUCAAAGUUUAAAGUUAAAUGAAAUCGAAAGAGGUUAAAUGUUUCAAUGAUGUCUCAAAUAGCUAAGUUGCUCUCUUUUGUAUACUUGUAUGGUUUUACUUGUAUCGCUUGCUCUAGUUGGUUGUAGCACUGUUUGUGCUCUCGUUUAUCGUUGUUUGAUUGUGUAUGUAUUCAAGUUGUAUUCCUGGGGACUUGUUGUACACAAUCUGUUGCUUAGCCUUGGGCGGACAGGGGAAACUCCGUCCGUUCGGCGGUCGCGCCACCGCCCUCGAACCGGACCAAAUUGGCACCGUUUUCGGGCCGCGCGGUUGGGGCGUGACAGUCUCUAUUACCUUAGCUCAAGCCUCUAUCUCUAGCUCAUGAGGGUUCCUCUACCCUAUCACAGCUAACCACACGACUCGGCUCCGAGUCAAUUAUCCGCGGAUAGCCCGCGCGCUGGCUGCUCAUCAGCCUACCGCCCUAUCUGUCUCAGCCCCCUAGCGGCGAAGUCGUCGCACACGCUAAGCUCGGCUCCAGUCGCACGACUUGACCAACCGGUGGCGAUUGCGUUGCACUUACCCAGCGUGAGCUCGAGUCCUGACACAUCGUCUGGCGGCGAACGGAUCGCGCCACACCCAACAACGGUACAUGUCAGACUUAGCCACCUGGAGGCACCCGCAUCGUACUUACCCAGCAUGGAUUCAGUCUCCUCUGGCGGUCUGAUCCUCAAAUGGCCUAACCAUCCUGGCGGCGAAAUCGUCGCACAAACGCCAUGGCAAUGGUUCAAGCCCCGGGCGGUGAUCUCCAUGUGAUCGGCCCCAAUCCUCCCUCGGUACCAAGCUCGGCGGCGAAGUCGUCGCACACACGCCCUAGCUUCUACCAGGGUCAUCACAAGUCAUGGGAUUCCAGAAUCCACUUUCACAGGUCGAGAGUCCAUAGCCAACCCUAUAUUUUCGACCUAGCUCAACCUAGUGGCUGUACCACUAUACUCGUCAACCUAGGUUCCAAUACUCUAGGUUCUAUGUCCAUGUCACUUAACCUAGAUACACUUGCUAGGUUCUUGUCAUCUUUCCCUAGAUGUCUCCUUCUAGGUUUACUAGUUCGGCCUAGGUUUACUAACACUAGGUUCGAUGCCACACCUAGAUUGUUCGACUCUAGGUUCACUUGUUUAACCUAUGUUCUUUAACACUAGGUUAGAUGCCACUCGAUCUAUCUGACAACCUAGUUGCCCAAUCAACUCUACUCACACUAGAGUUAUUUUCUAGUUCACAUGCAUAUUCUCCUAGCAUAUUACUUAAUGCCGAUUAUGCAUUCUUUACUUUAGCUAACAUUAUUCGCAUGUCACGUCAGCGUUUUAACGUCUCAUUCAUCAUGCUUCUUGUCCUUGUCUACAUGCGCAUGCAUCAAUAUGGAGAUACAUUGCUAAGACAUAAAGGGCGACCUAGUCGCUUCGGUAAGCAUAACCCACCUUUAGUUAGCCUUCUGAUUGCUCGUCGACACUUGCAAUCGGCCUCCCGCGGCACUCGGCACCCAUUUGGGGCCCGAUCUCAUAGUUGCUCUCCAAGAGCGCGCCGUAUCGCCGUCUCAAGUGCUAGCGAUCUUCGCCCUGCCUCUACGGUGCUCGGGACCCAAUCUCACAAUUUAUGGACGUCGCCUCGGCCCUCCAGGCGGAAACGAAGCUCCGAGCGCCCGUUUCUUCAGUAUCCUCGCAACGGCUUGUCGGAUUGCCGAACCGACUUCGCCAACGUGUUUCGUUACCUACCAAUUAGGUUUACAAAGGGUCAAAUGAGAUCAAACUCACCUAUUUACAAAAACCCCAUUUUGGAUGCCCUAGAUGCCAUUAAUACCAAACCCACCAAAUCGAUCUAUGAUUUGGGCCUAGUCCAUCAAAAUUGCAUGCUAGGGUUCCAAAUAAACCAUUUCUAGAGAUCAAAAUCCUAUCUUUAAGGAUUUACCAAGAGAAGCCAUGAAACUUACCUCUCAAAGAGCUCCAUGGAGAGAAGAAGAAGACGAAGAUGAAGAUGAGGAAGAGGAUCUCCUCCUUAGUCCUCUUCUUCUUUUCCUUUCCUUUCUCUUUUUCUUCUUCUCUUUUCUCUUUUCUUUCUUUUCUUUUUUUCCCCUUCGCACGAUUAGAGGGAGAGAGAGAGAGAGAGUGGCUGAGGGAGUGAGAGAGAGAGAGAGGAAAGAUCUCUCUCUAAUACUCUCUCUCAUUUUGUAACAAUAUCCCCAAAGGCCCCUCCACUUUUCACCUCUUACACAACCCCCUACUGGGCAUUCUGCGCGCGGAGGGACCGGUCUCCCCGACCUGGGAUCGGUCCCCGGGGCCUCCCCCCCGCGGACACGCGUUCGGGAACCGGUCCCUCCCUGAGAGACCGGUCCUCGGGAGACCGGUUCCUCUCAGAGAGACCGGUUCCGGAGAGCUAAACUUUCGGGACUUAGCUGAUUUUCGGCCAUUCUCGCGGGUGUCGCAGGCUGGGACCGGUCCCUCCUCUGCCAGGGACCGGUUGCAUCAGCAACUCCACAGCCUUCAGCUGAUGGGACCGGUCUCUCACCUCCAGAGACCGGUCCCCGAGAGCAACCUCAGCCCAAAAAUGCAGAUUGUAUUAUUUGCUCUCGCGGACUCUAUUCUAAUGCACUUCUUUGGUUUCGUGCACCCCAAGCUUUUCCAAAGCUUAUCAACUCGAGCCUUGGUCGAUUCUGGACGAAGCACGACUCUCGGAUUUGGAGAAUUCCUGGGUAUGACAGAAAUGGUCUUAGUUCACAUUUUUACCCUCGAUAUAGCUUAAUUAGAGUAGUUCUUCACAGAACUUUUUGUUAAUUAAGAUUCUACUUGCUUCUUGUGCAGACAUGGGAGAGUAAACUUUUAUAUGAUUGUAUUCUUGCCUGUUAUAGGAGAUUUGUCAUUAAUAUGCCUUAUGCAGUAAAUUUUUUCAAGUCAGAGAACAAUAUAAUAAAUUGUUGCGGUUGUGUUGCCCAUAACUUCAUGCUCACACUCGAAAGUUCGCAACAACAGGUCGCUGCUGUAGUUAUGCUAUUUUAUUUUGUUCAUUUAUAAUCUUCUAAUGUUUUUGUCAUAUUUGAUGGUCACUACUGGUACUACCGUUUUUAUUUGUCUCCACUGAUUAAUGCUUUGACUACCAGUAAAUGAAUAAAUAAACACCCCGUGAAAGCAGACUUCCUUGCGGAGCUCUGCACCUGCCCAUAAACACAUUUAAAAAUUGUAGUUUCUCUCCUCUAAAUAUUUAAAACAUGAAUGCACCAGUGAAUACUGAUGUGAAAGUCUAAAACUGACGCAUGAAUGCAUGCAUGUGGGCACACAUGCGUGCAUGCAUGCAUCCAUGUGUGCUAUAUUCAUGUAUUUAUGUGAAAUGAAAUGUAUAUGUGUGCAGUGCGGUUCAAUGUACUAAUACGUCUAUUUUUACUUGUCGUAUAGCUUGCACAGAAGGAACUGCAGAAGAUUAAUAUGUACAAGGCUCCUAGAGAUAAGCUUGUUUGUAUCCUCAAUUGUUGCAAAGUUAUUAAUAACUUACUGUUAAAUGUUUUUAUUGCAUCGGAUGAGAACCCUCCCGGAGCUGAUGAAUUUCUUCCAGUCCUCAUUUAUGUGAUUAUUAAGGUAAUUUCAGUUUCAAGCAUAGACAUGGUUGUAGAGUCAAUGUAGUAAGUCACCUGGUAAGGCAUAAUUCAGCAAUGCACUGCUUGAAUGCACCCUCUUUGGUGCUUUAGAUGGUCUGAAAAUGCUAGACACUUCCUCCAAUCUAUAAAAUGGCGAUGGGAACUCUACACUGAAGAAGCAUUUGACCAGAUGCUGCUUUGCUGGUGGUUCCCACAACCAUUUCAAAGCAUUGAAGGUAGGGGCUUCCGAAGUGCAUUCGGAUUUUUCGGGCUCUCUAAAGAAUCAUAUUGGUGUGUUUUGGCAACACCAACUGAGGCCUAAGUUCACUUGUUUCUACACUGCAAGAUCAGGCCAGUGUUAAAUUUACAGACUAUAUCUUCCACAAUUAUAAGUGUAUGCUAACUCAGCAUCAAUUUCAUUACAUCAUUGCGCUAUUAGAACUAAAAUUUGUUUACUUUUUUGCGACAUUUGUCACUUUGCUGGAAAAGGUCACUUUUUCAUGUUUAUAGAAAAGCUUAUGACUCCUGAUUUUAGAGCAACUGUUCUUCAGCAUUCUGUUAGUUUUCUAAUUUGUUAUUAAUGUGCGUUGCUUAUAACUUGUUGCUCAUUGUGUGAUCAAGGUUUAGAUUUUCGCUGUAGGUCAGUUUUUCAGAGUAGCUUUGAUUGCUCAUCUUGGAGAUGCUGCCAAAGUUGAUAGUGAGAAGCCAAGUUAUUUUGACUGGCUGUGAUCAAGGAUUAGCAUGCUGUUUGGCACAGUUGGCAUGUUCUGGAUUUGCCGUUGUGGCCGUUUUGUGUGUCAAUGCAUCCCAGCAUGCAAUCCUUGAGUCUUGGCCUUGUCCUAGAGGCAUGGUCUGUGCAAAUAGUGUGAAUAUAGUAAUGGGAAAUCCUUUUUUUCCAUGAUAAAAUAGAGGUAUUAGUGGCAUGUCCUAGAGAUAUUGUCACAGCCCGCGACCACUCGCCUAUUUGGCCGAGGUCGCGGCGCCGACAGCGCCGAACGGACAAGGUUUCUCUUGUACUGCGGACAGAGUCUCCCCUGUACGUUCAAGGCAUCGCAAUCAAUACAAUACGAAUGUUCCAACCAGGAACUGAUAUCAAUGAAGAUUGCAUAAUGGAAGGUAUCAAACAACAUAAACACAUCCUAUGUUAUUACACGCAUUCGCANUUUCUCCCAGAAAAUUCUAAAUCUUCUGUUUUCGCUCCGAUUUCAGCACAGGUCAUUCCCAACCUAUAUUUCGCUUCUCUAAAUCCGAUAAAAUAGUAUCUCAUACUAUUUUUAUUUAUUUUCACUUUUCUAUUUAAAAUCCGGUAUGUUACAUUCCACCGCAACCUUACCGGAACCAUCUAAAUGUACACCGUGACUUCAUGAUUUUAGAAGUUCGGUAUGUUACAGAUAUCGAAUUACUUCUGCAAUUUUUGAUACAGUAGAAGUAUUAUUUUUAAUAGUGUACUUGUGAAACAUUUGAAUAGUGGAAGGAUUUUCUUUUUUCCUCUUUUGAUGGGGAUGACCAAUAAGUUUGUAACCCCAUUAGUCUUCUUCCAUAAAAUUGCAUAGUAAAGUUGGCUAUAUGGAACAAAUACAAAGAUAAAUUGUUCAACAUUUGCAUUCAUGUGCUUGAGCUUGAAGCUUAAUAUUGAGUGGACUAAACCAAUUAGGAAAACAAGUAGUUUACGAGUAAGGCUAAUUGAGGAAGCCAUCAACUCAACUAUUUGAAAGAGACGAUGAUCAAAAGAGGGUUACCUCAAUUGGGUGCCUUACCACUCUAUUGAUUUAUUUUACACAUCAUAAUGCCUCUUUUUCAUGUAGAAACAUUUUUCUCUAUAUUUUUCUCAAUUGGUUGCUACAAACUUGGUUGCUAGAAACUUGAUUGCUACAAACUUGGUUGCUAGAAACUUGAUUGCUACAAACUUGGGUGCCUUACCACUCUAUAUUCUUAUUACUUGAUUGCUACAAACUUGCUACAAACUUGGUGGUGAAAACUUGUUGGGCAUUUAUUACUUGAUUGCUACAAAUUAUCAGCAUGUAUCUUUUUGUUAUAAUUCUUACUAAGACCUGGAGAUUUAUCUUUGUUUUUCAAGCAUCAUUUGAUGAUGAAGUUAAGAUUUGUAUAUUGGUAAUAUGUUGGACCACAUUUGAUAUCCUCUUUCUUAUGCAGGCAAACCCUCCACAGUUGCAUUCAAAUCUGUUAUACAUACAACGAUAUAGACGUAAAUCACGAUUAGUCUCUGAAGCUGCAUAUUUUUUCACUAAUAUCCUCUCCGCAGAAACUUUUAUUUGGAACAUUGAUGCACAAGCACUUUCAAUGGAUGAAAUUGAGUUCCAAAAGAAAAUGAAUUGUGCUAGAGAACAUUUGCUUGGUUUAUCAACUAACUCAGAAAAUCCCGUAAGUCAAACCAAACUUGAUGGCACGCAGAAAACAGAAGAAAUUUUGAAAACUAACAGGCUUUCGGACUGCUAUCUACCUGCAAUCAGGCAACAAAACAAUUCAAACCAAGCAAAUGAGGUAAGCAUGAAUUUAGGUGGCCAGAAUAUACUAAUUCCAAGGAAGCAAUCCGUUUCAGAUUUAGAGAAUAAAGGAAGCAGCGAUCUACUGAAGGAUGAUCACUUGAUCAGAUAUUUUCAGCAGUACCCUUUCCUAUAUGCUCGUGCUGGAGAUCUAUCAGUUGAGGAUGUAGAAAACCUCCUGAAUUGCUACAAAAAACUUGUUCUAAAGUAUAUAUCUCUUUCCAAAGGAAUGGGUGUUAUCAAUGAAUCUCUUCCUGGUCAAAACAUGCAAAUGCUGUCAAAAACUGAGACUCUGAAAGAAUUCGAUGAUGCGAAGGUGCUGGGGAUAAACAGUGAGAAAGAUGAAGGGAUUUACAGAGAAGAUGAUGUUUCAAUUGAAAAUUUGCUUUCUGGAGGAGAUGACUCGGAGACCAAGAGAACUAGCGGUGGAUUAGUUGAUAAUCCAAGUGCAGAGAGGGAGAAGGAAGUCUGUCCUUAGUCUUGAUGCACUUCACCACUUGUUUGAAAUGGGAAAUUUCUCUUAAUCCAUACUUUUAAAGCAGGGAAAUAAUCGUCUGCGCGAAAAGUGUUAUUCUAAACAAUUUGAUGUAUCAAAUCGAGCAUUUUACUGGUGUUUCAUUCCCCGUAUCAAAACCUCAUUAGAAGCAGAAACAAAUCCUUCCUCUGAAGAAACAGAUCGAGUAUUUCAGCAGUGCGCACAUGUGCUGGUAUGUAUACUCUUUCGAGCAUGAUCUUGUUUUAUAAGAUGGUCUCUCUUGUUUGACCUCAGAGGCAUGUGUCCCUGUUAACUUAUUCUUAGCUUGUGCAGCUUGUGCAGAUGUUCAUCCAUUUUUUUUUUGUAUGUUGUAAUAUUAAUGUGUAUCCGUUUUUAACAUUCCUGCCAUCUUAAUUGGAGCUCUGCUGGGAUUACUUCAUGAACACAGUGCGCUGCAUAUGGAAUCUGAUGCUUAAAUUACCUCUUAGGAAAUUUUAUAAACUAAUAAUAUUUCAAGAAGUUCUAAGCUGCCAAAACAAACUCAUCAUUAAUUUCAUGCUUAAGACUGCUAAUGUACCGUCUAUGCUCCUUAAACUGCUCGUUGGCUGUUAACUUUAACGUUGUGUAUGUUGUGUAAGAUAACAAAUUAAAUCAUAAUAAAUAUUGUUGGUCGUGAUCUAGACACAGGUCUCUCUGCGAGUUUUUGAAGCUCCUCGCUAGUUUUAUUUGUGAAUUAAAAUUUCAAGUGUCUUAAUUGUAUUAAAAUUAUUUGUAUUAAAAUUCGCAUUGCUUAUAUUUUUUUGUUCUUCGCUGGAAAAUAAUAUCAGAUAACUCAAGUGACUUAAAUUUUUUUUAGAAAAAGCCAUAAUAUCAAUUUAAAUAGAAAGGAAAUGAAUUUAAAUAUUUAUCAGUUUCCUGACAAAGGUUCCUUUGUUAAUGACUUGGCCAACUUGAACAUCUUAAAUUAUGUGCAUGAAUCAAUUGAACAACAUGUUACAAUACGCCGACACAUCAAGAGCAAGAAGUAAGGGCAGCACUUUUAGGAGCUCGUGAAGGCAGCAUUUUUAGGAACUUAUAGCAGUACUCCGAAAAGAUCACAAAGGAAAAUGAGAAGGCAUCCAAAUGAGAAUGGCUUUGCAACAUUACUAGGAUAAUUAAAGCAGAAUACAAGUGCUGUAAAUUGUUAGGAGGCAAACUCUGCUGUUGAUGCCGUAUUAAUGUGUAAAUUCCACCACAAGUCCCCGAACCCGAACGUUUUGGCCAAGUUUAAUGUUGAUUCUUGAACUUAUGCGUCACAUUCGAUAAUCAUACUUUUUAAAGUAUUUCACUUUAUUUACUUAAUUUUCUUCCUUCCUUAUUUACAACUAAAGGAAGGAACUGUAAAUAUUUUUGUGCAGCAUGCAUGUAGUGAACACUCAAACGCAUCUUGUAUUCCAUUUCCACCGUCCAUUGAGCAUAGGCUUUUGCAUAGAUAUUCGACAUUUGAAUUGUUCAUUAUCCGUUUGAGAUGAACGUUUUGCAUAGAUAUUUGACAUUUGAAUUGAAAGUAUGGGUUGGGAGAAGAGCUCAUGGAUGCAGGAGGCAUGGAUGUCAAGAUGCAUUUGGUGCAUGCAGUAUUUUCCAUCUAUGCAAAAACACUCUUUUAAGUAAAGCACUUUCAAAAGUUUCGUGUAUUGAUGAAUGUCUAACUAGUAUAGUCUUCUUCUCUGUUGUAUUCUCAGUUGUAAUAAUGGGCGUUCGAGUUCCUAGGAAUUGCUAGAUUGUCUCUGUAGCAUACCGGAUUUUAAAAUAAGGGUAAAAAUAAAAAUAGUGUGAGAUACUGUCAAGCCCCCGCCCCGAGCCCGCUACCAAUUUGGCAUUAUUCGGGCGCGGCGAGCGGACCGCCGAACGGACAGCACCUCCUCUGUCCGCCCAAGGCUCGAACUACUAGAUUGUGUACAACAAGUUCCCAGGAAACAACUUGGAUACAUACACAAUCAGCCAACCAUAACAAUUAUGAGAGCACAAACAGUGCUUAUCAAACAAGAGCAAGCAACACAUGUAAAGCAUACAAGUGAUAAAAGAGAGAUGUACUUAACUAUUAACUAAUUAACUUAUACAAUUAUUCAUUCUUUACAUUCAUACAAAAUGUAGGUACAAUCCACUCAAAACCUCACCCUAUACAUCGUCUACUCUCCAAAUAGGUAUAGGGUGUAACUAAUGCAUAAAGGAAGUAGCCUCUACCAAUGUCACUAGGGCGUUACGCUCUUGCCGCGAUCCUCACCGGGGACGCUCGAGCUCGGACCUGCAAUGUGGUGGAGUGAGAACUACGAAUAGUUCCCAGUGGGUUCGGCCGCCGACUCCGCCGAUCUCCCCACUAGGUCUUAAGCAGGCACAGAUAGAUAUGCAGAUAAAUAUAGAUAUAUAAACUGAAAGCAGUAACGGUAAUGAACAUCUAUGAACUAUAUUCUAUCAAUGCCUCAAUCCAGUAUAAUGCGUGCAUGGAACUCAUAGUAAGAAGGCUGGCUAUCCUACUACCAUGUUCAACAACAAGGUCAUUCAUUUGAUUACCCAAUCUCUCGGCGAACGCAAGGCUCGCUCACAGUCUCACGUCUCUAAGUCUCAUAGGAGAGGUGGCUAGCUAUUCACCUACCCCGAGACCGCCUGCGGACACUACACUGGUCCAAGGGCACUACACUGGCCCCCUCGCGUGCCAAACUCCGGAGUGCACUACCUGUGAGGAGCUACCUCCACAGGUGCAGACAGGCUAAGUGAGCUCGAUCCAAUCUCAUGAACUGGGAACACCCUAACCAACCAGGGGUGAUAGCAACAUAGUAUCUCACUAUACUAAUGUCCUCAUGCCGCUCUUGCACUACUUAAUGCCACUCGUUCAAUGUUUAAGAUUAACUAGAUGCCACUCGUUCUCUUGACAAGUUCUUGAUACACUAGUUUCCAAUACACUAGGUUCAUAUUCACAUAAACAUAUUCAUCAUAUAUAGGGCGAACUAUCUCAUAAUAUUUAACUCAUGCAUACUAGGUUUUCAUUCAUGGUAUCCACAACCUAAAACAUCACUAGCAUGCAAGGAUAUGCACAAUCACAUUUAACACCCUAUAAUGCUAUAUCGCAAUAUGUAAAUGAUCGACACUAGUACUCAGACAUAAAGAGCAGCCCGACUGCUUCGGGAUGGCACUCCCCCACCUCGUGGUGAUGUCGUGACUCUUCGAUUGCGAUUUGCCGACGUCUCGACGCCUCGUUGGCCUUCUAGGUGAGAACGAAGCUCCGGAGGUCUUCUUGGCGAUAACUUCGCACCUACUCGACGGAUCGACGAACCGUCUCCGCCUACACGUUCAGGGACCUAGCAAUUAGGUUUGCGACCAUUCAAAUUAGAUCAAAACCCUAUAUUUGCCAAAAUCCCAAAUCGAAGCCCUAGAUCUCGAUAUUGGAGAAAUCCGCGGUGCGAGCUUCGAUUUGGAGCUCGAACCUUCUCCCUAGCUCCAAUAGGUUCCAUUCGAACCAAUCCUAAAUCAGAAAACCCCCAAACCCUAGAAAUACCAUCAAAGGGUUUAGAGCUUACCUCUAAACAAAGCUCCAAGCUUGAAGAGGGAGAGAAGAAGAUGAUCUUCUUUUUCUUCUUAGUCUUCUCCUUAUUUUUCUCCUUCUUUUCCUUCCUCUCCUUCUUCUUCUUCUCCUUCUCCUUCUUUUCCUUUCUAGAGAGAGAGAGGGAAAGAGUGUGAGAGAGGAAGAGAGCAACUGAGAGGGAGAAAGGGGUCCCUAAGCCCUUAUAUAGGCCAUUUUGCAGAUAGCCCCCUCAACUUUUCAUUUCCCGAAACAGCCCUCCCUGGGCCAUUUUCGCAGUGAGGGACCGGUCCCUGCUCGGGGAGACCGGUCCCCGAAAGCUGCACAACAGGCAGAGGGGAUUUCGCAUUCGGGAACCGGUCCUUGCCUGAGAGACCGGUCGCUGGGAGACCGGUCCUUGUCCGAGAGACCGGUUCCCGAGAGCAACACUUUCGGGACUUAGCCAAAUUUCGGCUUCUCUCGCUGGGCCAACGUUCGGGAAUCGGUCCCUGCCUGCCAGGGACCGGUCUCAACAGAGACCCCCGCAGCCCAGCCCGAUGGGACCGGUCCCUCCCUGCCAGGGACCGGUCCCCGAGAGCAUUUCUGCUCCAGUGCAGCUUUUGCACUGGUGCUCUCGCGGACACCUCCUCAAUGCACCUCAUGCAUUGCGGUCACCUUCGGACUUUCCGAAGCUCGUACGCUCGACAAUCAGUCGAUUCUUGACGAAGUCUAAUCCUCGGGUUUCGAGAAUUCACUUCCCUUACAUACUCACUGCAAAGUUAUACUGUUAGGGUGCAACUGAGUAGUCUAAUGUUGUUCCGAUUUUCGUUCUUGUGAACGUUGACAUCGAUUCAUUCCAAAUUCACACUCUCGGGGCAUAAUAGAGCAUCUCGGGGCAUAAUAGAGCAAUAUAAUAAGGUUUUACUCUUUGUUCGAUAGAAUGAGAAAAAGUACUCCUUACAAAGUUAUACUGUUAAGGCGCUACUGAAUAGUCUAAUGUUGUUCCGGUUUUGAUUCUUGUGAAAGUUGACAUCGAUUUGUUCCAAAUUUACACUCUCGGGGCAUAAUAGACCAAUAUAAUUAGGUUUACUCCUUGUUCGAUGGAAUGAGAAAAAGUACUCGUUGCAAAGUUAUACUGUUAGGGCGCAACUGAGUAGUCUAAUGUUGUUCCGAUUUUUGUUCUUCUGAACGUUGACAUCGAUUUGUUUCAANGUUAAUUAAGAGAAACCAUCUCUCUUUCUCUCUAGUAUCUCCGUUUCUCUCUCUCUCUCUUUUCUUCGAACGAGAGGUUCGGAGAGAGCCAAACCCGUGGUUUCUCUUUUCUCACGUUCAAGUGUAUAUAUAUAUAUAUAUAUAUCUCUCUCUCUCUCUCUCUCUCUCUCUCUCUCUCGUCCCGACGACACGAGAUCCCUCGUGCCUCCGGAGGCACGAGGACUCGGCAAAAGCUACUACCUCAAAGGCUUAGUUGCUAGCCGAGGCAAUUUGAACUAGAUCGCAUAAACUUCAAAGAUCUUUUAUUAAAAACACUAAAAAGCUAUAGUAAAUGGAUCGUUAGCUUUCCUAAGUUUUAGUUAUUAAAAAUUGCCAACUUUUAUUUUUAGGAUAUUUUUCACCACUAUAUCGUGAUUUUAAAAGCUAGUCUUUAUAACUAGAACAAUAUCUAUCAUAUUUCUGAGGAGAAAAUUGGAAUUGCUUGGUGGUGUAGCAAGCUUGGUGGAGAAGAAGGCUUGGAGUUGAAGCUUCAUCUUCAUCUUCUCCUUCCUUGGUCUAAGAGGAAACUUGAGAGGUUUUCUGACGCGCUGGCGAAGUCGGUUCGGCGAUACGACGAGGUUACGCGAAGAUAUUGAAGAAAAGGCCGAUUUCGGUACAGAUUGCCGCAGCUCGUGGCGUAAGCUCCCAAAAAUCACGAAACCGGAAUCGUAGCAUCGUGACAUCACCUAAAGUCUUGGAGCUAAAAAAGUCGGGGGCACGAAGGGUCGCGUGGAGCUCUCGGUGGGUUUGACCUCGCUACAAAUGAGAAAAUCUCAUUUAUGUGGAUUUAAGUAUCGUAAAAUGGAAAAUCACGCAUUUUAAUGAAAAAUGCAUUAUUUGUGAAUUUUAAAAUGCUUGAAAUGCUUAUGUUAUAUACAAUGCAUUUUCGGACCUCUAUGUAGUAGAGAGCUUGCAUGUAAGACUUAUGCAUGGGUUUAGCAUUCUAAUUGGGACUUGGAAUCAUGCUUCAUAUAGUAGACAUGACAAAUGUGUAAUAUGCCUUGGACAUAAAUCUCAUUUGGACAUAAGAGAAUACAUUAGGCCAUAAAGUGGUUUUGGACUUGAAUAACUUGUGAGUUAGGGAGCUAAUGUCGUAAUGCGACAUCGGGCUUGAGCUAUGAAUGAGCCUAGCAAAGUAAUGCCAUAGAGAGGCAUUAGGCUUGAAUGAUAUGUGAAUUGUAUAUGCAUGUUAAUAGUAUGAGAAUUAUGCUAAGUUGGUAGUUGCAUUGGAAAGUGUAUGCAUGUAGCAUUAUGAGAACUAUGCUAUGUUGAUAGUUGUAUACGGAUGCAUUGAAACCAUAUGCUAGUGGAUAGAUGCAUGUUAAUAUUUAUAUGCAUUGUGGAAUACAUGCUAGGUACAUAUUAGCAAUGUGAGAUCAUGCUAGAGAGCAUGCGAAUUAACCUAUUAUUGAUAGGGUAAGCUAAUGUCAUAAAGAGGCAUUGGGCUUGAAAUUUGUAAGGUACAGAACUUCUUAAAUUCUGAAGUUACGGUAGGAUGUAAUAGGUUUUACUCUUUGUUCGAUAGAAUGAGAAAAAGUACACGUUGCAAAGUUAUACUGUUAUGGCGCAACUGAGUAGUCUAAUGUUGUUCCGGUUUUGAUUCUUGUGAACGUUGAAAAUUCGUUCCAAAUUUACACUCUCGGGGCAUAAUAGAACUAUAUAAUUAGGUUUUACUCUUUGUUCGAUAGAAUGAGAAAAAGUACUCGUUUCAAAGUUAUACUGUUAGGGCGCAACAGAGUAGUCUAAUGUUGUUCUGGUUUUCGUUCUUGUGAACGUUGACAUCGAUUCGUUCCAAAUUUACACUCUAGGGGCAUAAUAGAACUAUAUAAUUAGGUUUUACCCUUUGUUCAAUAGAAUGAGAAAAAGUACUCGUUGCAAAGUUAUACUGUUUGGGCGCAACUGAGUAGUCUAAUUUUGUUCCUGUUUUUGUUUUUGUGAACGUUGACAUCGAUUCGUUCCAAAUUUACACUCUCGGGGCAUAAUAGAACAAUAUAAUUAGGUUUUACUCUUUGUUCGAUAGAAUGAGAAAAAGUACUUGUUGCAAAGUUAUACUGUUAAGGCGCAACUGAGUAGUCUAAUGUUGUUCCGAUUUUGGUUCUUGUGAAUGUUGACAUUGAUUCGUUCAAAAUUUACACUCUCGAGGUAUAAUAAAAUAAUAUAAUUAGGUUUUACUCUUUAUUCGAUAGAAUGAGAAAAAGUACUCGUCGCAAAGUUAUACUGUUAGGGGGCAACUGAGUAGUCUACUGUUGUUCCGAUUUUGGUUCUUGUGAACGUUGACAUCGAUUCGUUCCAAAUUUACACUCUCGAGGUAUAAUAGACCAAUAUAAUUAGGUUUUCUCUUUGUUCGAUAGAAUGAGAAAAAGUACUCGUUGCAAAGUUAUAUUGUUAGGGCGCAACUGAGUAGUCUAAUAUUGUUCCGAUUUUGGGGACCGUCCUCUGGCAAGGACCGGUUCCGAACGUUGAAUAUCCCCUUUGCCAGUUUGUGCAGCUUUACGUGGACGGCUCAAAGGGGUCGCUCGCCCGACAAAGGUGACCACCGGUUGGUCCCUCACUGCGAAAAAUACCCAGGGAGGCUGUUUCAAGAAGUGAAAAGUGAGGGUUUUAUGUUGCAUCAAGUGGGUUAUGAGAAGAGGCUAGGCUUGUCCGCCUCUCAUCGCAUCACUUACACUUCAGUGGAUGCCCUUCUUCACGUCGUGAUGUCGUAGUCCUCCAUACUCACGACCUCUGAUGUCUACUCAUCUUCUGGCUCUCUGAAAGGUUAUAACAAAAAAGCAUCAUAUCGGAGGAAAAGAGGAGAAGUAGCAGAAGGCUAGUAGAAUGAUAGAAGGAGACGAGAUAGAGACUGAAAAAGAGCGAGAAAGAGAGGUAUUGACAACUAAGACAGGAAUGAGAAGCAUAUCACGCGAGUUACACUAUUCAUCAUCUCCUCUUGCCCAAAGCUUGGAGCUUGGUAAUGAUGUAAACCUCAACCUUUGAUGUGGUUUCAAUAGGCAGAGGUAGAAGUUUUAUAAUACGAAUAAGCGCGGUUCAAGACUGAACCUUAUUGAGCUGCAUAACUGCCAGGUCGAGAUAUGUUUCGACUCGAAAUCGAAGCUCGCAGCCGGCAGAGUAGUCGUAUCUCAUCAAUGGCCGCAUGAUGCGUGCAUUGUGCUUUUCGAUAGUCUUUCGAGAAUAGGUUGGCCAGAGCAUACUUGAACUGGGCUAUUUAAUUCAAAUUAAUUUCGGCACACCUAAAUUCUAAGGUCCCGAAGUCGUAGGCACAGACGGUGUGUCGCAUUACCGUCGAGUAGCAGUCGAAGUUAUCGCCAAGAGAGACCUUCGGAGCUUCGUGUCCAUGCCUAGAAGGCUAACGGCGUCGAGACGGUUCUAAGGCACGACACAUCGCAAUCGAAGAGCUUCCACAGAAGUCCACCCACCGAGGGGUGGAGCAUCACAGUAAAACCCACCAAAAGUCCUCACCAGGGCGAGAGUGGCGCUACACGAGCUAACCAGAAGGGUGCGGGCGAUCAACAUGGUCGGACUUCACUUUCAUGCUUUAGAUGUCUGAUGUCAUCAUCGAAAGACUUAACUAGUACGAGUUUAUUACAUAUUGUGAUAUAGUCAAUUACUUGACGGAAUUGUCUUAACCAUGGAUUAUCGCUGCAUAUCCUUGCAUGCUAAGGAUGGUAUAGCUCUGCGUUUGUUCAUCAUCGUCAAGACUGAUUUAGUAAAACAUGCAGAGGUGAGCGAUCGUUUGAGAACAGACACCCAAUGAAAAGUCGCCCUAGUCAACUAACGAUAAGAAUUAUUGUUUCAGUAGAUGAUAUAUGAACCUAGUGAUACCUUGGAACACAGUUGUAUUCAAGAACUCUGUCAAGAGAACGAGUGGCCAUCUAGUUAACCUAAACAUGAACGAGUGCAUUAAGUAGCCGGUAGGCAGCGCAAAACCUAAGAAAACUGCCUGCAGCUUGUCGAGAGACUACAUCAGUAUCAGAUAGUGAUGGAUCAGCGCCACCAAUCAAGUUGCUACUACACCGAGGCUAACCUCUCGGUGCCACGAAAUUCCGCCGAGUAUAGAUAUGCCCCCUGUUGAUCAGGGCGAUAUUACGAGAUUAUCAUGACAGAGAUUGAAUCGAGCUCACUUAGCUGCUGUCUUACACCUGUAGGACAGUAAGAAUCCUCGCACCUUCCUUACGAUGCUUUAAGUCGUUACACAACUCCCGGAGUGCUUCUUCGGCGAAGAUAUCUCGCAAGAUACUGGCGGGCCAGUGUAUGCCCUGGAGCCAGUGUAGUGUCCGCUCUCGGAAGAUAGGAUCCGGUCUCCGGGUAAGUGAUAUAGCUAGCCCACUCAUCCCCUAUGCAAGCAUCUUAGACGACGUAGAGGUACACGUAUCAGAUGUCACAAUGAAAACCCGACGGCGAGCGAAACUUGCGUUCGCCGAGAGAUACGAAACUAGAUAUUCCACAGAAUAUAGCCCGAAGAUCCUGUUCAAUCAUGUCCAUGAUGCUGACUCACACUUAGCAUUGUGUUUGAUGGAAGCAUGUAGUCCCGAAAGGCAUCACCGAGACAGCCUAGCAUUCUUACUAUGAGUUGUGCGAAGACAUUCGUAGUGGCAUCCUGAAUUAUGAGGCAUUGUAGUACCUGUGGCGAAUCUAGUUUCUAUGGACCAUCAAUUCACUCUCAGCCCGGAUCUUAAGCUGAAUGGUACCGCUUUCAGUUAAUAUAAUCUAUCUAUCUGCAUAUCUAUCUGUAGCGCGGGGCUAAGACGCUAGUGGGAGGAUCCGAUGCAAUGAGAUCUUCGGAGCAGAUACACGCCAGAACCCACUGGGAAACUAUUCGUAGUUCUCACUCGCACAGAGUACUAUCGCUGCACUGAGGCUGGCUUCCAAAGAAAGGAGACCGUGUUCAAUCUGGGCAGGGGAUACCCCUGUUUCUUACACUGUGACUUUGUUGAGGCGGCUCGAAUCGCCGGAAGGCGUAAGCGCCCUACGGGUUGACAGUGGUAAUCCAGACGAAGAGGGUUUUUCACUUAUUUAAAUAUCAAAUUUUUUCUUGACUUAGCGCCUUAUUUAGAAGACAGGGCAGCACCUCUAGUCGUCUAGGGAGAUCACACCUGGCUCUAUGACCUCCUUUAUCACCCUACCUCAGCUGGCGCCUUCCCUUUACUUCAGCUCCCAGGCAAAGCAAUAUAAGAUUAGUCAUAGCCAUCGAGGAUCGAUGGUGGUUGCCAGACACAGUGAUCUCAUACUGCGGUCAGCACGAGGUCAUCCUGUUAUCUGGUAGUCUAGAGAGUUGUAGGUACGAAUUCACAGACUACAUGGUCAUAUCCAAUGAGUGGUCGCAUUCUUAAUCUUAUGUCUAAUAUACACGGCCGGGCAUUCAACAUUAUUGCCCUAGUAAAGAGAUAUCGCAGCGAAAUAGAGGCUCUAACAUGCUCGGUUAAUAAAUAUAUUAUAAGAAGUUAGCUCGGCAAAAUAGGAUCACCCAUCCUCCGCUCGCAUCGAUAGUAAUGUUGCCUAGUGAAAAACAGUCCAUUAGGUUCGAAUUUUAUUACUACUCAGAUCAGGCUAGAAAAACCCGAUCAUCGUUGUACCAAGAAGUAAAGCGGCGGUGAGUACCAUACGAGCAUAAGUGUAUGCUCAGCUGACAGGCGAGUAAGCAUCAUCCUGCUAGAGGUCGUCUCGAUCUCGAAGUGUACACAUCGAGUGUUUUGCGAGGAAAGACCAAGCUCACAUGCAAAUGAAUGCGAAAUAAAGAGUGGCGAUGCUCUUCACGUACUCGAAAAUGAGCAAUUCUAGCAUCAGAUGAAAUGUUGAAGGUAUGGACAAUACCUCGCAAGACAGUCGCCCACACCAGUGCCCUGCGUGCUGAGUCAGGGCGAAGACCUCUCUGCGCAUCUCCAGAUGCGCUGCCGUGCCCCUCAGUUUGCGCCUCCGUCCCGCGUAAUUGUGGUUGUUAAUUGUUAUGUACCCAGUUCAACGUUGUUCCUUGGAACCUUGUUGCUCACUAAUCUAUGGUUGAGCCUUGGCGACAGAGGAGGCUGUCCGUUCGGCGUCGGUCCGCCCUUCGAGUAGGGGGACCCCGGAGCCACGAAGCAGCUGCAGCUGGGGCUCCGCGGCUUCUGCGGGCGUGCAGGCAUGGGAGGAGACAGGGACUCCCCCUGAGACAUCCGCCACCUCCUAGGACACUGGCUUGCAGGGGAGCCACCUCGCACUGGCCACGAACGGAAACAGUGUCCUCCUCUGCGACCAUUCGCCAUCAACCGCUGAGCUUUGCCGGCAGAUGCACACAACGGUGGAUCGCCCCUCUGCUGAUUGCUCGAGGGCGCACUCUUUGCUCCCUGCUAGAGUGCGCGGAUGCUUUGGCGACCGGUUACUAUUGGAAAGGAGCCGCCGCACGUCUUAGAAUGGGAACGCUUUCUGUUCCCCAUCGCCUCCGAGGCCCUUUGCAGCUCGGACUCUCGUAGACUCGCUCUGGAUGACGAGGCUAUCGUCGCAAGCACUCCGUCAAAACACGUCAUCGUGCCAUGAGAAGCCCAGCAGCAUCCUGAUGUGGGUCUCGAAGCCCUCGCGAAGACUCUCGCCUUGUGCGCUCGUCAAAGUAGGCUCGAAUAGAGAGCAAGGGAUCAGCCUCCACCAUGGCGGAAGACGAAGUCCUGCUCGUAGCUUCAGCUACGGUACGUUCCCACUGCUGAAGAUGUUCUAAAGCUCCGCGCUCCGGCCCAGCCUCCAAAUUUUUGAGUUGUCCCGAAAGAAUUGCUUGGAUUGGAGAUCUCCGGAACUCCCCCCAGGGUUGGGAAAGGACGGCCCAGCUGUGAGCGAGGUAGAUGUCGGCAGCCACCAAAUAGAGCUGCGUCCGCCGGUCCGAGAAAGUGUGCGGCCAAGGACGCGGUACCUGGCUCAUCCGAUGAGUAUAAGUCGCUCUAAAGCUAGGUACUCUCACAAUGUCGGUCAGGUUCGAUGAGCAGGUCGCGUCGAUAGAAACUCCUAGUUCUCUUCCUUCUUACGCUCCACGCGUAUUCUUGCGGGUCGAAUUCCCAUGAACUCAUCCAGCUUCGCACAUGCAUAGCGGGCGCCUCUGCUGCGGGGUAAUUUGCAUCCUCAGCUGGAACCUCUGGUGGUCGUCCGUCGUCGUCGAGCUCAGCAAGCAGAUAAAGAUGGAACGGAGCCGAGGGCCGAGCUACCUAGUGCAGGCGCACCUGAGGAGGUGGUGGACUUCCUACGGAGACUCUAAGAGCAGGCAUGACCCAUUCCAGAACCGGCGGCGUCGGGGAAGGUAGUCGCUUAUAUGGGAACACAGCUCUAGGCGGUGUGCGGCUCGUAAGGACUAGCUGGCAUGAGUGCUGCGUCGGAAACCGCCGCCAUGUGGAAAGGAGUCGUCAUCCUGAAUCCCGUCCCGUCAUCACUGGAGGCUUUAGACCUCGAGUGGUGAGGCUCGAGCUGCUUCGAUAGCAGUGAGUAUCCGCCCUGCUGGAUGUGGAAUGUUUUUUUUUACUUUUCUGGUCGAUCUGCUCACCCUACUCCUGCCCUGCCCCACCUGCCUCUGCCGUUGCUCGGAGGCCUGCUCUUUUCCUAGGAGGCUAAUUGACUAAGAGCCCUCAUGGGCGACGGCGUCCAGAAAGUUUGAUGGAACUAGCUCCCACGAACUCACGGAAGAAGGUGGGUCCGCUACUCCACGAGCCAAUCUGUAACACAAAGCACGCGUCAGCACGAAUAAUCGAGACUCGACCAACUCCGCCUACGGACUUGAGGCCCACAGAAACUUGCACUCACGUGCGCUAUGAGUAUUUCGCCCGUAGUCCUGCCUAUGGGUCAACCUAACCAAUGGUUCAUUUCAUUGAUUUUUCGAAAACCAACCUGUGAAUGGUAGUCUCCCCCUGUAUUUUGAGCACGGUCGUCGUAGCACAAGUACAGAGGAGAUCUGUCCCGUCGUGAAGUGGAUUCCCUGUAAUUGUGCGAUCUGACAUACUCUGGGGUCAGGUAUUUGAGAAAAACAAAAACAAAUUAUUAGUCAUUUCGCGUCAUUUCCAAACGCGCAACAAGGACCUCAGGGGUGACAGAUUAAAGUGGUAUCAGAGCCGGUUCAUCAGCUGGACAUGUGUGGCGAGUCUCGCUAUGAGCCACGGGUCGGAUGACGGGCUAACGAGCGACGUCUUACAUCGCGCUGGUGAUCUUGGGCUGUGUGUGUUGUGGACUCGACAGACGUCAGGACUGCAGCUUAAACGGGGAGUCCUGGUGACACCGCCAUAUCAACAUCGAUGAAAUGGAAGGUGUUGUUUAUUCAGGAGUUGAUAAGCACGACUUAGACACUAGCUAAAUAAUAACUGGCUUAGAGCAUUUGGGGUCUGUGUUGGUAUCAUGGGCCAACGAGUUACUCUUAAUUAAGCUUAGUGAAGCUUGGGCCUGGUCGUUACAUUGGUAAUCAGUCAAGUCGAAUUCUUUCAGCUCAUCGAAGCUACUGCUAGACACCGUCGAUUUGUUCAUGAAGUUAUUGUCGUUUCGAACUGCGAAUGAUGACCUGUCGUUCGGAUUCAGUAAUACCGAUUUUGCUGGGAGUCCACCGGGUUAUACCCAAAGCUCUCCGAGCUUUGCCUCAAUGUAAAGCUUGUGAAGCGGUGUGCGAUUUUGGAGAAGGCUGCAACGAAUCGCAAGAUAAUACCUGCACUGCGCCAAACCCUAGAAAAACUCCGGACUUGGUCACCGAAAGUUUUGGUUCAAGACCAGCUACACCACGCGAGGCUAUCUUCUUCGGGUCCGACCGAAUCCACGCCGGAGUAGAAUAUGCCGUCUCUCAAGAAUGACCACGUAGCGACGUCACGGAGCAGAAAUCCACUUCUUGAGCUUAGCGUUACAACUGUGCCGCCGCUGAAGUAUCUGGCAAUUAGCUCUGUCGCGAGAUGAUCCUCAGGUGCUCCCUACAAUACUCCGCGAGUAGAUCAGGAGUCAUCAUGAAACCGACGACAGACACUGAUCCAGAUAAGCUCGGAAGCCCUGUCAUUCAUGUCGCAUAGAAGGCUGCGCGGAGGAUUGGUGAGCCCGAAAGGCACACCGUGAACUCGUAGUGGCCGUAACGAGUCCGGAAAGGCGGUCUUUCGGCACAUCCUCAGCCCGGAUCUUUAAGCUGAUGUAGCCUCCCGACCGCAAGAUCAUCCUUGGAGUUAGCACCGACGAUCCUUUGACAAGGCUGGUCAUGGUACGAAGCCUGAACUUUCCAGUACGCGCUUUCUCAUCUUUAGAGUGACGGUCAGGUCCAGAGCGACGUGCAUCCAGACUUCUUGUACGACAUGCUCUGGCGCAGAUCGCGUCUGGAUUACGGUGGAUCGGAUGGUCUCGGUAUUACCGUUGGUGGAGUUUCGCGACUAUAAUAAACAGCUUUCAGGGUCGACAUCGGGAUGGCACCAUACCGAGGCGUCUGUUAUGGGCGUUCGAUGUCGUUCUCAGCUAUCUGCUUGGCACGCAUGUCGAAGACCGCCGGUUAGUUAGGACUACUAGAUUUAGUAGGAGACGCCACAUGAGGCAAGAUCCGCAUUGGGCGAGAGAGCGGCUUCAGACCUGCAACAGAUAGAAUCCAAGGGGCGACUAGCGCGGCCCAGGCGGAGGCCGGAACCUAGAGUUUCAGUCGUGAGUCAUGUGCUGCUCAAGUGUCGCCUUCCAGGAUCAAUACGGUUUGUUUGCGGAACAAGCUUAUCGCGCUGGUUUCGGUGGGACCCGUUCUGAGAUCCUACGAGCUGCGUUGGUCCGGUGGGCUUACCAGAUUGCUCUCAUACCGCAGUCUCGCCCGAGUGCAGCAACGUUUUUUCACGUGUCCCAUGCUUCGGAUACCACAUCCCGAUCCGUCCCCACAUCAUUCAGUCGACACGCAUUCAGCUAUGCGGGAGGAUCUCGAGCUAUGCAGUGAGGCUCCCGUUGCACGAUCCUGGUCACGUGAGGUGAACGCAGUUGCCGGAAUAGGAGCAUAUCCGUAUUCAAGGUCCAGUGGAGGAGAAGCGCGACGAGAGGGCUGCGCCUGAGGCUACUGGGAGCUUGAAUGCGUCAUGGCGGUCGAUCAUUAUCCACAGUUAUUUUGCGAGGGACGUCCUUGUNNNNNNNNNNNNNNNNNNNNNNNNNACUAAUUAUAUAGUUCUAUUAUGCCGCCGGCGCAAUUGUUAUAUAUUUGGAACGAUCUUAAAUUUACAAGAACCAAAUCGGAACAACAAUUAGACUACUAAGUUGCGCACCUAACAUAUUAACUUUUGCAACGAGCACUUAUUUCUCAUUCUACAAACAAAGAGUAAAACCAUUAUAUUGCUUAUUAUGCCUCGAGACAGUGUAAAUUUGGAACGAAUCAGAAACUUGUCAACGUUCACAAGACAACAAACAUGGACGAAAAUUAGCACUACUCAGUUUGCGCGCAACAGUAUAACUUUUGAACGAGUAUUUUUCUUCAUUGAUCAAUAGAACAAAGAGUUAAAACCUAAGUAUAUUAUUUUUUAUACCUCCAUUCGUGCUAAAUCGUAGAACGAGGUCAAUGUCAACGUUCACAAGACCAAAAUCGGAACACAUAGACUACUCAGUUGGCACCAACAGAUAUGAACUUAUGCACACGAAUACUUUUUUCUAAUUCUAUCAACAAAGAAGUAAACCCCAUAUUAUAUUGUAUCUUAUGCCCCAGAGUGUAAAUUUGGAACGUAACCAGAUGGCAAGGUUCACGUAAGAACAAAAAACAGGAACAAAAUUAGAUACUAGUUGCGGCCAAAAAGUCUAACUUUGCAACGAGUAUUUUUUCUCAUUUCUAUUAUCAGAAAGAGGUAAAACCUAAUUAUAUAGUUCUAAUUUGCCUGGAGUGUAAACUUGGAACGAAUCAGAUUCGUCAACGUGAUUAAGAAGAAAAACCAGAAAACACAUUACACUACUCUGGUUUGCAGCACUAACAGUAUAACUGCGACGUAGUACUUUUGUCUCUUUCUAUCGAACAAAAAGUGAAACCUAAUUAUCAUUCUAUUAUGCCCGGGCGAGUGUAAAUUGUGGAAGAUCUUCAACGUUCACAAAAGAACCAAAUCGGAACAACAUGAGCACUACUCAUUGCGACCUAACGUUAUAACUUUGCAACGAGUACUUUUCUGAUUUCUAUCAACAAAGAGAUAAAACCUUUAAUUAUAUCGAUAUCUAUAGUCUCGAGAGUGUAAAUUGGACGAUAUCAGAGUCAAGUUCAGAAAGAAUCAAAGAUUCGGCGAAGAACAUUAGAUACUCAGUUUUGGCCCUAACAGUUAUACUUAAUGCAACGAUCUUUUUCUACGUUCUAUCAAACAAAGAGUAAAAUACUAAUUAUAUUAUUUAUUAUACGCUCGAGAGUGUGAAUUUGGACGAAGGUCAUAUCAACGUUCACAAGAACCAGCCGGGAGACCGGUCCUUGUCCGAGAGACCGGUUCCCGAGAGCAAUACUUUCGGGACUUAGCCAAAUUUCGGCUUCUCUCGCUGGGCCAACGUUCGGGAACCGGUCCCUGCCUGCUAGGGACAGGUCUCAUCAGAGACCCCCGCAGCCCAGCCUGAUGGGACCGGUCCCUCCCUGCCAGGGACCGGUCCCCGAGAGCAUUUCUUCUCCAGUGCAGCUUUUGCACGGGUGCUCUCGCGGACACCUCCUCAAUGCACCUUAUGCAUUGUGAUCACCUUCGGACUUUCCGAAGCUUGCACGCACGACAACCAGUCGAUCUUUGACGAAGUCUAAUCCUCGAGUUUCGAGAAUUCACUUCCCUUACACUCUCCCCACUUAAAAGAGUUUCGUCCUCGAAACGAACUCAACAAUAUUAAAUUCAUCCAGAAUACUCAUACCUCGGUGGCUCACUCAAACAAGUGAGGAUGAUUCGCUCUCAUCUCCUCCUCGAGCUCCCAGGUGGCUUCGCGGUCAGCAUGAUUGCUCCACUCUCAGGGCAUAAUAGAAUAAUAUAAUUAGGUUUUACUCUUUGUUCGAUAGAAUGAGAAAAAGUACUCGUUGCAAAGUUAUACUGUUUGGGCGCAACAGAGUAGUCUAUUGUUGUUCCGGUUUUCGUUAUUGUGAACGUCGACAUCGAUUCGUUCCAAAUUUACACUCUCGGAGUAUAAUAGAACUAUAUAAUUUGGUUUUACUCUUUAUUCAAUAGAAUGAGAAAAAGUACUCGUUGCAAAGUUAUACUGUUUGGGCGCAACUCAGUGGUCUAAUUUUGUUCCGGUUUUUGUUCUUGUGAACGUUGACAUCGAUUCGUUCCAAAUUUAUACUCUCGGGGCAUAAUAGCACAAUAUAAUUAGGUUUUACUCUUUGUUCGAUAGAAUGAGAAAAAGUACUCGUUGCAAAGUUAUACUGUUAGGGUGCUACUGAAUAGUUGAAUGUUGUUCCAAUUUUGAUUCAUGUGAACGUUGACAUCGAUUCGUUCCAAAUUUACACUCUCGGGGCAUAAUAAAAUAAUAUAAUUAGGGUUUACUCUUUGCCCGAUAGAAUGAGAAAAAGUACUCGUUGCAAAGUUAUACUGUUAGUGUGCAACUGAGUAGUCUAAUAUUGUUCCGGUUUUUGUUCUUCAGAUCGUUGACAACGAUUCGUUCCAAAUUUACACUCUCAGGGCAUAAUAGAACAAUAUAAUUAGGUUUUACUCUUUGUUCGAUAGAAUGAGAAAAAGUACUCGUUGCAAAGUUAAACUGUUUUGGGCGCAACUGAGUAGUCUAAUUGUUCCGUUUUUGUUCUUGUGAACUUGACAUCGAUUCGUUCCAAAUUUACACUCUCGGGGCAUAAUAGAGAAUAUAAUUAUGUUUUACUCUUUGUUCGAUAGAAAUGAGAAAAAGUACUCGUUGCAAGUUAUACUGUUAGGCGCAACCUGAGUUGUCUAAUGUUGUUCCGGUUCUUGGUUCUUGUGAUACGUUGAAAUCGAUUCGUCAAAUUUAUUACACUCUUCGGGGGGCAUAAUAGAAGCUAUAUAAAUUAUGGUUUUAAGCUCUUAAUUCGAUUUUUAGAAAAGAGAAAAAAGUACUACGUUGCAAAGUUAUAGCCUGUUAGCACGCCAACAGAGUAGUCUUAAUUUGUUCCGGUUCACAAAGAACGAAAACCGGAAACGAACAUUAGACUAUCGGUUUUCGUUCUGUGAACGUUGACAUCGAUCGUUCCAAAAUUUACACGCCUUUGGGGCCAUUAAAUAGAACAUGAUAAUAUGUUUUAUCCUUUGUUUCGAUGCGUAGAAUGAGAAAACGUACUCUGUUUCACAAAGUUAUAGCUGUUUGGGGCCGCCCCCCCAACUGAGUAGUACUAAUUUUGGUUACCCGGAUUUUGUUCUUAUAGUGAACUGUUGACAUAACGAUUCGUUUCCGUCCUUAUAACUAUUGAAUUUAAGAGGAUUUAGACUCCCUUUUCGCUCAUGAGGGACCAANNNNNNNNNNNNNNNNNNNNNNNNNNNNNNNNNNNNNNNNNNNNNNNNNNNNNNNNNNNNNNNNNNNNNNNNNNNNNNNNNNNNNNNNNNNNNNNNNNNNNNNNNNNNNNNNNNNNNNNNNNNNNNNNNNNNNNNNNNNNNNNNNNNNNNNNNNNNNNNNNNNNNNNNNNNNNNNNNNNNNNNNNNNNNNNNNNNNNNNNNNNNNNNNNNNNNNNNNNNNNNNNNNNNNNNNNNNNNNNNNNNNNNNNNNNNNNNNNNNNNNNNNNNNNNNNNNNNNNNNNNNAAAUUUACACUCUCGGGGCAUAAUAAAAUAAUAUAAUUAGGUUUUACUCUUUGUUCGGUAGAAUGAGAAAACGUACUCGUUGCAAAGUUAUACUGUUAGGGCGCAACUGAUUAGUCUAAUGUUGUUCCGUUUUUCGUUCUUAUGAACGUUGACAUCGAUUCGUUCCAAAUUUACACACUCGGGGCAUAAUAGAGCAAUAUAAUUAGGUUUUACUCUUCGUUCGAUAGAUUCAGAAAAAGUACUCGUUGCAAAGUUAUACUGUUAGGGCGCAACUGAGUAGUCUAAUGUUGUUCCGGUUUUUGUUCUUCUGAACGUUGACAUCGAUUUGUUCCAAAUUUACACUCUCGAGGCAUAAUAGAACAAUAUAAUUAGGUUUUACUCUUUGUUCGAUAGAAUAAGAAAAAGUACUCGUUGCAACCUUAUACUGUUUGGGCGCAACUGAGUAGUCUAAUUGUCACGCCCCGCGACCAACCGCCGAUUUGGACCGGGUCGCGGCGCCGCCGACAGACCGCCGAACGGACCGGGAAUUCCCCUGUAUGCGGACAGGGUCUCCCCAGUACGUCCAAGGCGUCGCAAUCCAAACAAUCAACGAAUAUUCCAACAAGAAACGGAUAUCAUUCCAGAUUGCAUAAGGAAGUAUCAAAUACAUAAACUACUUGCUAUUACAGGCAUUUAGUUAAAUACAUCUCAGUACACCUCAAAUUAGUUUUCAUUUUUCUUCCGAUUACAAUCACAACAUAUUACAUCAUUUAUUUUCCAAGUUUGAUACAUCUUGAUUCUUGCCUUCUAGACCCCUAAGCUAGACUGCCUCAGGGUACUGCUACCUCGGUCUCUGUGGUGAGGCGCUAUCUACUGAGCUACGCCCUCGCCUCGCGCCGCCGCGCCGCACAAGAACGACCUGAAAACCCCAAAACAACGUGGGGUGAGAACCAACUCCAUGGUUCCCAGUGGGUACGGCCACCCAAGGGAAAAGCUCGACCGAUAGGUCCGAGGAGGCACUGCAACAUGUUAGUUCAACAAUAUACAACAGAUAUAUAUAUUCAAUUGAAAUACAUGCCAUGCCUCACGAUAUGCGAUAUGAAAACCAUGCAACAACUAGUAGAUCAUAUGAAUUCUACUUUUACUUGGCUACUUUAGCUCAUAACUUUACUCUAAGGUUUCUAUUACCUUAGGAUCACAACACCAACCACUGGCUUCUAAGGUUUCUAUUACCUUAGCUCAAGCCUCUAUCUCUAGCUCAUAAGGGUUCCUCUACCCUAUCAUAGCUAACCACCCGACUCGGCUUCGAGUCAAUCAUCUGCGGAUAGUCCGCGCACUGGCUGCUCAACAGCCUACCGCACUCUCUCUGACUCAGCCUCCUAGCGGCGAAAUCGUCGCACACGCUGAAUACGGCUCGAGUCACAAGACUUGACCAUCGGUGGCGAUCGCGUUGCACAUACCCAGCGUGAGCUCGAGACAUGACAUACCGUCUGGCGGCGAACGGGUCGCACCACACCCAACAACGAUCAUGUCAGACUCAGUCACCUGGAGGCACCCGCAUCGUACUUACCCAGCAUGGAUUCAGUCUGCUCUGGCGGUCUGAUCCUCAAAUGGCUUAACCAUCUGGCGGCGAAAUCGUCGCACAAACGCCACGACAAUGGUUCAAGCCCCGGGCGGUGAUCUCCAUGUGAUCGCCCCCAAUCCUCCCUCGGUACCAAGCUCGGCGGCGAAGUCGUCGCACAAACGCCCUAGCUUCUACCAGGGUCAUCACAAGUCAUGGGAUUCCGGAAUCCACUUUCCACAGGUCGAGGGUCCAUAGCCAACCCUAUACUUUCGACCUAUCUCAUCCUAGUGGCUAUACCACUAUACUCAUCAACCUAGGUUCCAAUACUCUAGGUUCUAUGUCCAUGUCACUUAACCUAGAUACACUUGCUAGGUUCUUGUCAUCUUUGCCUAGAUGUCCACUUCUAGGUUUACUAGUUCGACCUAGGUUUACUAACACUAGGUUCGAUGCCACACACCUAGAUUGUUCGACUCUAGGUUUACUAUUCAAUCUAUGUUCUUUAACACUAGGUUAGAUGCCACUCGAUCUACCUGACAACCUAGUUGUCCAAUCAACUCUACUCACACUAGAGUUAUUAACUCAUGCUUUCUACUUGGCAUUUACUCUAUGCAUCUGUGUUCAUCAUGCAUUCUAUUUAGCAUUUCCAUCUAUGCAUUAUUAUUAGUAUGCAUUCUUUACAUUAGCUAGCAUUAUUUACAUGUCAUGCUAUCGUGCUUGCUACUUGGCACUUUACUCUAUGCAUUGUUGUUACUAUGCAUUCUUUACUUAGCCUUUACUUUAUGCAUAUUUAUUAAUGCACCAUUUACUCUUGUCUACAUGCACAUGCAUCAACAUGAGAUUACAUUGCUAAGACAUAAAGGGCGACCUAGUCGCUUCGGUAAGCACAACCCACCUUAGAUAGCUUUUCCGAUUGCUCGUCGACACUUGCAAUCGGCCUCCCGCGGCACUCGGCACCCGUUUGGGCCCGAUCUCACAGUUGCUCCCCUCGAGCGCGCCGCUUCACCGUUUCAAGUGCUAGCGAUCUUCGCCUCGCCGCUACGGUGCUCGGGACCCGAUUUCACAAUUUAUAGACGUCGCCUCGGCCUCCCAGGCGGAAAUGAAGCUCCGAGCGCCCGUUUCUUCAAUAUCUUCGCAACGGCUUGUCGGAUUGCCGAACCGACUUCGCCAACGUGUUUCGUUACCUACCAAUUAGGUUUACGAAGGGUCAAAUGAGAUCAAACUCAUCUAUUUACAAAAACCCCCAUGGAUGCCCUAGAAUGCCCUCAACAUCAAAACCCCCAAAUCGAUCUAUGAAAUGGAGUGAAAUCAUCUUAGAGGCAUGCUAGGGUUCCUCUAAAUCCAUUUCUAGGGUUUAUAAACCCAUCUACAAGGAACUAUUACAAGAAGCCAUGAAACUUACCUCUUGAGAGAGCUCCAAAAUGAGAAGAAGAUGAAGAUGAAGAUGAGGAAGAGGAUCUCCUCCUUGGUCCUCUCCUUCCUUUCCUUUCCUUUCUCUUUUUCUUCUUCUCUUCUCUUUUCUCUUUUCUUUCCUUUCUUUCUUUUCCCCUUCGCACGAUCAGAGGGAGAGAGAGAGAGAGAGACUGAGGGAAAGAGAGAGAGAGAGAGAGAGAGAGAGAGAGAGAGAGAGAGAAAGGUCUCUCUAAUACCCUCUCUCAUUUUGUAACAAAAUGCUAAGAAGCCCCUCAACUUUUCGUCUCUUACACAGCCUUUACUGGGCGUUCUGCGCGCGGAGGGACCGGUCUCCCCGACCAGGGACCAGUCCCCGGGGCCUCCCCCCGCGGACACGCGUUCGGGAACCGGUCCCUCCCUGAGAGACCGGUCCUCGGGAAACCGGUUCUUCUCAGAGAGAUCGGUUCCCGAGAGCUAGACUCCUGGGACUUAGCCGAUUUUUAGCUCUCUUCACUGGUGUCGCAGGCUGGGACCGGUCCCUCCUCUGCCAGGGACCGGUUGCAUCGGCAACCCCACAGCCUUCAGCUGAUGGGACCGGUCUCUCACCUCCAGAGACCGGUCCCCGAGAGCAACUUCAGCCCAAAAUGCUGAUUGCAUUAAUUUCUCUCGCGGACUCCAUCCCAAAGCACUUCUUGGGUUUCGAGCACCAUUAGCUUUUCCAAAGCUUAUCGACUCGACCCUUGGUCGAUUCCAGACGAAGCACAACUCUCGGAUUUGGAGAAUUCCUGGGUAUGACAGAACCUCCCCUGUCCGCCCAAGGCUCUAACGACAUGUAUAAAUAGGCAAUCAAUAAGAGAUUUGCAUAUAUAAUACAAGGCUUGCACGAGGGAAAGCAACAACGAAAGCGAAAGCUCUAAGCUAAUUAAGCAACAUACAUGAUAUUUGAUUAUAUUUAAACCAAAUUCAAGUAAAACUAUUACAUUUUUCCAUCAUAUCUUUUUACAUUUAGUCAUCCACCAAAUACAUGAUUGUUUACACUUUGCAUCUCUAAAUCAACAAAAUAAAGUUGAUACAUGUAUAUCAAAAAGGAAUGACUACAAAAUGUAAAGUCCCGGUGGCCGCUACCUACGGCGCCAAACCUUUGCCUCGGUCCUCCGCCGCCCCGCUCGUGCUAGGACCUGUAGGGUUAGUGGUGUGAGAACUACAACGAAGUUCCCAGUGGGCUCGGCAUCCGACCUCGCCGACUUACCCACUAGGUCUAUCCAGGCAUAAGUAUUUCAAAGGAAGAAAAGUAACCAUUACUAAUGCAACUAAUACUAUGCCUGCAAAAAAAGUCAGUAGAUAUACAAUUUCAAUGCGAUAAUGGAAAUGCAUGCAUGCUCCAAUCAUAAUCAAACUUUGGCUCUUACCCAAUCUUACCGGUUAACUCUGUUAACCCCAAUAACUCACAACCCAAAAUCCCUUAAUAACGGGGGACUCGAACCUCCCUAGGGACCGUCAACUGGUGGGACUUUACCACGCCCAGUGGUGACCAACUCCGGAGCGCACCGCUCGAGGGGGAGCGACCUCCCUCAAGCCAAGACGAAAUGUGAGUAUCGAUCCAAUCCUCAACUUGAGGAUUCAUAGCCACUAGUCACAAUGCCAAUGUCAUGAUAGGUCUCUACCUAUUCAUUCUUACCACUUUCAAGGCUAUACCUAUAAUGAUGCCAUAAUUGGUUAAAUUAUGUUUAACGGUUCAUAACUCAAUGCCAAUCUUGUUUCUAUGUCAAUGUCACCCUUGUUUUCUAUUGUCCAAGUCCAAUCUCACAUUCACACAACUUGAGGGUCCAAUCACACAUGUCCAUUUUGGUUCUAUCAUCCUCUAUGUUCAACUACGUUAGAAGCAUAUAAAUGAAGUCAAACCAAGUUCCAUAUGUAUCUACCCUACUAUGCAUGAAUGGGUAUAUAUGUAUAUGCUCAAGAAUAGAGAAAACAGACAUAGAAGGGAAUCCAACAAUUCCGGCGUGCACCCCCCACCUCUAUUGGUUGUGUGGGUGUAGAAUAUGAAGGCCCCCGCACUUCACGAAAGCCGAUUCUGCGCCCUAUAAUCAAAAUAGUGCCAUAUUAGGCCUUUUUGUACAUGAACUACACUCUAUCAUUUUCGCAACGUUAAACGGAGUUGUCCCACGCGUUUAGGACACCCCCAAUUAGGUUUCUACGAAGUCAAUUUGUCCCCGAAAAAUCCUAGGGCAAAAGCCCUAAUUUUCAAGCCCUAAUAUUGUCAUUUAGGGUUUCCCCAUGAAUCGAUCCCAAUCUUAAGCAAACAAUAGCUUAGGAUCAUCUAAGAAGCACUCUAGUAAGGUUUCUAGACCUUUGGUACCAACUCUAGGGCUCCAAACACCACUUCCAAGGAUUCACCAUGAGAGCACUUUGAGCUCUCAUGGGUACCAUGGUAUACAUGGCUCAAAAGUGCCUCUAAAGCCUCUAGGGAGCACAAAGCUCCCAUUUUCUAAGCCAAAAUCCAAACCCUAGACUCAUUUCUACCAAAAACUCACCUUAGCCCAAGCUCCUCCAAGUCCUUCUUGUAGGAGAGCUUGUAGAACCCACCAAAGUCACCAAAUCCACCUCCUCCUUGCUUCUUCUUCUUCUUCUCCAAGCCCUAGAGCAAGAGUUCUAGAGAGAGAAAGAGAGGAAAUGAGAGGGGAGGGUGAAAAUGGCUGUGGGAGAGAGAGGGAUGACCAUAUAAGGUGUUGUAACAAUUGCACUUAAGCCCCUUCAUUUGUUUCCCCUGAUCUGCCCAGACUGGGCAUUUUUCGCCUUCGGGGACCGGUCUCCCCGACCAGGGACCGGUUCCCGAACGGGGGUUUUCCAGGACUUAGCCAAAAUUUUGAGUUUUUCAGCUGUUGCGCAGCGAGGGACCGGUCUGCCCGUCAGGGACCGGUCUCCCGAGGACCGGUCUCACCACCAGGGACCGGAUGCCUCAGGAUUUCCUGGCAGGCUACGCGCACGGGGACCGGUCUCUCCUUCAGGGACCGGUCCCCGAGAGCUCAAAAUCUGGAACUUAGCCAGAUUUUUAGAUUUGCUCUCCGGGUCCCUUUUUGCUCUGUUUAUGAACUCUAAUGCACUUAGGGUCUAUUCUAACUCGUUCAAUUUCGCGUUCCAGUCAUUUUGAUGGAACUUGGUACGAUUUACGAGGGAUGUGGUAUGUUACAGUCAUCUCAUAAGUUUGGAGAGCACCAACUAAUUCUUCUACUUUAAGUUCAUUCGGAUGUUUUACCGUUUCAAUGGCCGCAACCUUAGGACGAAAUCGUUCGGGAAGGGUUCUCAAAAUUUUUCUAACAAUUUUGGAAUCCAGAAUCUUCUUGCCUAAGUUAGUACACGUGUUUACAAUGUCUUGCAAACGAGUAUAAUAGUCGAUAAAAGAUUCAUGUUCUUCUAUACGAAUAGAAUCAAAUAUACUAGUAAGCAUUUGUAAUUUUUGAAUCUUUACCAAGCUUGUACCCUCGUGUGUAACUUGUAAAGUGUCCCAAAUUUCUUUGGCAGUUUCACACGCCGAGACACGAGAAAAUUCAGUUUUAUUUAAAGCAUUAAAUAAAGCAUUGAUACCCUUUCCGUUGAACGAAGAUAGUUUAUUUUCCUCUUUCAUACAUUUAUUUCUAGGUUUCGGACCGGUAACAUUCUCGACAACUUCGGUGGGAUGUUUCCACCCGAAUUCAAUGGCUUGCCAUACCCGCUCGUCGAUGGCAAUAAGAAACGCCCUCAUACGGACUUUCCAAUAAGCGUAAUUAGUGCCAUCGAAGAGAGGGGGUUGAUUGAUGUUACCGCCCUCGGCCAUGAUUUACAAUCUAUAUCCGCUCUGAUACCACUUGUAAGAUAUGGAUCCCGAGGAUCUAAAAGGUAAAUAACACCUAGAGGGGGGAGAAUAGGUGUAAAACGGCAAAAACAAAAACUCUCGAUGCAAAUAAAAAAGAGCGGAAAAUAAAAACAACACACCGAGAUUUUAACGUGGGAAAACUCCAAUCCGGAGUGAAAAACCCACGGGACCGAUCACACGAAGAAAAUCCACUAAGAAAACUUGAGUACAAGUGAUUUAACCAAAAUACAUGACUCAAUUUACCGAAUUCUCGUUGUUGAUUGUCUUCGCCGGUCCUCGAUCGAUAGGAAUCCUCCAAUCGACCCCGCCGCAACUCCUUGUCGCGUCAAUGCCUCAACUCCUCAAAGCGUCCACCGAAUUCUCGGCUUCACGUGAGAUCCACGUGUCGAACCUCCUUCCGGAGCUUGUAGAAUUUAUAAUUUGUGGUGAUUAAGACUUAAAAUCCCAUAAGCAAUGAGGGUUCACCUUCUAAUCAAACAUCUACUUGAUUCUCGAAGAAAAUCUCGAGUUAAAACUUAAGAAUCAUGUCGAUCAUUGAUUAGAUGAAACUUGUUAUAUGAAUAAAAUCAUAAGAAUGUGAAAACAAGUUUCUAGGGUUUUAGAACAGUAGAAAUUCAAAGCCUCAACUCAUAUGAUGACCCCCAUAGCUUAUUUAUAGGUUUAGAAAACUUAGAAGUAGACUAGGAUUGCAAAAAGUCUAUUUUAAAAACUGGUGUCAUCCUCAGAGACCGGUCCUUUCGAGGAGAUUGGCCUGUCAGAGACCGGUGCCUUGGAUGGGAGACUGGUCCCUCGCAGCGUGACAGAAAACACAACGUUCGGGAACCGGUCUCUCAUGCCAGAGACUGGUCUCUCUCUGCGAGUCAAAAAUCCCAACGUUCGGGAACCGGUCUCUCAUGCCAGAGACCAGUUGCACCGACCAGGAGACCGAUCCCUCAGAUCAGGAGACCGGUUGCAUUAGUCUUUCACGCAGAGAGAACUCUCGGGAACCGGUCUCUCAUCUCAGGGGACUGGUCCCAGCACAUUGAAAGCCUCAGUUUGUGUUUUCUAUUGCAAUCCAAGUCUUCUAAACUUAUUGUAAUUAGAUAAAUUCACCAAAAGUGAUCUAUUCUUCAUAUCUGAGGUGCCGAGCUUUCCAAAUGAGUCUUUGCUCUUCAAAUUGAAUCUUCUCUUCAAACCUUCGCAAUCAACUCUUCAAGACUCCAUUCGACUUCACGAAAUCCGCCAACCUAGAAAAUCCUUAACACGCAACAUAUCCUCCAAAACCUGAAUAGUUCGCUCUGAUUGCCCGUCUGUUGAGGAUGAAAAGCAGUGCUAAACUCGAGUCGUAUGCCAAGUGCUUCCUGCAAGCUUUUCCAAAAGUGUGAAGUAAACCGAAGGUCUCGAUCCGACACGAUCGACUUUGGAACACCGUUCAACCUCACCACUUUAUCAAGAUAUACUUGCACAAGCUUGUCACCAGACCAAGUAGUGUGGAUCGGUAGGAAAUGUCCCGACUUCGACAAACGGUUCACUACUACCCAAAUCGUAUCGUGGCCACCCGACGAACGGAGCAAUCCGACCAUGAAGUCCAUAGCAAUAUCCUCCCAUUUCCAAACGGGAAUAGGUAGGCUCUGAAGCUUUCCCGCCGGAAACCGACGCUCCGCCUUGACUUGUUGGCACACAAGACAUUGCGCUACAUAGCGUGCAAUGUCACCUUUCAUUCCCGGCCACCAAUAGAGCAAUCUUAAGUCUUGAUGGCCCUGUCACGCCCUGGGACUCGGCAUAGACCAGCCCGGUACGUGCCCAGACCCGCCAUAUGUCUGCACAUAUAAGGCAUCUACAACAAUAGCGAAUAAAAGAACAAUAAAUUGAGAAUAUCUAGAGAUAUCAGACCAAGUAUACAGCUAGGUUCUAUCAACCAGUAGAAACCACAGAAUCUAGACUGCUAAAGUAAAAUGUAAAGUAGUACAUCAUAAGUCUCAAGAUACAAAUAGUGGGUGGUCUCUACAAAAUGGUACAAGUUUCUCAACCUCUCCAAAAAGAAACAAAAGAGAGGUAGACCACCUAUCAACCAAUCCCUCGCUAGCUAGCUCGAGGCGAUUCCUUUUCCACGAUCCCGAGCCUCUCCCGGAGUGGAAGGCUCUGAAUGAAAACAUAAAACAGAGGGGCGUGAGAACUAUAAUUUAUAGUUCCCAGUAAGCAAUUACUGACCAUAGCCAAAUGCACCACUAGGCCCAAAAUAUGAGCACAUAAGAGAGUAACGAAAAGUAACUGUGAAAAGUAAAAGCAUAUGAUGAAAUGCUAUUCUACUAUGCCACAAGCAUACAUGAUGUCAACAUGGUGAACAUCUACUCUAUCCUGAUCCAAUAUGCCAAUACAUACAUACUAUGUUCUAUCAUGGCUACCAAGUAUGCUAUGAUGCAACAAGUAAUACUACAUGUCCAAAUGUCCAAUACUAUGCUAAAAGCAUGUCCAAGUAAACCAACUACUAAGCCUAUUUAGUAGUGAUUGUCAUACAUCGGUUUGAUGUCAUUGUUCAAUCUUAUUUUAGGACAUACACAAGUGUAGUCUGGCUUGUGCCGCCUAAGUGCCAGUGGUAGCUCCAGCAUUCCCACUCGAGGAAUGAGUCUAACCCUCCAGGCCCCCGUAGGCUUGUCAAUGCGGCACGCGUGAACUGCGUCGCAAAGACUAACUCCGGAGUGCCGGCUUGUAGGGAGCGACCCUCACAAGUAUGUGCGAAUGAGCACAAAUGGCAAGCAAGCGUAAUCAUCAUCUCAAGUACUCAAUCAUCAUGUCUCUAAUGGUAAUAUCCACUAGCAAUCCAACGGUCUAGUUCUAUGUCUCAAAGUGAAGUUCCAACAUUCACUGAGUCUAGUGUCUCUUUAGGACACUAGAACAUUACUAUAUCCAAGCAUGUUCUAAUUUUCAUGCCUCUUUAUGGCAUUAUUUACUAGGUUCAUACAUGUCCGAAGCUCAAUGUCGCUUUAUGACAUUAGCUUAAUAUACCAAUUCUAAGCCCAAUCCCUCUUUAUGACAUUAGCUUAUCCUAUCAAUAAUAGGUUAAUACGCAUGCUCUCUAGCAUGAUCUCACAUUGCUAAUAUGUACCUAGCAUGUAUUCCACAAUGCAUAUAAAUAUUAACAUGCAUCUAUCCACUAGCAUAUGGUUUCAAUGCGUCCGUAUGCAACUAUCAACUUAGCAAAGUUCUCAUAAUGCUACAUGCAUAUACUUUCCAAUGCAACUACCAACUUAGCAUAAUUCUCAUAAUAUUAACAUGUACAUGCAAUUCACAUAUCAUUCAAGUCUAAUGCCUCUCUAUGGCAUUACUUUGCUAGGCUCAUUCAUAGCUCAAGCCCGAUGUCGCAUUAUGACGUUAGCUCUCUGACUCACAAGUUAUUCAAGUCCAAAGCCACUUUAUGGCCUAAUAUAUUCUCGUAUGUCCAAAUGAGAUUUAUGUCCAAGGCAUAUUACAUUUGUCAUGUCUACUAUAUGAAGCAUGAUUCUAAGUCCCAAUUAGAAUGCUAAACCCAUACAUAAGUCUCACAUGCAAGCUCUCUACUAUAUAGAGGUCCGAAAAUGCAUUGUAUAUAACAUAAACAUUUCAAGCAUUCUAAAAUUCACAAAUAAUACAUCUAUUAUGAAAAUGCGUGAUUUUCUAUUUUACGAUACUUAAAUCCACAUAAAUGAGAUAUUCUCAUUUGUAGCGAGGUCAAACCCACCGAGAACUCCACGCGACCCUUCGUGCCCACGACUCUCUUAGUUCCAAGACUUUAGGUGAUGUUACGAUGCUACGAUUCCAGUUUCGUGACUUUUGGAAGCUUACACCGUGAGCUGUGACAAUCCGUACCGAAAUCGGCCUUUUCUUCAAUAUCUUCGCGUAGCCUCGUCGUAUCGCUGAACCGACUUCGUCAGCGCGUUCGUAUACCUAACAAUUAGGUUUGAAUAGGUUCAAUUUAGAUCAAACCUCUAUAUAUAGCAAAACCCCAAUUUGAGCCUUAACAUGCUACUAUUGCAAGAAAUCACCAAAUUGGAACUUGAUUCAUGCAAUUAACAUGUUAUUAGCAUCUAGGGAGUCCUCUAAACCCAGUCCUAAAGCAUAUAAUUGAAGUUCUAAAAUUCUACCAUUAAAGCCCUAGCAUAUACAUACACUCCAAAUAACCCAAAUUAAAUGGAGAAAAUAUGCUAAUCACACAUUAGAGGCUACUAGAACACUAAGCAUAAAGGAAUUAGCCCAAUUCCAAAAGCUUACCAAAAUCUGAACGCCGAGAUGGAAGCAAGCCGCUCCAACGGGCGCACGAAAGCUCGAUCUGUCGCUUCCAACGCGUUCACAAGCUCGCUCUCCGCCAACGCCGCAAAUUUCAGCGAGAGAUUUAGAGAGAUAAGGAAGAUAUUUAGAGAGAGAAAGGAGGGUUUCUCUCUCUCCCUCUCUAAACGUGUGUGUGUUGAGGGCGAUGGUGUUGGCUGUGAAGAAGAAGAUGCCUAGCAGCUUCUAUUUAUAGUCAACACCCCACAAUACUAUUCACAAUAGUAAUUUAGCAGAUACAAACUGACAUUUUUCGCCGGAGCCCUUCUGAAUGUCCGACUGAGCUCAAAUUUGACAGUCAGGCUCGGUUUUCCUUAACAUGACGAAAGAAAUUUAAAUCUUUCUGUUACGACCAUGUUUGGUUACCGAAAGCUCUACCGAACUGUAAUCUCUAGCAGAUCGUAGUCGAAUUUUAUUUUUCAUCUUCCGGGUAUCGGAUUGACAUGAAACUUUAAAUCUAGCCUCAUAAAAAUAAUCCUAACAUAUUCCCAGAUUUUCGAUAUUUUCUGACACUGUACAUUUUUUGCUAAAAUAUCAACCCCGUCUCUCACAAAAAAUUCUCAAUCUUCUGUUUUCACUCCGAUUUCCGCACGAGUCGAUCCCAACAUAUAAUUUACUUCUCUAAAUCCAAUAAAAAUAGUAUCUCACACUAUUUUUAUUUAUAUUCACUUUUAUUAAAAAUUCGGUAUGCUACACACCCCAAACCUAGAUAUGAUGCAUCGCUAUAUAUCACGAAGUCCUCACCUUGCACCGGUAGGGAGAGCACCGGAGUCGAAGUCAACCUCUCCUUCAACUCUUUGAAACUCCGGUCGCACUCGUCGCUCCAAAUGAACUUGGUGCCCGUUUGCGUUGGACGGGUAAGUGGAAUAACUAUCUUCGAGAAUCCCUCCACGAACAGUCUAUAAUAGCCCGCUAAGCCCACGAAGCUACAAACCUCCGUCACAUUAGUCGGGCGAGGCCAAUCCUGGAUCACCUCAACUUUCCUCGAGUCAACAAAAAUUCCUCCCUCGGAAAUAAUAUGUCCUAGAAAUGCAACUUCUCGGAGCCAAAAGUCACAUUUCUUCAACCUCGCAAAAAGCUUAUUCUCCCGAAGGACUUGUAGCACAAGUCUCAAAUGCUCUGCGUGCUCCUCGUCGCUACGAGAGUAGACCAAGAUGUCGACUAUAAAGACUACGACAAAUCGAUCUAGUUAAGCCCUGAAUACACGGUUCAUCAAAUCCAUGAAUGCUGCCGGGGCAUUUGUGUCACGCCCCGAGACCGAUACCAAUUUGGGCCGGCCCGAGCAUGUCAAACAGACACCGAACGGACAGAGUUUCCUCUAUCCGCCCAAGGCUCAUCACCUGUACAUUUUCAAACAAGAAGUGCACUAGCGGAAAUAUACACAAACGGCUUACACGAGGGUAAGCAAUAGCCAUGAGUGAAAGUAAGGAAAUAAACAUCUACACAAGUACUAUGAUUCACUUCUGAUCAUAUACAUUGCAUUUAACCUCAUAUUCAUAAUUCUUUACAUUGCUUGCAUAAUUUCUUUUACAUCACAUUUGCUCAAAAUAAACUUUACAAUAUUUCUUUCUUUGCUUUAUACAUCAACAUCUUAAAUCAUCAAAUACAAAAGAUGAUAAAAGGGUAUACUACUAACAAAAUAUAAAGCCCGACUCGGGUGGCCACUGUCUAGGGUGCGAUACCUUUACUGCGGUCGCUCGCCGGCUCGCUCGGUCCCGGCUCUGUGGAAAUAGUGGGGUGAGAACUACAACAAAGUUCCCAGUGGAUUCGGCCCCAAUCUCACCAACUUUCCCACUAGGACUAACUCAGGCAUAAUAGAAAGGAUAAGCAGAAUAGUAACCAAACUAUAAUCAUGAUGCUAAUAUGCCUGAACAAUAAAGCAAGAAAUAUGCUUAAUAUAAAUCAUGCAACUAUGCAAGUUUCUUGUUCUUUACUCUUUAUUCUUUAAUCUUUGUUCUUUGUUCUUUGUUCUUUGUUCUUUAAUCUCAUGGCUAACCUGGGGGUUUCGCCACAUUAACUUGCCCACAUUAAGUCCAUCAUCACGGGCCCUCAGCUGCCUCCCGCUAAGACCGUCCUCGAGUUUACUCCAACCGGUGAUGCAAAACUCCGGAGCGCAUCGCUCGAAGGGGAGCGACCGCCCUCGAGUACGGAACUCAUAGCAAGUAUGAUCGAUUCUUAACUCUAAGGCAUAUAGUUCAAUCAUUAUCUUUACACUAACUCUAGUGUUCUUUUCAUCACUUUAUUUUGCUAACUCUAGCAAUCAUUGUUCUUUAACUUUACUUGUUCUUUAUGCCAUACUUUGCAUUAACUUUAAUCUUUAUCAUUAUUCUUUUCAUCACAUUGAUUCUUUGAUGCCACACACUAACUCUAGUGUCGACUAUAUACUUUCGAAUGCCACUCGAUCUAUGCUCUUGUGUCACUUUGUUCUUUUAUAUCAUUAGGUUCUCACAUUACCUCUCAUGCAUAUAUAGGGUGUUAUAGGUUCUCAACCAACUAGAAAUGCACGUGUACUCACAUCAUGUAAUAUUUACAUAAUUAUCAUCACAUUUUACCCUACAAUGCAUGGAACAACAUAUACAUAAAUGCUCAAUUAAAUGACACAUUAGGCAUAGAAGGAAUUCCAACAAGUUUGGAUAGCACCACCCACCUUGUAGGCUUACUUAGGUGCUACAAUAAUUUUCUUGGAAUUUUUAGACUCCUAGUUCUUUACCUGCGACAAAACGAAGCCCCAUUAGGUCAUUUUUCUCAUAUCUUUAUAUUGGCUUUUCGUAACGUUAAUCCGAGCGCACCAACACGUCGGAAUUACCCCCAAUUAGGUUUCUAGAGGGUCAAUUUCAUUUUAGAACUUUUACAAGCAAAAGCCCCAAUUUGGGUGCCCUAGCUCAACCCACAUCAAAACCUAGGGUUUGAUCUCAUUAGGAAGCAAAAGAAUCUUCAAUUUACUCUAAAGACUCCAUAAAAACCAUCCUUAGUUCAAUCCAAAACCUAGUUUGGAUUCUACCAUGAGAGUGGUGAAGCUCACCUCUAAGCUUCAUCACACACACCCAACUUAUGGUUUUGAUCUCAUUAACAAGCAAAAUAAAGCUUGAAACACUUAUUAGGCUCAACUAAAACCAUUUUUAGAUCAUUUAGUUCACAUUCUAGGAUUUUACCAUGAAUAGGGUUCAAGCUUACCUCUAAGCUUGCUCCUAGAUUGCUCCAAAGAGGAAGAAGAGGAGGUGGCUUCACUCCUUAGCUUCUUCUUCACCCUCUUUCUCCUUUUCUUCUUCUUCUUUUCCUUUUUCUUUUCUUUCUUUUCCUUGUAUUCUUCUCCUCCUUCUUGUCUUCUAGAGAGAGAAAGAGAGAAGAGAGGAAAAAGCCCUCAUUGCCCUCAACUUAACCAUUGGAUUGCAUAAAUGCAAAUAGGCCCCUCAGCUUUUAUCUUAUUAAACUGCUUGAACUGGGUAGUUUUCGGGUUCGGGGACCGGUCUCCCGGACUUGGGACUGGUCCUAGAGAGCUCUCCCCGCGGGCAGCAGGGCGCACGGGCGAUGCAACCGGUCUCUCACUGGGGGACCGGUCUCUCGAGGACCAGUCUCUCGGGGCCGGUCUCUCCCCGCAGGGACCGGUUUCCGAGAGCUGGUUUUCUGGGACUUAGCCGAUUUUCAGCCUUUCUCAUUUCUCACGCGUUCAGGGACCGGUCUCUCCCACCAGGGACCGGUCCCCGAGAGCUCAAAAACUGCAGUUUGUAAAUUUUUGAUUCUUUAGCUCUCGAAAACCUCCCACAAUGCACUUUUGAUCAUUUUAACACCUUCGGACUUUCGAAGUGUACUAUCCUCGCACUUUGGUCAAUUUGACUAAAAUUCGAUAUUUAUUUUUCGAAUUUUCGGUAUAUUACAUUCUCCACCCCUUAAAAUAAUUUCAUCCGCGAAAUUACGCAUACCUUAACUUGUCGACUCAAAUAGAUGCGAAUACUCUCUCCGCAUAGUUUCCUCAAGCUCCCAAGUGGCUUCUCGCGCCGCAUGAUUGCUGUAAGGUAUCAGACUUCUAAAAUCAUGAAGUUACGGUGUACAUUUGGUUGGAAGACCAUUUGAAAGGUUCCGGUGAAGUUCGGUGAGGCCCAGAAGCAUUCGGGCGUUUCGAUGCGCGUAGGCGCUAAAACGGAGCCGAAAGGCUAUGUUGGGCCGUGAGCUAAAUCCGGCAUUAGCGAGGAUGGAAAGAUGAUGAAAACAUGUUUGGAAACAUGUUUGGAGAGUCUCUGUUCGAUUUGAGACGAAUCGGAGGUCAAACGAGCGAAAACGGGUGAAAACGGAGAAGAAACGGUGAAAAAGCUGAAAAUUUGGCUAAGUCCUUGAGGCUGAGUUCUGGACCUUCGGGGACCGGUCUCUCAGCCAAGGACCGGUCUCUCAGGGACCGGUCUCUCACCGCAAGGACCGGUCCCCGAGCGCGAAAAUGGCCCAGUUUGGGCUGUUGCAAGAGAGGCUUUGUUGAGGGGCUUUUAUGCAAUUUUGCACUAAUGAGAGUGUAUAGAGAGGGUUCUUUCUCUCUUUCUCUCAUUUCCCUCAACCCAACACCACCUCUCUCUCUCUCUAAACGUGAAGAAGAAGAAGAAGGAGAAAGAGGAGAAGAGAAGAAAGGAGAAGAAGAAGAGGGAGGAGAAGAAGAGAAGCAUCAUCACCACCAUCAUCUUCUUCUUCCUCUCAUCCUUGGAGCAAACCUAGAGAGGUAAGCUUGAUACCCUCUCAGGGUAGAUUUCUAGAGUUUGAUCCUAAUGCUUUAGAAAUGGGUUUAGUAGCCUUCCUAGAUGCUAAUGAGAUGGAUUAUGCUUAGAUCCAAGGGUUUAAUGGUGGAUUUUUGCAUAGUAGCAAAUCUAGGGCUCAAAAUGCUAGUUUUGCAAAUAGAUGGGUUUGAUCUAAAUUGGUUGUAUAUAAACCUAACUGAUAGGUCACUGAACGCGUUGGAAGCGACGGUUUGGCAAUCCGUCGAGCCGUUACAAAGAUAUCGAAGAAGAAGCCGAUUUCGGUACAGAUUGCCGCAGCUCACGGCGAAAGCUUCCUAAAAUCAUGGAAAUGGAAUCGUAGCAUCGUGGUGUCGGGGAAUAAACUCCAGAACAGACGGAUCGCGGAUAGGAGGUCAUUUGGCAGUCGCGCGUGAGUUGGGUCGAGCCGUGCGGCGUGCGCCGCAGGAGGCCGAUUGCGAGUGACGACGAGCAAUCGGAACGCUAUAAAAGGUGGGUGGUGUCCAUCCCGAAGCAAUCGGGCUCCCUUUUAUGUCUAAGUUUUUAUAUUGAUCAAUUGCAUAUUGACAUCUUGCAUUAUAGGGUGAUAAAUGAUGGUUUGGUCUUAUACCUUGCAUAUUCUUUGGUAGAAUAAUGUAUUUGGCUUAGUACUUAUAUCUAGCAUGCUUGAGGUUAAUAUAUGUGAUGUGGAACCCUAUAAUAAGAUGAUAAGUGUGGAUGAGAAUUUAGUAAUGUAUUGGCUAUUGCAUUGGAAACUUGUAAAGAACGAGUGGCAUCUAGUUGAUAGUAAACAAAAGAACGAGUGACAUAUGUGAGUCAUAGUGUAUAUGAAACCUAUGGACUAUAUGAUGAUUAUAACCCUAGAGGAUAGGGUAUUCUCGAGAUGAGGAUUGGAUCAUGCUCACGGUCUGUUUAAAUCUUGUGAUGGAAGCCCCACACAAGUAGUGCGCUCCGGAUGUUGGUCACGCCAGGGAUUGCCUAUAUGGCCCCGCCAGACGGUCUCGGGUCCGUAGUGUGAGUGAAUUCUCCCUACGUGUCGAGAUGGCUAGUGAGCUGUAGGCGAGCCUUCGGGUAAGCCAUGAGAUUAAUGAACAAGUAAAUGAGGUUAAUGAACGAGUGAAUAGCUUCACCUUUGGACAUGAUAACAGGUUAGUUGCUUACCUAUUUCAUUAUGCAUGCAUUCAUAAAUUUAUGAUUGGGCAUAGUAGAGUAGCUUUACUCCUGUCAUUACCGCUUUCCUUAUCUAUCUAUCUAUCGAUUAUCUACUUGUGCCCAACUUGGACCUAGUGGGGAGAUCGGCGGAGUCGGCGGCCGAACCCACUGGGAACUAAGGAAGUUAGUUCUCACCCCCCAUUUUACUACAGGGCCGAGCGCGAGUUCACACGGCGAGGAUCGCGGUAAGGGCCUAGCGCCCUAGUUGCAUUAGUCUACUUUCCUAUUUCUGCAUUAGAGUCACCUUUUUAUGCUUUGAGAGUAGAUGAUGUAUAGGAUGUGAGAUAUUCUGGAAUGGAUGUAAGCUUUUUAUUAUGUCUUCGAAGUUCAAUGUAUAAUCAAAUUGUAUUAUAAAGGCUGAAUGAAUGUAAUAGAUAGAUGCUCUCUCUUUAUCAUUACUUGUAUGUUUUAUACUUGUAUCUUGCUCUUGGUUGUUUUGCACUGAUUGUGCUCUCGUUGCAGUUAUCGAUUGUGUAUGUAUUCAAGUCAUUUUUCCUGGGGACUUGUUGUACACAAUCUUGUUGUUAGCCUUGGGCGGACAGGGGAGGUGCUGUCCGUCCGGCGUCUGUUCGACGCGCCCGGGCCGAACCAGAUUGGUAGCGGUCGCGGGGCGUGACAGUUGCUCCAUUGGACCUUCACAUAUGAAAUUCUGCGACUCCGCAGCGUUCUUUCUUCUCUAUCGAGGAUGCACACCGGGUACUCCUCAUAAGACAUAUCCUCACGUAACUCCACGGGCUCGUACUCUAACACAUGUGUUGAGUUGCGAAUAUACUUUUGGAGAUUUGACACAUGAAAAACAUUGUAAACUCCCGCGAGUCUCGAUGGUAGUGCGAGCUUGUACGCUACCGCACCCACACGCUCCAAUAUCUCAAAUGGUCCGACAUAACGGGGGCUUAGCUUCCCGCGGACCCCGAAUCGCUUUACUCCUCGCAUCGGCAACACUCUAAAAAAUACGCGGUCUCCAACCGCGAACUAUAAGUCUCUCCUUCGCUUGUCGGCAUAACUCUUUUGCCGAGAUUGCGCUGUCGCUAACCGUUGACGGGCAAGACGAACUCUUUCUUCCGCCUCCCGUACCACAUCCGGGCCAAGAGCCGUUCUCUUGCCCACGUCGCUCCAAUUAAUAGGAGAACGACACUUGCGUCCAUAUAGUGCCUCAAAUGGCGCCAUCGCUAUACUCUCUUGAUAACUAUUAUUAUACGCGAACUCCGCCAUCGGCAAGAAAUCAUGCCAUCCUCCUUUGUAAUCUAGUACACACGCUCGAAGUAAAUCCUCAAGGAUCUGUAUUGUCAGCUCCGACUGUCCAUCACUCUGAGGAUGAAACGCUGUGCUAAAGUCGAGCCGUGUGCCUAACGCAUCCUGCAAGCUCUUCCAAAAGUGGGAUGUGAACAUGGGGUCUCGAUCCGAUACAAUUGAUACCGGAACCCCAUGAAGUCUCACAACCUCGUCGAGAUAUACUUGAGCUAACUUGUCUCCCGACCACGUAGUAUGUAUCGGCAAGAAGUGUGCCAACUUUGUCAAUCGAUCCACUAUCAUCCAUAUCGCAUCGUGUCCGCCUUGUGAUCGAGGCAAACCGGUAAUAAAGUCCAUCGCUAUAUCUUUCCAUUUCCAAACGAGUAUUGAUAGACUUUGUAGUUUUCCCGCCGGAAACCGGCGCUCUGCUUUCACCUGUUGGCAUGUUAGACAUUGCGCCACGAACUCCCCAAUAUCUCUCUUCAUACCCGGCCACCAAUAAUGCUCUUUCAAGUUCUUGUACAUUUUAGCACCGCCGGGGUGUAUGAUAUAAGGGGACUGGUGCGCUUCUUGCAUGAUCGCCCUUCGAAUAUCACUAUCUUUGGACAUGCACCAACGAUUUCGAAAUUGAAGUGUGCCAUCGGCUCCAAUGCCAAAAUCCUCGGCACUACCGUUCUCAACUUCAUUCCGCACCUUUUGAAGAUAAGGAUAUGAAGCUUGAAGCUCUUUGAUUCUUUCCAAUAGGGUCGGUUGUACAACUAAUGCGGCAAGUGUAGUCGGCACUCCCGGCGCUACCACUUCCAACCCAAGCCUUUGCAUCUCCUUUUGCAAUAGCGGUUGAGGCGUAAUUACCAUCGCUAAGUUCUUCGCCGAUUUUCUACUUAGAGCAUCGGCCACGACAUUGGCUUUUCCGGGGUGGUAUAGUAUAGUGACAUCGUAGUCCUUCAAUAACUCCAACCACCGCCGCUGCCGCAUGUUCAAUUCCUUCUGGGUGAACAAGUACUUUAGAAUUUUAUGAUCUGUAUAGACCUCGCAAUGCUCACCAUACAAGUAAUGCCUCCAAAGCUUUAGCGCGAAGAUCACUGCGGCUAACUCGAGGUCGUGAAUCGGGUAGUUCUUCUCAUAGCUCUUCAAUUGGCGCGAUGCAUAUGCAAUGACUCGCCCAUUUUGCAUUAACACACACCCGAGACCAACAUACGAGGCAUCACUAUACACUACAAAAGUCUCCCCCGGAGUCGGCAAGGCAAGCACCGGGGUCGACGUCAACCUGUUUUUUAACUCCUCGAAGCCUCGAUCGCAAUUGUCACUCCACACGUACUUUACUCCUUUAUGCGUGAAGCGCGUUAGUGGAGUAGUUAUUUUGGCGAACCGGUCCACGAACCGCCGGUAAUAGCCCGCAAGUCCAAGAAAACUGUGGACCUCCGCUACAUUCGUCGGGCGAGACCAAUCCUUUAUUGCCUCUACUUUCUUCGGGUCUACCAAAACUCUGUCGCCCGAUGCCACAUGACCCAAGAAUGUGACCUCCC
rnacentral:lncRNA from 1 species